rnacentral:lncRNA from 1 species
AAACGUGGCAAGAUUGCCGGCAAAACCGCCAUCCAAAAUCUAAUGUUCCACGACCAUAAGAAUACACAAGGCCAUCACUCAUCGUCCAAAGACUACUACGAGUUCAGCUGCAGUAACAACUCAGCUUUUCACCUCCCAUUCCACCUGAACAAGCGCAUUAAUAAGCAUAGUGACAAUGAACAUGUCAUUGAAGAACACGAAGAUGUUUCAAUGAUGAAUGCUGCUGUUUUGAAGGCAUUGGAGAUGCUUCAAAGUGAAACGGCAUCACCUGCUUUGCCUGGAUUCGGGAGGACACCUACUGUGAGGCAAUUAAGGAUCACUGACUCUCCUUUCCCUUUAAGAGAUGGAGCAGAUGAGGGUGACAUGAUGAGCCACGUAAACGAGAAAGCUGAUGAAUUCAUUUCUCGAUUCUACAGAGAUUUGAGAAAAGAGGCCUCUGCUUUCGCUUAAUGUGUUUAUUGAGCUUAUUCAUACAUGUUUUUGGGGAUUUAUCAUUUAUUAUAUUACUUAUAAUAUUAGUUUUACUGCUUCGCUGCAUAGUUCGCAUAUCCACUUGCCCGAAUAUUUUUUCUGACGCGGUCAAUGUAUUCAUGUGUGAAUUCUUCGUUCAUUCCACAACACUCACAUUUCGCAUUUUCAAGUUCGGAUAUAGGUGGGAGAUCAUUUGAGGAAUUAAUAGGGGUAAUUGUGUCUUUGUUCAUCCACUCGAACGAGAUAUCGGACAUUGUACGUUGUAAAUUGUCGUUGGAGAGUCUAGGGGGCUUGCUAAGGUUUUUUGUUCGGACGUAGGAGGAUUUGGAAAUUGGUUCUCCAUGGGGUGCCAUUGUGUUUGUUUUUUGAGUGAAUAAUUUGUUUAGAAAAUGAUGAUAGGCUUUAGCUUCUUAGUUGAUAUUCGGAUAAUGAAUAUGAAUUGGUAACAAGCUAAGGUUGCUAUUUAUAGUUGCUACUGGCUUGUUAUUUAGCUUGUUUUUCAAGUUGGAGGCUGAAAAGUUGAAGUUGUGGACAAUGGAGAGUGAGAUGUCACUUUUAAAACCCAAUAAGCAUGAAUUUGUAUACUCAUGAAAGUGCUAGAUCUUUCAUGAAGAGCAAGCUCAAGUCUUCACAUAAAGGCAAAACUUUUGCCUGCUUCAGUGCUUCUUAUGCUUUUGUAUGUGUGUGUACAUUGUUUAUUUAUUUGUACUGUUGUAAACUUACUAUUUCUCUGGUGAAAAACAAUUUCUGUUUUAUUUUAAUGAACUUUACUUCAAGACUGAUACUGUUACAGGAUCAAGAUAGAACAUCAUGAAAGAAAAACAUGGAUCAUAUGAAAAUAGGAUAAAUUAUCAUCGUAAAAUGUUUUCUACCAAUACAUUGCUAGCUUUCAUGCAUGCAGAAAAAACCAAGGGUAGAUAAAUCCUAUAGGUAAACAACAAAAUUCAUCGCUAACCCAAUUUAAAAAGCGACUAAUUAAGAUGGAUUAAACAAAAAAAACUUAUGUUAGCAACGAAAUUCGUAACUAAUUAAUUAUGAUGUUUAUAGUUUUAUUUUUUUCAUUUCCCUUUAUUUGGGAUGGGGAGAGGAAUGUUAGCAUUAGUUGGAGUUAUUCAUAGGAAAUAUUGAGAAGAGAUUUUUGUGAAUGUAAUUUUCAGUCAUCUUUAAAGAAAAAACUAUUAUUUAAUAAAUAAAAGUGAGUGACUAUGAUUGAAAAUUUGUCUAUUCCUAGGAAAGGUUGUGACUGAAAGGGUAUUUGUUCCUAUGAAAGGUUGUGAUUGAAAAUGUGCCUGUUCCUAAUUAAAGGGUAUGUUUGGUUUGAACAGUCACUUAGGUAUUAUAAAUACCUAUUUAUCUCUUGGAACAAAAAUCAGUUCUUAAUCUAUUUCUCUUUCACUAUAAAUCAUAACAUUCUGUUCUUGUGAAAAUUCAAAUUAAUUGCUGUAAUUUGAAUUUUAGUGGCUUUGUAAAUCCUCUAAGAAUUCUGCCAAAUCUCUGCCGCAAGUAUAAGUGGAAGGCUUAAAUUCUUUAAGGACAGUGAAUACACUAUCAAAAUCAAUCUUUUUAAAUCCGCGCAAAGUUUUUGUAACAGGAAAUAGCUGGUGCACUCAUGCCAUAUUGUUUCCUACCUCAACCAUGCACGUUUUGAAACUUAAAUAUUUCUUGACGUUUGUGACCUUUUUUUAAAACAAAAAACUUAUGGAGCUUGACAUUACUUAGUUACUAGUUACUACUUAAAAAAGGAGUUCUAGUUAUGUCCAGUAACAAAAAGGAUAUCAACUUUCUAGCUAACAGUCACAAGUUGUCGUUGUUCGACCAUUCAAAUUUAGUGGAGUAGGUAUAUAGUAUCAACUCAAUUUAUUAAUCAAUCAAAUCAGGAGAUAUGUGCAUAUACAUCACAACAUCAAUGUCGAGCUCCCAGUCCCCGUGACACUGUUGCUAUCAAUUAUCAUGUGGUAUACAUAGAGCUAAGUAUUAAUAGAAGGUUGUAACAAGGUCUCGAUCAAUCACAUGUUAUAAAAGAAUAAAAGUAGGAAGAUAAAUGAGGACCAUGACUCGGAGUUGGAAUUUUCAAGUGGCCCGAUUCAAUGUAAUUUUAAUCUUAUACACAUAUAUGAUGUAAUUUUUUGUAGAACGGAAUUUGAACGAAUCCCUUGUUCCCUAGAGGCUAGAACCGAAGCUUAGCGAUACUUUGUCUGUAGUUGGAGGAUGACUUUAGUUGUGGCUUAAAUUUGAUGCUAAGUUAUAUAGUCGUCAUUUCUCACGAGAGUGAUAUCGACUUGAACUUUAUUUACAAUAAAAAUAUCUCCCUUACAUAUGAAUAAUAUCAUCAUUUACAAAUAUUUAUGAAUAAAAAUAUAUGUAGUUCAUAUACAUGACAACGAAAAAUAAGGUAAUCAAUAUGCUAUUGGCCAAUAAUCCAGCUGUUCUAUCUUGCAACUUGACUUAUUUGCUAUCAGAAGGCAAUGCUCGUCCAUUAGGUGGUUUCAAAAGUUUAGAAAAGAAAAAAAAAAUGCAGUUGAAUGCAUUCGAUCAUGUUAUUUUCCAAUUGCAAAUAUACUUGCUACAAAUGUAACUUUUAUUUUUCUUUUUUGUUUAAUCUCUCGCUAGAAGCUUCUGCUUUUUUUACUCUUUUAGCGACUCAAAUCCACAGUUCUAAAGUUGGAGAGCGAGGAUGGUUAGUGCUUACGCCAUGAGGAACCCCCUCUUGUCGAAAUCAAUAAUGAAGAAUUAACUCAAAUAGACGCAUGUUCAAAUGCUUAAAUUAAAAAUAGCCGGUGAAUCCAUAUCAUUACUAGAAGUGCAAGGUCCGUGCAGCACGGGUCCAACAGUAGAACAUGUGGAUUGCAAGUUUUAAAUUUUAAGAUUUAUCUUAGAGUAGAAAGUUUGAGCAGUAGAAUAUUUUCAUUAGUAUGAUUGAGCUGAAGGGAUCACAAUUGAAACCUUUUUUUAACCUUUUUGUUGAAUUUUGUGAUCAGAAAUAUAAAGAAAAAAAAGAGGUGUAAAUUUGAUGAAAUAGCUUAAAUCAAAUAUCCAGCAGAUUAUUGAUUUUCAAUAUCGCAAAGAUUAAGAAUCAUGUAAACUUACCCGAUAAAGAGAAUACAUACCUUAGAUUCGCUAUUGUUUUGUAUAAUUAUUAAUUUUAACACAGGAAAAGAGUGUUGUAUUUUAAUAGAGAAGGAAGAAUUGAGAUUUUCUUUUCUUUAUUUUAUUUUUAAAACAGAGAAAUGUUAAUUAAUAUUGAGGAGCUGUAAAAAGUUGAGAAAGAUGGCUACACAUAUUUGAUAGAAAAUUUGCUAAUGUUAAGAAAGUGCGAAGUGUUUGAUAACAAAUUUGUGAUAGUUACACGUUUUUUGUACUUAAAUUUACUUUAUUUAUAUUUAAAUUAGUUGGUAAAAAUCUUUUGCAAAUAAUCUUUAUACUUCUUUUCUUUAAUUUCUUUAAAAUAUAGUAAUAAAAUUUACUUAUGUUUUAUUCUUCUCACACUUUACUACAUACAUUUUAUCCUCUUUAAAUCUGAUUAUGCCAUUUUACCCUCUAUAAACAUCACUGUACAUUAAAAUCACGAUUGAAGCAGCUCAAGCAGAAAUCAGUCAAUUUUUAAUUUUUUUUUUUGUUAAUUAUUGUUAUUUACAGUACUUUUUAUUUCAUUUUCAAAUAAUAUAUGUUGCUUUAUAUCUUCUUCUGUCCCGUCCCAAUUUAUAUGACACUAAUAUAAUUUUGAUAGUUAAUCAAAUAUUUUAUGUUGACAUAUCAUUUUGUUAUUCACAUUUUUCUAAUACAUAAAUGACUUAUAAUAAGGAGUGAUCUAGUAAAAUCAUUAUUCGAAAUACGAAAAUUUAAUUUAAAACAUUCAGAGUUAAUUUCGCAUUUUAUGUCUAUGUUAUUUUUCAUUAAAUAUUAUUUAUUUUAUUAAUACUUAGAUGACACAUAAUAAUUAAUUAAGAGCGAUUGAUUAUGUUAUUACUAUAAAAAUUAAUUUAAUUUUAUCAUAUCCAAUAGUAAUCAGUGAUAAUUCACCGAAAUAGUAUAUUAAUUAAAUACGGAAUGCUAUAUUUGCAUAUGCAAAAUAUAAUAUUAUUAAACAUUAUUGGACAGUGCAUUAUAUUUAUCUUUCACAAUAAUAAAAUUUUACUAGAUAUUUUUUAUUAUUUCUUUUUAACUUGAUACAUAUUGACCCAACACAAAUUCUAAGAAAAUAUUCAUUAGAAAUUUAUUUUAUUAAAUUAAAUUUAUUAAUUUUGUAGUUUAAAAAUUUAAAGUUAANNNNNNNNNNNNNNNNNNNNNNNNNNNNNNNNNNNNNNNNNNNNNNNNNNNNNNNNNNNNNNNNNNNNNNNNNNNNNNNNNNNNNNNNNNNNNNNNNNNNNNNNNNNNNNNNNNNNNNNNNNNNNNNNNNNNNNNNNNNNNNNNNNNNNNNNNNNNNNNNNNNNNNNNNNNNNNNNNNNNNNNNNNNNNNNNNNNNNNNNNNNNNNNNNNNNNNNNNNNNNNNNNNNNNNNNNNNNNNNNNNNNNNNNNNNNNNNNNNNNNNNNNNNNNNNNNNNNNNNNNNNNNNNNNNNNNNNNNNNNNNNNNNNNNNNNNNNNNNNNNNNNNNNNNNNNNNNNNNNNNNNNNNNNNNNNNNNNNNNNNNNNNNNNNNNNNNNNNNNNNNNNNNNNNNNNNNNNNNNNNNNNNNNNNNNNNNNNNNNNNNNNNNNNNNNNNNNNNNNNNNNNNNNNNNNNNNNNNNNNNNNNNNNNNNNNNNNNNNNNNNNNNNNNNNNNNNNNNNNNNNNNNNNNNNNNNNNNNNNNNNNNNNNNNNNNNNNNNNNNNNNNNNNNNNNNNNNNNNNNNNNNNNNNNNNNNNNNNNNNNNNNNNNNNNNNNNNNNNNNNNNNNNNNNNNNNNNNNNNNNNNNNNNNNNNNNNNNNNNNNNNNNNNNNNNNNNNNNNNNNNNNNNNNNNNNNNNNNNNNNNNNNNNNNNNNNNNNNNNNNNNNNNNNNNNNNNNNNNNNNNNNNNNNNNNNNNNNNNNNNNNAUAUUUACUCCUUGUGUCCCAAUUUAUGUGGCUUCGAUACAAUUUUGAGAGUCAACUUAAAUUUUAUAUAUCUGUUAAAUAUUUUAAGUUGUUAAUUAUUAUGAUUUGCGGUACUUUUUCUUUUAUCUUAAUUUAUGUGGCAUUGCUAAAAUAAUGAGAGUCAAUAAAAUUUAUAUAUGUCUUUUAAAUAUUUUAAGUUAUUAACUAAUAUGAUUUGUGGCAACAAAUUAGUUUUGAACAUGAUAGCCAAUUAAAUAAAUAAAAAAAAUUACUUUCAAUAUGUAGUUAUAGUUAAUUAAUAUAAAUUAAUAGAAUAUAUUAAAUAUUUAAACAUUAUGAUGAAAUAAUAAAAUUAUUAUACAUUGGGAUAUGGUAUGUAAUUAAGUGAGAGUAAAGGGAUAUUUUGGUAAUUAGAUAAGAGGUGGUCGAAACCACCUCUUCUAUAUAAUAGAAAUAUAUCUAUGACAUAUUAAAAGUGUGAAGACCUUUAGAAAAGUGAUUCGAACUUUUUGCCCUUCAUUAAAAGACUUUACUUUAGACAAAAUCAUCUUUUCACUUAUUUUUUAUAAUAAUUAUUAUAUUAUUAUAUUUAUAAUAUUAAAUAUUGAGGAUACUAAAUAUAUUUAAAAAAAUAAGUAGGGUUUUUAGUUGAUAUAUGGAAAGAUUAUAUGAAAUUCAACUUUUAGUUCGUAUAUGGAAAAUUAUAGGAAUUCUAUUAUUAAUCAAUUAGGACAAUGACACGGCUCUUUUUGCUAUAUAUAUAUAUGGGGUUAAUAACAUUCAAUUGGUUUAGCUACGUAUUGUUCUUCUCACAUUUUUUUUUUUUAAUUGUUUAUUUAAUAUUAAUUAUUUUACUUUGUAGUGUGUAUUUUUUUUUAAAAUGUUUGAAAAUCUAACUUUCUAUGCAUGCAUCAUCUUUUCUGGUGUAUUUGAAGAUCUAACAUUUUUAUGUAUAUGUUAUUUUUUUUCAGUCAAAAAAUUCUGAUCGAAAAAAUUGGACAAACAAGCAUGUUCCAUUCGAAUAAUAAAGCGGCCGGAAAAAUCAAAGAAGGAUGUUGCAGUAAUAAUAACGCAGUUGAAAAAUUCAAAGGUUUAUAGUACCUCUCUCUUUUUAUUUUUACGUUUAUUUAAAUAAAAUUUUUACCCAAGUCUAAGUAAAAAAUCAAAGGUGCAGAUAGUUUUUUAACCAAAUUUGAAAUAAAAAUUAAAGACCGUAUAUAUUUUUAGAAUGUCUAUUUGUAAUGAUUCUUUUUACAGAAUAAUCAGUUACAAGUUGAACAGACCAAAUUAAUAUUAACACAGUAUGUAUAAAAGUGUCCCUAAUUAAUAUCAGUUGAAAUAAUUUUGUAGUUGGCAUUAUUUAAUAUUUUAUUUUAUUAUAUAUAUAUAUGGAAAGAAUAUUGUGAUACUAAUUAUAUUAAAUUUGCCUUUAUAUAUACCUUAGAAAAAUGAUUCGAACUUUUUGUCUUUCAUUAAAAUAUUCUUACAAUAGACAAAAUCUUCUUUUCACUAUUUAAUAAAUCACAGUCACCAACAAAUAUUUAAUUAUUUACCUAAAAUUUAGAACUUCUUACCAUACCUUUAAUGUGUAAAAUUCUUUUUUUUUUUAAAUUCAUUUUUCUCGAAGGACAAACUUUCACAAUUUUUUUGAUGGCAAAAAAUGAUUAUCGUAUGUCUGAGUUAGAAUACUUUGGGGUUUUCAAAUUCAUUAUAGCUUUAGAGUUUUCUUUGAUAAAUAUAUUCUUUAUUGAGUUUGGUUUAGGUUUAAUCGUAAAUGUGCAUGUGAUUUGAGGUAAGUUUUCUAAAAUUUUGGUAUGAUUUUUAUAUUUAUAAAAAUAAAUUGUCAUAUAUUUGAUAGAUAGACGAUUGCUAAUUAAGUAGUUUUCUUUUGUGAUAUAAGUAUGUUCUUGAAGUUUAAAAUAAAAAAUUAUCAUACAUUCUUGAUAGAUUAUCGCUAAUCGAGAAGUUUUCUGUAAUGUUAUUUAUAAUAAUUGAUUUAUUAUAAUAGAUAUAGAUAUAUCUCUAAAAGAUUAAGUUCAUACUUUAAUAGCAAAAUAUGAUUUAAAUAAUGUAUCUACUAGAGAAUUAUUUUCAUAAACCUAUUUAUUCACAUAAGUAUGCCAUGAGAACUUGCAAACCCAUCGUCAUAUAUGUGUCAAAGUAGAAGUGGUCUAAAUCAUAGGGUACGAUAACCACUUUUUGAUUGCUGAAUUUUUCUUUACUUAAUUAUAUUAUAGAAUGUGUUUUGAUAUGUGUUUGCCUACAAAAGCCAAAAAAAUGGAGUUGAAGUUGAAGUUUAAGUUGAAGUUGGAGUUAAAGUGUGUAUAUAUAUAUAUAUAUAUAUANNNNNNNNNNNNNNNNNNNNNNNNNNNNNNNNNNNNNNNNNNNNNNNNNNNNNNNNNNNNNNNAUAUAUAUAUAUAUAUGUAUACAUAUAUUAUAGUUUAUAGCUCGUAGAUGAAUGUCGGUUGGCUUUGAAGAAUUUCUUGUGUGAAGGUUAGGUUUAAUUGUAUUGUUUUGGUAUCUUUAUUAUCUUAUUGUUUUAUUUUAAUUUACAAAUGCUAGAUGAAUAUGAGUCAGCUUUGAAAUUUAUUUUAGGUAAAGAUUAGGUUUAAUUGUAUUAUCAUAAUAUCUCUAUUAGUUUGUUAUUUUGUAGUAGUUUACCGUUCGUAGAUGAAUCUCAAUCGGCUUUGAGAAAAUUUUGUGUGUAAAAUUUAAGUUUAAUUGUAUUAUUUUUAUAUCACUUUUAUCGUAUUAUUUUGUUACAGUUUACAAGUGAUAGAUAAAUGUUGGUCGGCUUUGAGGAAUUUUUUUAUGUAAAAGUUAGAUUUAGUUUUAUUAUCUUGGUAUCUCUAUUUUGUCGUAUUAUUUUGUUAUUAUUUACAGGUGGUAGAUGAGUGUCGGACGAUUUUGAGAAAAUUUUUGCGACUAAGAUUAGAUUUAAUUGAAUUAUUUUGAUGUCAUUAUCAUUGUAUUGUUUUGUUGCAGUUUACAGAUGGUAGAUGAAUGUCGAGCGACUUUUAAAAAUAUUUUUAUUAAAGAUUAGGUUUAAUAAAGGAAAAAAUACAUAGAGUAGCAUACUUAAGAGUUAAAUUACAAAAAAUAGCAACACUUUUGUGUAAUUACUCCAUGUAGCAUAAAUAGCAUUAGUUUUAAUAAAACUCAAUUACUUUUACCCUGAGAAAAAGUUAUUGUGCAUAUUCUCCCUAUUUCACGCUUUCCGAAAUAUAUUUCCUUUUUUCAAAAUCUUUUUUUCCAUUUUUCACGCCUCUAUUCUUGUUCCCGCGUUCCAAUCUUCUUCCAAUUUUCUCCUUUCGCACAAAUUCAACCACGAUCUGAAACGAUUUUGUUCCUAUAAUUCAGGUAUCUAUUUAACUCAGUUAUUGCAUGUUAGCAUUUUCAAUUUUUUUUUUUAUAUUCAAAUUCAUAGCAAAUUCGUUUUUACGGUUUCUACUCUCUAAUGGCUGAACACACAGUAAAAUCACUAUCAAAAAGUGGUAUACGAAAUACUAAUUUGAUUUCUGAUUAUGUACCAUCGUUUAGUCUUGGUUUAACUCAAGAAAAUAUAGUUAAAGUUGUUUCAAAUCCUUACAGUCCAAACAAUUUGUGAGUUUGAAGGAAAUUAGGUCCAAGUUUUGAAACGACGCGAUAAAGAUUACUGAAAUUUUGAAAAAGGGUAAAAGGAUGAAGAAAAUUGAUUCAGUAAAAGAACAAAAAUAAAAAAAGUAUGAGAAGAGAAGGAAAGCUGAAGAAAUUGAAGAAGUAAGGAAGGAGGAUGUUGAUGUUCAGAUUUCUUCCGCUGAUGAAUCCGAAGAAGACACUGAAGAUGAGGUAAUUUUUGGCUUUGUAAAUAUUUUUUAUACGUAUUUUUUUUUUUGUGUUUAAUAAGUAGUUAAUAUGUAUUUUUUCAAGCCGUUAAUAUGUAUUUAGAGAAUUCUAGCCGUAAAUAUGUAUUUUACCAUAUGUGAGAUACUAAUGAAGAUUUAGUGGCUAAAUGUAUUUUUAAGUAUAUUUGAUAUGUAUUUUUUUGUGUUGGUUGUAUUUUUUUCAUAUUCAAAUACAUAUACGUGUUAUAUGUACUUUUUGUUUUGCUUAAUAAGGUGUAGGUGUAAAAUGUAUUUUUAUGUCAGGAUGAUAUGUAUUUAUGGAUUCAUGAGAGCUGAAAUUUUGUUAACAUAUGUUUUUUGCUUUUAGUGAUGAUUUUUGUAUUUUUUUUGCCGUUCAUAAUACAUAUGAAUUCAUAGAUUGAUGUCAUGCUGAUAUGUAGUUAGGGAUUGAUGUGAGUUGUGUUCUUUUUGACCUUUGUAUUUUGGUUAUAGUUUAAGACAUUGUAGUUUUACUUUUUAUAGGUGCUGCAUGACGACAUAUUCAUUGCAAAAAAACUUCCUCGUUUGGCACCAAUAUGUCCAUGUUAACACACUCUGUACAAGAUAUGCUGCACUACUGUGGGACUAUGGUAUUCGAAAACAAGACGCAAAUGCUCAUAGCGAUUUCGAAGCACCAUCGAGGCCUGUUAGGCAAAGUAGAAUAACUAGUGUCACAUAAGUUCUAGAUGUAUGAUGGUUUGUAGAUUUAUCACAUUGGAUAUUGUAACAAACGGGUAUAUGAAUGUAGUUUAAUAUGUAUUUUUGCAAACUUAUAUUGAACUGCAUGUUACAGUAAAUGAAAAAUUUGUUCGAUUUUACUUGUUUUAUAUGUUUAGUUUUUACAUGUUACAGUGAGAACUAACCCAAAAAAUACAUAUACAACUAAAAAUACAUAUGGAUGAACAAAUACAUAUAACAGUUAAAAAAUACAUAUAACCUAAAAAUACUUACACAGUGUUAAAAUACAUAUGCAGUGAUCAGAUAAUUAGAUAAAAAUACAUUUCAAAUCUAAAUCCUAUGUUUGGUGUUGAACUCUGACAAUAUGAAUAAAUACACUAUUAAGUUUUAACAUAGUUCAGAUAUCAUUUUUUAGCUGUUUAGUUUUAAACAUAAAUAUGACUGUUAACAAUAAAUAUGUUUAUAAAUACAUAAACAUUAUUAAAUAUACAUAUUAGUUGAAAAUAUAGAUAUAGUUUUGAAAAUACAUACGAGUUGCAAAUACAUAUAUAGUGAUUUUAGACAUGUAUACAUAUAUAGUGUUGAAAAUAUAUAUCAAUGUGAAAAUACAUUUACAGUGAUAAAAAUACAUAUGAGUUGAAAAUACAUAUGAAUAGAGUAUGCUGACAGAGUAUUGAAAAUACAUAUGGGUUACAAAUACAUAGAGAGUAUUGAAAAUACAUAUGACUAGUAUUUUUCACAAUGCAAAUAAAUAUUCUUUUUUUGACAUACAUACAAACACAACGUUCAGAUUAACACUUUUCAUAUAUCAAAUUAGGCACAAAUCAUGAAAAUGAUACAUCUGGUUUCAAAUGUAUCAUAAUGAUACAUCUCUAAUUCCAGAUGUAUCAUAAUGAUACAUCUCUAGUUCCAGAUAUAUCACAAGGAUACAUUUCGUAAAAUUACUCACUAACCAUUGAAAAUUCAAUCUCACACCAAAAUAAAUAAUUUACAUUUGUCAAACAUAUGUUAAAUGUAUCAAACAUUUAUAAAUAAAUUUAAAAUAUGAAUCACUAUCACAAAGUAUAUGUCACUAUCACAUUAUUCAAUUUCUCCUUUUUUUCUUAAUGAGUACUGACUUAAAAGUUGAAAAAGAAUUCAAAAUUGAUAAAAGAAGAGUUGAUAAAAAAAUUUAAAAAGACAAUGAAAUUGGUGAAGAAAUUGCAGUAAAAGAGAUGAAAGUUGUAUCAAUUGAUGAUAAUUUGACAAAGAUUUUAAGGGAUGAAAUAUUUGAAAAAGAAAUUCUUCAAUUAAAAAUAGGCAUGCAUUAAUUGUGGAGUAAACGUUGGGUGGAAGUUUUAUUCAUAUAUAUCAAGAGUAAAAUAUAAAAUUCAAAAUUUUAAGUAAUUGUUUAAAAGGUAAGGAUUUUGGGUAAGAAGGUCUCUUAGGUUUGUGGUUUUGUGUAAUUUAUCCUAAAUUUUUUAAAAUUAUUAUGAAAGUACUAAAAUAAAUCAUCAUAAUUAAUUAUUUAUAUAUUUAUAUAUAAUAUGAGUGUAUUUAGAAAUUUAAUCGUGACUUACAUUUUCCCGCAAUUUUACUAUCUAAACUUUAAAUCUUUCAUUAAGUGUUCAGGAAAUAUAUUUAUGCAUGAAGUGAUGUAAAGAGUUAAAUAGAUUUAAAUUAUUUAAGUUUUUAAUUAUUUUGAUUUUUAAUACUUUCUAAUACUUUUUCAGUUUAAGUGACAUUGAUACCUCUUUGACAGUCAAGCAAAUAUCACAAUUAAAGUAGCGAAACAGACAGUUUAAGUAACACUGAUAUCUCUUUGACAGUCAAGCAAAUAUCACGAUUAAAGUAGCGAAACAGACAUGUCUUAAAUGACUCAUAAUAACUAAUUAGAAUUGAUAUAGCAGAAUUCCUAUAAAAGAUACUUGUGAUUAUUAUUAAUUAAUUUUCUAAUACGUGAAUAACUUAUAAUAAUUAAUUAGGGAUGAUAUAGUAAAAUCAUAGUUGAAGCAACUGAAGCAGGCAUGUGAUAAAUAUCUAUUUUAUUUUUUAAUUAAAUAUUAUUAAUUUUAUAAUACAUAAAUGACUUAUAAUAAUUAAUGAGAGAUGAUAUAGUAAAAUAACGAUUGAAAUAGCUGAAGCAGACAUUUUAUCAAUAUUUAUUUUAUUUUUUAAAAUUAAAUUUUAUUAAUUUUUAAUACAUAAUUAACUUAUAAUAAUUAGUUAGGGAUAAUAUUGUAAAAUCACGAUUGAAGCAACUGAAGUAGGUAUGUCGUCCACAAACUACCAAUGUAUUUAAUUUUUAUUUGAAUCCAAUCAUUUAGAUAUCAAUAAGGCUACCACUUCCAUACUCCCUUUUUGACACAUAUAUUAUGAUUGCAGGGUACUUCAUCUAAUUAUUUUUAAUUUAUCAUUUUGUAUCUAUUUUAUCCCUGUUAUUAAAUAUUAUUUAUUAUCUAAUACUUAAAUGACUUAUAAUAUAUAAUAACUAAUUACAAAUGAUAUACUAAAAUUAAUACAAAAACUACUUGUAAAAGAAAUUUAAAUGAACCUCAUAUAAGUCGUCCCCUUUUUUUAUGAAAUAUUAUCAAUUUUUUAAUGUUUAGAUGAUCUAUAAUAACUAAUUAGGGGUGAUAUAAUAAAAAUCACAAUUGAAACAGUUGAAGUAGUCAUGUCAUAAAUAUUUAUUGUACUUUUUAAAUUAAAUAUUAUUAAUUUUUAAUACGUAAAUGACUUAUAAUAAUUAAUUAGAAAUAAUAUAGUAAAAAUCAUAGUUGAAUCAGCUGAAACAGACAUGUCAUAAAUGUCAUAAAUAUUUAUUUUACUUUAUUAAAAAAUAUAUAUUAUUAAUUUUCUAAUGCUCAAAUGACUUAUAAUAAUUAAUUAAGGAUAAUAUAAUAAAAUCACGAUUGAAGCAGCAGAUGCAGACAUAUCAAAAAUAUCUAUUUUAUUUUUUAAUUAAAUAUUAUUAAUUUUUAAUACAUAAAUGAAUUAUAAUAAUCAAUUAAGGAUGAUAUAGUAAAAUUAUGGUUGAAAUAACUGAAGCAAAUAUAUCAUAAAUAUUUGUUAAUUAAUUCUAUAAUUAAAUAUAAUUAAUUUUUUAAUAUGCCAAUAACUUAUAAUAAUAAAUUAGAAAUAAUAUAAUAAAAUGACGAUUGAAAAUGCUGAAACAGACAUGUUAUCCAUACGGUACCUGCUUCAAUAGCUUAUCCUCACUUAUAGUAUGUAUAGUCAUAGAUGUGUUAAAAUACUCAUGCAAAAAGAAUUUAAUAAAAAAAUUUAAUUUCAACACAAACAACUGUAAAGAUUCACAAGAAAUUAAAUAAUGGACUGAAAAUUGGGCCAUCAACUUAAACAGUUACUUAUUGCUAUGUCAGAUCAUGUUUUUACAUUGCAAAACACUAAAAUAAAAGACAUAAUUAAAGAUAAAACUAUCCAACUAUAGGAUCAUAAAAGUUACCGUCUUUAUUUAUUUUUUUAAAUUGCCAGCUCUUCCGUAUGUUAAUUUUUCUAAAUGAAACUCCUCACCAUUUCAGCUUUGCUAACAACAUAACAUUUCAAUUAGUUAAAUAAUCCUGAAAAUUAAAUAUUACAGUACCUAAAUUUAUUUAAAAGACUAUAUGCAAAUAUAUUCUUUUUUGAAUUUUCUAAAGAUAUUUUGAACUAAAUUUAUCUCACUUAAAGCUUACCUUUUCACACAGAGACAUGUAGUAAGGCUGAACUUCUUCCGCGUUAACCAAAACCUUGCUUUUAUUAUACGAGUCAUAUUUGUUGCACCAUGAAAUUAAAAAAUGUUAUAAAAAACGAUGAAUUAUAAUUAAAUGUUUCUUCUUCUUCUUCUUCUAAAAAUAAAUUUAAUUUUUUUAAUUCAAUUAAUAUUUGGGAUCGAAUUUUUUUUAAUUCAAUUAAUAUCAGAGAUCAAAAAGAAUAUUAGAUCUUCUUUACAAAUAUGAAGCUAUUUGACAUUUUUCUUAUCUUUUUCAUUCAUUAGUUCUGUGUAAGCUUUAGAUUUAUGCAAAUAGAUUUAACAAGUAACAACACACCAUUUAGCCACUUAUUAAUCGUUAAAUAAUAAAUGAAAUAAAAUAAAUUUAACUUUUUUUUUCUUUUAUACUUACCGUAAAAUAAGUGAUAUCUAAUGAUGAAAAGACCAACUGAUGGCAAUGUUGGCCCACUUUCAUUUGCCACAUGCACGUGAGUAAAACACUUCUUUUUAAUCACGUACAUACAAUCUAAUAAUAACUAAUAAAUCAUAACCUAGUGUUAAACCUUGUAAAUACCUAAUUUUUGACCAAACUAAAUAUUUUACGUCAUUUAGUGUUUAAUAUAUAUAUUUAAUUUUUAUCUUAUUCUUACAAGAUUGCUUUUAAAGUUUGGAAAACUACAAAAAAAAAUAAAGUCAUAUUAAAAUAAGUUUUUUAUUUAUUUAUUUUUAUUACUUAUUUAUUUAUUAAAAAAAGAAUUUUCAAAAAAUAUAUUUGUUUUCUUCUUUUAAAUUUUAAAUAAAUAAUCUAGUGAUAUUAAUAUUUUCUGAGUCAUAAUUCUAAGGUUAACUACUUAACUUAUUCAUAUUUUAUUAGUUUUAAAUAAAUUUUAUCAUUUUUAUUUUAUUUAAAUUAUUACUUAAAAAAAGAAAAAAGAAAAAAAGAAGAUAAAGUCAAAUCCUAAAAUCUACCCAAUUCCCACGUUUCUCAAUUGCCCUACACCUCCUCUCCCAUGUUCCCCACUAUUACCACACACGAUACACACACACACCACAAUAUAACACACGCGGACACUUGAACAAACCAGAGAGAAGACAACAUAGAGAAAGAUCAGAAAAAAAAAAAACAAAGAAAAGAAAAAAUAGAAUUAAGAACAACAUUGGAAGCAAGAAACAAAAAAGAACAUUCUUGAGCCAACCAAAAGAAAACAAAGACAAAAUAUAUUCCCUCCCACCUGUGGAAUCGACACAAACAACAAAGGGGAAAACAACAAUAAAAAAUUACUUAUAUCCAAAGACUUUGAGUUUUGUUCGCGGUUUAAGUUCGUGGCUUCUUCUUGUUGUUGUUAGGAAUUAUUUUUGCAAGAGGUAACCCUCAAUUUUUUUUUUAUGUAAUAUCACAAUUAUGCAAGAUUUGAUUCAAAUAUUAUGAAGUCGCUUUAAUCAUGAGUGUCAUUAUAUGUUAUCGUAGUAUUAUGAAGUAUGUUAAUUAAUUGAUAUAUUAAUUUAUAGAUUUUCAAGUAACUUUGCUAAAUUAUUAACCCAAUGUACUGAUAGGCAAUAGUAUCCAUUUGCUAGUAGUAAUAAUUACUAAUUAAUUAAGUUUAAAAAAGGAAGGAUGAAAUCCGUGCGCUACGGAAUUAAAUUGUGAUGGUAUAUGAAGAUUUCCAUCUAUGAGAAAGUGAAUUUUUAUUUAAGAUAUAUUUGAUGACCACAACAGUAUGUUUGUGAAUCUUAUUUCCUCAUAUUUAAUUAAAUUAUUUAUAAGGUUUCAUUAAAAUGUGCAUGGCAAUUGUCUUGGACUCUCUUAACGAAGAUGCUUUUGUUAAAUAUUUUGUUAACUUUGUUAAGAUAAUUUUGUUACAUCUAUUUUGUUAUGUUAGUUUGGCUUUUAUGUAAUUUUGUAAAAUUUAUAUAAUAAUGUGUUUCACAUUUUAUUGUUGUUGCACGAGGAUGAAGUUUUUAUUUUAAUGAUCAACAUUGUAGUAAACAGUAAAAUUACAUUAAUUUUUUCUUACUUAUACAUAUUGGUAAAUUUAGUCUACUUUAGAGCAAAAUGUAAGAUUAAUUCUUUUCUUUUAAAAGAAAAUAAAUAAAUAAAUAAAAAACUCUUUGGGUUUAGAUAUCAAACGAUAGAGUUUCUCUAAGUUUUAAGUUUAAAUCUGAAAAGUAUAGAAGAAUGAAUGUUCAAAGUUUAACAUAAGUGAAAAUUAACGAUGAAGUUGGAAAGCCUUGCUACCGACCAUUUAUUAUAAUAAAUUAACCUACCAUUUGAAAUCGAUUGAAUUGCGUUGGGUAGAUUUUAAACCUAUGAGGUGCUUAUUUAGACUAGGAAAAUGGGGACGACUCAUAAAUGCCUCAAAGACACGUGAAAUGUAUCAAAACUUGUGGUAUAACCGGAAAGUACUGCUACUGGCAAUCCACACAUUAAUAUAAUUAAAUAAUUUAAAAUAAAUUCAAAGUAGGAUGUAAGUAACUUUGAGGCUAACAAAUAUUAUGUAUACAAGAGAUUAAUUUAAGCCAGACGUAAGUCAUUAAAGCGACCGUGCUAGAACCACGGGACUCGAGGGGUGCCUAACACCUUCCCCUCGGUCAACAGAAUUCCUUAUCCGGAUUUCUAGUUUGCAGACCAAAAAUAAAGAGUCGUUUCCUUUUGAAUAGGGAUUCAAUAAGGUGACUUGGAACACUCAAACUUAAUUCCAAGUGGCGACUCUGUAAAUAAAAUAAUACCUAUUCAAAACGUCACUUUAAUUGGAAAAAUCCAUUUUCUCUAAAACCAGCUCCCUAGCGGGGUCGGAGGCGGUAAAAAUUGGGGUGUGACAGAUGGCGACUCUGCUGGGGAUAACCAAAAUUAGAGCUUUUAUAUUGACUUAUUUGGCUUUAUUUAAUUUUGAUAUUGUAUAUUGUUGGACUAAAUGAGUUAUUUGCCUACACGUUUAACUGCUUUGAUAUUAUUUGAAUUGCAAUAUAAACUGUCUUCUCUCGCGCACCCAUCUGAGUCUUCUGAGAUACCUUAUAUUCGGAGAUGCGGUAUACACUUCCGAGCCUUGAGAUACCAGAGAUGCGGCAACACUCCUGGGAAGGAUUCUAUAGUCACACGUGAUUUAGGAUGGGAAGGAGUAACGGUAAGGUCAGAAAACACUGCUACCAGUAAGGCUGUCCCUGCCCGACUCGAGUUGUCUGCUCAUUUUACAGCUAGUCUAGACGCCUAUCUCCAUCAGGUUAAAUCUAGUUAAACUGAAACUUAGAUAUGAGUAUUCCUAUUAGGCUCCACUUUAUUUGCAUCACGUCCAUAUUUUACUCAGUAGAGGCUCGACAAAGGUUUGAGUAUCUAAAAGUACCCUCUUUUAAGACUAUCCAUUUUCUGUGCUACCAGUUGCAUUAACUAUUUGGUUGUUUUGAAUGUUGGCCGGCUUCGGAAUCCAUUAACGUAAAAAGAGGCUGAAAAUUGCUCUCUAAAACCUAUUCUUUUUCGAAAACCAAAUAAGGUGCGGGAUUUGAUUUCACAAUAAAAAAUAUAUAAUUUUUUUUAAAUUAUCGAGUUUGCCCCAGUUUCACGAACUAUGCACACCUGAUUCUCAUCUCAGUGAGAUACGUAGCCAACCUUUCUUAGGUUCGGUGAUCCUCUUUCAAUUUGAAAAAAUAAAGAACGUUAAUCUUCUUUUUUUUUUUAAAAAAAAAAGAAAAUCCUUAGCCAAAGUAAAAAAAAAAGAAUGAAAGUGUUUAUUGAUAUUAAAAAACAAACAAAAAAAAGAAUUUUUUUUUAUCUUUAUUCAAAAUUAGAAAAAAAAAAAGUUCUUGCUUCAUAUUUUAAGCUUUCUGAACUACGUCUGACCUGAUUCUUGUUUAACAAGAUACGUAGGAAACUCUUAUUUUGAGUUUGGUCUCAUCUAAUACUUUUAUCGAAAAGAAAAGGGGAAAAGCUCCAGCACAAGAUUCAAACAAAGUCGAAGCAAUAACACAACAAGGGGCAAAGAAGCACAACAAAGAAGAUCGAGCGUCAAACCGCAACAAAUGGCAAAAGCACAAAAAUAAUGCAGAGCUCAUUGAGGAAUUAGUCACUUGACUCCCAAAUAUCAUCCUACCUAUCUCUAAUCCUACAAUAUCAACCAAUGACAAGUCCUACAUGAUUUCAUUUUGAGUGUUCUCACAUUAGUGGAUACUUACAUGAUUGUCAAGCUUAUGGUAUCUCAUUGCAUGCGUUGAACAUCUUUCUGAGUGUGAGUGAUUCUUGAACGUCCUAAAAUCUGAAUUUUUUCAAUAUGAGUGAAUUAGGAUUUUAGUUGUGGCAAGGGCACUUAAAACAUGAGGAUAAGAAGAAUUUUAAAUCCUUGAUUUAGGCAACAUAAAUAAAACAUGUCAAAACUUAAGUAUAUUCGAGGUACCAUUUGAAACUAUAGGGAUCACUUCUAAGUUGAUCUUGAAUUUUGCUCGAAAGUAAUUAGAGAUAAUUCGACCAUAAUGCUAAUUGUUGGUACCAAUUGAAGUCAAGAAAUGAAUUAAUUUCAUUCUUUCAUUCUCCAAAUGAACAUACUUUCAAAAAAAAAUGAAAAAAAAUUAUGUUUGUUGUGAACUACGUUAGACCUGAUUCUUGCUACGCAAGAUACGUAGGCAAUCCUACAAUAGGGUUCGGUCUCGCUGAAUAAUUUUUUUCUUACAUCCCUAAAAGGUAUAAUACUGGGGCAUUUUUUUUCAAUAAAAAAGAAUUUCAAAGUUCCUCGUAUCCAAAACUGGGGCAUAUUUUUUUAUGAAAUAUAUAUAUAUAUAUAUAUAAUAGAUAACUGGAACAUGCCUCUAACCACUAAUCAAUACACAUGAAUAAUCAAGAUAAGGUAUAGGAACUACAACUGAUUGGAGAUGAGUACUCUUUAGGAAACAAAACUCCCUAAUUCUCUUCGUCCUCAUAGGGUACCAUCCCCUAGUUGACAUCUUAGGAAACACUAUUUCCUAAUUUUUCUUAUUCGUCUUCAUAGGGCGCCAUCCCCUAGUUGACAUUUCCUUUAGUCUUCAUAGGGUGUCAUCCCCUAGUUGACAUUUUAUUUGUCUUCAUAGGGCACCAUCCCCUAGUUGACAUCUUAUUUGUCUUCAUAGGGCACCAUCUCCUAGUUGACAUCUUAUCUCGUCUUCAUAUGGCCCCAUUCCUUAGUUGACAUCUUAUCUCGUCUUCAUAGGACGCCAUUCCCUAGUUGACAUCUUAUCUCGUCUUUAUAGGGUGCCAUCCCCUAGUUGACAUCUUAUUCGUCUUCAUAGGGCGCCAUCCCCUAGUUAACAUCUUAUUUCGUCUUCAAAGGGCGUCAUCUCCUAUUUAACAUCUUAUCUCGUCUUCAUAAGGCGCCAUCCCCUAGUUUACAUCUUAUUCGUCUUCAUAGGACGCCAUUCCCUCGUUGACAUCUUAUUUCGUUUUCAUAGGGCGUCAUCCCCUAGUUGACAUCUUAUUCGUCUUCAUAGGGCGCUAUCCCCUAGUUGACAUUUAUCUCAUCUUCGUAGGGCGCCAUCCCCUAGUUGACAUCUUAUUCGUCUUCAUAGGGCGCCAUCCCCUAGUUGACAUUUAUCUCAUCUUCGUAGGGCGCCAUCCCCUAGUUGACAUCUUAUUCGUCUUCAUAGGGCGCCAUUCUUAUCUCGUCUUCAUAGGGCAACAUCCCCUAGUUGACAUCUUAUCUCGUCUUCAUAGGGCAACAUCCCCUAGUUGACAUCUUAUCUCGUCUUCAUAGAGCGCCAUCCCCUAGUUGACAUCUUAUCUCAUCUUCAUAGGGUGCCAUUCCCUAUUUGACAUCUUAUUCGUCUUUAUAGGGCAUCAUCCCCUAGUUGACAUCUUAUCUCGUCUUCAUAGAGCGCCAUCCCCUAGUUGACAUCUUAUCUCAUCUUCAUAGGGUGCCAUUCCCUAUUUGACAUCUUAUUCGUCUUUAUAGGGCAUCAUCCCCUAGUUGACAUCUUAUCUCGUCUUCAUAGAGCGCCAUCCCCUAGUUGACAUCUUAUUCGUCUUUAUAAAGCGUCAUCCCUUAAUUAACAUCUUAUCUCGUCUUCAUAGGGCGCCAUCCCAUGGUUGAUACCUUAUUCGUCUUCAUAGGGCGUUAUUCCCUAGUUGACAUCUUAUUCGUCUUCAUAGGGCAUCAUCCCCUAGUUGACAUCUUAUUCGUCUACAUAUGGCGCUAUCUCCUAGUGGACAUCUUAUUUCUUCUUCAUAGGGUGUCAUCUCCUAGUUGAUAUCUCAUUCUUCUUCAUAGGGCGCCAUUCCCUAGUGGACAUCUUACUUUGUCUUCAUAGGGCACCAUCCCCUAGUUGACAUCUUAUUCGUCUUCAUAGGACGCCAUCCCCUAGUUGACAUCUUAUCUCGUCUUCAUAGGGCAACAUCCCCUAGUUGACAUCUUAUCUCAUAUUCAUAGGGCGCCAUCCCCUAGUUGACAUUUAUCUUGUCUUCGUAGGGCGCCAUCCCCUAGUUGACAUCUUAUUUCGUCUUCAUAGGGCGCCAUCCCCUAGUUGACAUCUUAUUUCGUCUUCAUAGGACGCCAUUCCCUAGUUGACAUCUUAUCUCAUCUUCAUAGGGCGUCAUCCCCUAGUUGACAUCUUAUUUCGUCUUCAUAGGGCGCCAUCCCCUAGUUGACAUCUUAUUCGUCUUCGUAGGGUGUCAUCCCCUAGUUGACAUUUAUCUCGUCUUCGUAGGGCGUCAUCCCAUAGUUGACAUCUUAUUCAUCUUCAUAGGGCGCUAUUCCUUAGUUGACAUCUUAUUCGUCUUAAUAGGGUGCCAUCCCCUAGUUGACAUCUUAUUUCGUCUUCAUAGGGCGCCAUCCCCUAGUUGACAUCUUAUCUCAUCUUUAUAGGGUGCCAUCCCUUAGUUGACAUCUUAUUCGUCUUUAUAGGGCGUCAUCCCCUAGUUAACAUCUUAUCUCGUCUUCAUACAGCGCCAUCCCUUAGUUGACAUCUUAUUCGUAUUUAUAAGGCGCCAUCCCCUAAUGGACAUCUUAUCUCGUCUUCAUAGGGCGCGCGUUAUUCCCUAGUUGACAUUUUAUUCGUCUUCAUAAGGCGCUAUCUUUUAGUGGACACCUUAUUUCUUCUUCAUAGGGCGCCAUCCCCUAGUUGAUAUCUUAUUCGUCUUCAUAGGGCACUAUCCCCUAGUGGACAUCUUACCUUGUCUUCAUAGGGCGCCAUCCCCUAGUAGACAUCUUAUUCGUCUUUAUAGGAUGUCAUCCCCUAGUUGACAUCUUAUCUCGUCUUCAUAGGGCACCAUUCCCUAGUUGGCAUUUUAUCUCGUCUUCAUAGGGCGCCAUCCCCUAGUUGGCAUCUUAUUCGUCUUCAUUGGGCGCCAUCCCCUAGUUGACAACUUAUCUCGUGUUCAUAGGGCGUCAUCCCCUAGUUGAUAUCUUAUUCGUCUUCAUAGGGCGCCAUCCCUAGUUGACAUCUUAUUUGUCUUCAUAGGGCGCAUCCCUUAGUGGACAUUUUAUUUCAUCUUCAUAAAGUGCCAUCCCCUAGUGCACAUCUUAUUUCGUCUUCAUAGAGCGCUAUCCCCUAGUGGACAUCUUAUUUCGUCUUUAUAGGGCGCCAUCCCUUAGUUGACAUCUUAUUUCGUCUUUAUAGGGCGUCAUCCCCUUGUUGACAUUUUAGGAAAUAAACCUUCCUAUUUUUCUUCUUUACGUCUUCAUAGGGUAUGACAAUCCCUAGUUGCAUUUUAAGAAGCAAAUAUCCUAUUUUUUUUCAUACAUUCAUAAGGCAUAACUUCCUUUGAUUGCAUUAUUGAGAAUAAAGUUCUUAUUUUAUUGCGCACCUAGCCUAGAUUUCUAUCAUUUCCAUUUAUUUAUUUAUUUAUUUAUUUUUAAACUAGUUUAUAGUUUUUUCUAAUAACUAACAAAAUUUUCCUAAUGCAAACUAGGGUAGAAAAUUUUGUUUGUUUUGUUUUGUUUUCUUUGAUGGCUUGUAGGUUUUCUGCAAAACACAGGUUUAAUGCCGAGAAUGGCUUUCCAUCUCUGAUUUGAGUAGAGAAGAAUGAUUAGUUUGAAAAUACAGAGUCAGCUUUGCAUCUAUAGCGGCCCAACAUCUCAAGAGUCAUCUUCAUAUCUUCUGAUCAAGAGAAUAAACAUCCAAUAAUAUUCUAUGAACGAUCCUUGGGAGGAGCGCCAACGACUCAAUCCAAGUUUCAAGUUCAAGUCUCAAAUCCUAACUUCAAGAUCAAAUUUUGAGAUCAAGGUACCCACCAGAAGAAGGUGAGGCGAUAACUGGAGAUCCAGGAGGAAGAUCUGAAGCACGAGAAUCAAGACAAUUAGAAUAGAUAAGAUCUUGUAUCUUUCAUUUUUAGUUUCACUUUUUCUUUUUCUGAUGUAAUAAAAAGAGCCACGGACCGGAAACUCAACGGUACCUCACCUCGACUCUCCAACUCAUCCAUUCAUUCCAACUCCUAUUUGAACUACACGUGACCUGAUUCUCUUAUAACCUGAGAUAUGUAGGAUGCCCAAAGCCAGGGUUCGGUCACACCUCUUUCCUACUUAUUUACGUAUUACUUUUGAAUAAACGAUUGGGCAAAAAAUAAAUCAUGUUUACUUCUUUGCUUGAAAAUUCUCCAUAUUUUCAAGCAAAGAGCGGCAUUCUGUAAACACCUAAUUUUUGACCAAACUGAAUGUUUUAUGUCAUUUAGUGUUUAAUAUAUACAUUUAAUUUUUAUCUUAUUUUUACAAGAUUGCUUUUAAAGUUUGGAAAACUACAAAAAAAUAAAGUCAUAUUAAAAUAAGUUUUUUAUUUAUUUAUUUUUAUUACUUAUUUAUUUAUUAAAAAAAAGAAUUUUCAAAAAAUAUAUUUAUUUUCUUCUUUUAAAUUUUAAAUAAAUAAUCUAGUGAUAUUAAUCUUUCCUUAGUCAUAUUUCUAAGAUUAACUACUUAACUUAUCCAUAUUUUAUUAGUUUGAAAUAAAUUUUAUCAUUUUUAUUUUAUUUAAAUUAUUACUUAAAAAAAAAGAAAAAGAAAAAAAGAAGAUAAAGUCAAAUCCAAAAAUCUACCCAACUCCCACGUUUCCCAAUUGCCCUACACCUCCUCUCCCACGUUCCCCACUAUUACCACACACGAUACACACACACACACACCACAAUAUAACACACACAGACACGUGAAUAAACCAGAGAGAAGACAACAUAGAGAAAGAUCAGAAAAAAAAACAAAGAAAAGAAAAAAUAGAAGAACAACAUUGGAAGCAAGAAACAAAAAAGAACAUUCUUGAGCCAACCAAAAGAAAACAAAGACAAAAUAUAUUCCCUCCCACCUGUGGAAUCGACACAAACAACAAAGGGGAUAACGACAAUAAAAAUUACUUACAUCCAAAGACUUUGAGUUUUGUUCGCGGUUUAAGUUCUUGGCUUCUUCUUGUUGUUGUUAGGAAUUAUUUUUGCAAGAGGUAACCCUCAAUUUUUUUUUUAUGUAAUAUCACAAUUAUGCAAGAUUUGAUUUAAAUAUUAUGAAGUCGUUUUAAUCAUAAGUAUCAUUAUAUGUUGUCGUAGUAUUAUGAAGUAUGUUAAUUAAUUGAUAUAUUAAUUUAUAGAUUUUCAAGUAACUUUGCUAAAUUAUUAACCCAAUGUACUGAUAGGCAAUAGUAUCCAUUUGCUAUUAGUAAUAAUUACUAAUUAAUUAAGUUUAAAAAAGGAAGGACGAAAUCUGUGCUCUACGGAAUUAAAUUGUGAUGGCAUAUGAAGAUUUCCAUCCAUGAAAAAGUGAAUUUUUAUUUAAGAUAUAUUUGAUGACCACAACAGUAUGUUUGUGAAUCUUAUUUCCUCAUAUUUAAUUAAAUUAUUUAUAGGGUUUCAUUAAAAUGUACAUGACAAUUGUCUUGGACUCUCUUAACGAAGAUGCUUUUGUUAAAUAUUUUGUUAACUUUAUAAGAUAAUUUUGUUAAAUCUAUUUUGUUAUGUUAGCUUGGCUUUUAUGUAAUUUUGUAAAAUUUAUAUAAUAAUGUGUUUCACAUUUUAUUGUUGUUGCACGAAGAUGAAGUUAUUAUUUUAAUGAUCAACAUUGUAGUAAACAGUACAGUUACAUUAAUUUUUUCUUACUUAUACGUAUUGGUAAAUUUAGUCCACUUUAGAGCCAAAUGAAAGAUUGGUUUAGAUUCAAAUGAUAGAGUUUCUCUAAGUUUUAAGUUUAAAUCUGAAAAGUAUAGAAGAAUGAAUGUUCAAAGUUUAACAUAAGUGAAAAUUAACGAUGAAGUUGGAAAGCCUUGCUACCGACCAUUCGUUAUAAUAAAUUAACCUACCAUUUGAAGCCGAUUGAAUUGGGUUGGGUAGAUUUUAAACCUAUGAGGUGCUUAUUUAGACUAGGAAAAUGGGGACGACUCAUAAAUGCCUCAAAGGCACAAGAAAUGUAUCAAAACUUGUGGUAUGACCGGAAAGUACUACUACUGGCAAGCCACACAUUAAUAUAAUUAAAUAAUUUAAAAUAAAUUCAAAGUAGGAUAUAAGUAACUUUUAGGCUAACAAAUAUUAUGUAUCCAAGAGAUUAAUUUAAGUCAGACGUAAGUCAUUAAAGCGACCGUGCUAGAACCACGGGAUUCUAGGGGUGUCUAACACCUUCCCCUCGGUCAACAGAAUUCCUUAUCCAGAUUUCUAGUUUACAGACCAAAAAUAAAGAGUCAUUUCCUUUUGAAUAGGGAUUCAAUAAGGUAACUUGGAACACCCAAACUUAAUUCCAAGUGGCGACUCUGUAAAUAAAAUAAUACCUAUUCAAAACGUCACUUUAAUUGGAAAAAUCCAUUUUCUCUAAAACCAGAUCCCUAGCGGGGUCGGAGGCGGUAAAAAUAGGGGUGUGACAAACCUGUCAACUGGGCCAAUCCAAUUCAAAUUUUCACCGACCCAGUAAUGAUAAUCGAUCCAUGGAUCAAUACGGCCAGGGCCUAGUUUUUAAUGAACCGGACCGAUCCGGGCCUAACAGUAAGAACUCCUUAACCAGUCCGUGAUCGGUCUACUUAGCCUAGAAUUGAUUUUAACAGAUUCAAAUCAGUCAACAUGUAAAAAAAAAUGAAAUUCGAAUUUACAUGUUUUUUACAAUGUAAACAAUAUAUUUGGGAUAAAAAGAAUAUUGGAUCUUACUUAAAAAUAUGAAGCAAUUUUUCUUAUCUUCCUCAUUCAUUAACUCCAUGUAAGCUCCAGAUUUAUGUAGGACUGCUAGAUUUAACAAGUAACAACACAUCAUUUAGACAUUUAUACAUUGUUAAAUAAUAAAUAAAAUAAAAUAAAUUUAGCCAAUUAAUUUUUCUUUUGAACUUACCGUAAAAUGAGUGAUAUCUAAAAUGACCAACUGAUAACAAUGUGAUGUGAAACAAAAAAAUAGAAGCAAGAUAGGAAUUAAAGAUACAAAAUAAAGAAAGAUAGACACAAUUAGAUUCAAACAAUCAAAAGAUGUAAUGGUGAAACUAACCAAAACACCCCUUAAUUGAGAACUAAAAACACCUAAUCUAUUAGAAUCCUCAAGAAGGUAGUAACCUUACUUACAAAUCCUAGGACAAUUGUAGAAAAUCUAUAAAGGAUAUUUAAGCUCUCAAAGGAGGCACAAAUCUUCAAUAUUCCAAAAAAACUAGUGGUUCAACCCUAAUACCUAACUAUUUAUACUAAGAGUUAAAAAACAUACUUAGUAUAUUAAAUAUCCUCAAGUCAUCCAUAUUGGAGCCUUCCAAAGAUUCCAUCUUCAUCCAUAAAGCUUGAUAUGCUUGAAGGUCCUUAGCUUGACUUCUUGUGAAAGACCUUUUUAAAGUAGCGACUUUGAUGUACAUCACUCUCCUCCUCUUUGAAAGAAUUCGUCCUCAAAUUCACCAAUCCUACAUCAAAAAGAGAUAAAUCACUAACAUUGAAAACAUUAUAAAUCAAAUACUCACUUGGUAAGUCCACUUUGUUAGCAUUAUUUGCAAUCUUCUCAAGCACUUGAAAAGGUCCAUCUCCUCUUGGCAUAAGCUUGCUCUUACUUUUGAUUGGAAAUCUCUCCUUUCUAAAGUGAACCCAUACCCAAUCACCGGGUAUAAAUGUGACUUUUUAUCGCCUGUUGUUAGCUCUUUUGGCUGCAUCAUUGUUAGCCUUCUCAAUUUGCAAUCUUAUUUUCUCAUGGAUGUUCUUCAUAGAUUUUACCUUUGCUUUUGCAUCUACACUCACAAUAACAUCUUUGGGAAAAUGAGUUAAAUCCAAUGGAGUCAAAGGAUUAAAUCCAUAAACACACUCAAGAGGGGUUAUACCAAUAGAUCUAUGAAUAGUUCUAUUAUAGGCAAACUCAAUUAAUGGCAAUUGAUCCUCUCAAGAAGUAACUUUCCUUUAACCAUAGAUCUAAGUAUGUUACCUAAAGUUCUAUUAACCAUCUAGAUUUGAUCAUCCGUUUGAGGAUGACAAGAAGUAGAAAAUAGCAAUUUAGUUCCCAAAUUUCCCCACAAACACCUCCAAAAAUGACUAAGAAAUUUUGAAUCUCUAUCACUAACAAUUGUUUGGGGAACACCAUGCAAUUUCAUCACAUUAUGAACAAAUAAAGUAGCAACAUGAGAUGCAUCAUCACUUUUAUGACAAGCAAUAAAGUGAGCCAUUUUUGAAAAUCUACCCACAACAACAAAGAUGCUAUCCUUAAUAUCUAGCCAAGGAUCGAUAGGAAUAGGCAAAGGGGUAUACAAGUCAUGGGGUUGGGUACAAGAUUUAGCAUGCUUACAAUCCAAACACCUAGCACAAAUUCUUUCCACAUCUCUUAACAUUUUCAGCCAAAAGAAAUGUUCACUAAGAAUAGCUAAGAUUUUUGACACUCCAAAAUGACCUAUCAAACCUCCAUUGUGUGUCUCUUUCACCAACAACUCUCUCCAUGAAGACAUAGGCACACAAAGUUUUUCAUUUCUAAACAAGUAGCCCUCAUUCAAUUCAAAUCUAGGAAUUCUAACUUCAUUUCCCUCCUUAACAACUUGCACACACCUAUUCAAGCUCACUUGACACUCUCCAAAGACUUUUUCAAAAUCAUCAUCAUUAUAAUAUAACUCCUUCAAACUCUCAAAACCCAUCAACCUAGACGUCAAGGUAUUCAUCAAUGCAUAUCUUCUAGAUAAAGUAUCCGCAACAAUAUUCUUUUUACCUUGCUUAUAAUUAAUCACAUAUGAAAAAGACUCAAUGAACUCUAUCCACUUGACAUGCCUAUUAUUAAGCUUAUUUUGGAUCCUAAUAUGCUUCAAAGUCUCACGAUCAGUUCGAAUCACAAAUUUCUUAUGCCACAAAUAAUGUUGCCAAUUUGCUAAAGCUCUCACUAAGUCAUAGAGUUCUUUGUCAUAGGUAGAAUAAUACAAUGGAGCUCCGCUUAAUUUCUCACUAAAGUAAGCUAUGGGUUUCCCUUCUUGCAUCAAGACAGCACCAAUGCCUACUCUACUAGCAUCAUACUCAAUUUCAAAUAUCUUCUCAAAGUUGGGAAGUUGAAGUAAUGGAGUGGAACUAAGUUUCUCUUUCAAGAUUCUAAAGGCUUCCUCUUGUUUUCUACCCCAGAUGAAAGGCUUAUCCUUCUUAAUGACCUCGGUUAGAGGGGCGGCUAAAGAACUAAAACCCUUCACAAAUCUCCUAUAAAAACUUGCCAACCCAUGGAAGCUUCUAACAUCACUAAUGGACGUAGGAGUUGGCCAACUUCUAAUAGCCUCUACCUUUUCACCAUCCACCUCAACUCCUCUUGAACUUACAACAAAGCCAAGAAAAACAACACGGUCCAUACAAAAAGAACACUUUUUAAAAUUCACAUACAGCUUUUCAUUUCUCAACACAUCAAAUAUCGUUCUCAAAUGUGGCACAUGAUCAUCCAAACACUUGCUAUAAAUCAAAAUAUCAACAAAAUAAACCAUAAAAAAAUUAUUAAUAAAUGACUUAAGCACAUGGUUCAUUAGUCGAAUAAAAGUGCUUGGUGCAUUGGUUAGCCCAAAAGGCACCACCAUCCACUCAUAUAAUCCAAACUUAGCUUGAAAAGUGAUUUUCCAUUUGUCACACCUCUUUUUUGCCCGAAGGGUUCGAGGUCGAAGGAUUUUUCCAAUUAAAGCGACGGUUUUGAAUAGAGAUUAUUUUAUUUUACAGAGUCUCCACUUGGAAUUGAGUUUUGGUGUUUCAAGUCACCUUUUUGAAUCCCUGGUCAAAAGGAAAUGACUCUUUAUUAUUAUCUUCGAAAAUAGAAGACCGGGUAAGGAAUUCUGUUGACCGAGGGGAAGGUGUAAGGAACCCCUCGAGUCCCGUGGUUCUAGCAAAGUUGCUUUUAUUGACUUAUCUUGACUAAAACUAUUUUGAUAAUUAUGUUUGUAGGCCUAGAUUAACUCAUUUUUAUUAUAGCAAAAUUGUCUAUAUAUUUUAUAUUAAAUCGAUGAAAGUUAAUUUUAGAAAAAUAUUUGUCAAGGUGCAUUACCGCAUCCUUGAAAUUUUAAAUAUCUCAAAAAGAUGCGUACACCACAUUCUUAAUUGAGACGAAUAUUUUAACGUGUCUAAAAUUAGCUAGCGUUAAAGACAUUGGUUUGUAACCUAUAGACUUGAAUAAGAUAUGAAUAUAAAUAAAUAGUAAUCAUUUACUAAUACCACAAAGUCAAAUAUUUUAUCAUUCUAGAACAUAAAUAAAAUAUGAAUAUAAAUAAAUAGUAUCAUUCAAUAAUUCCAACAAAAUCACGUGAACAUAAAGUGUAUAAUUUUAACACCUUGAACCAAAUUUUAUCUUAGAAUUCACUUGUAUACUAUUUUUCUUAGACAAAAUUAUGAAAUAUAAAUUGAGUUAAUCAUUAGUAACGGACAAAACCAAAACCAAAAAAAUCUUGAUAAGAUAAUAAAUUAAAUAUUUCUCUCUCUCUAUCUACUAUAUAUAUAAACAUCAAUCCAUUAUUAUCAUUAAUUAAUCAAAAAUAUAAAAUAGAUGCUUAAACUACCAUAUAUAUAUAUAUAUCAUUUACUUAAUAGUAUUGCCUAACAUAAACUUUGCUUUCUUUUUAAACAAAAACUGACUCAUACCUAACAAAAACUUUCUUUCUUUUUAAACAAAAAAACUGACCCAAACUCAAAUAUGAGGGAAAAAAUAGAGGUGACGAGAAAUGACAACUGGACCGAAGAUCAACGACUAUUCAUCGCCAGUAAAACAAUGGUGACGAAACCAGCGUGAAAAAGGUGAUUUGUGGGUAAGCGGUCGGCGCAGCGCGCAUGGUGGGCGAAAAAGGGAAAAGGGAAAAGGGAAAGGAUGGCUCCAUGGUUUCAACGUUGUGGCAUUGAUUCUGGUCAGAUCUGGCCGUUUAGUCGCCGGAUCGGAGAGAGGGCAUGAGCGGCAGUAAUAGUUCACAUGGCUUUGGGGGUUUCCGGCGAUAUGAUGGUUGCCUGGCUUCUUUUUAUUCAUAUUUUUUUUACUGAUUUUUCCAUCAUUUAUUAUACUGUAUAUAGUGAUGCGUACUAAUUGAUGAAUUACAUGUAUAGUGCGUAAAAGAUAGAUUCCUUAAAUACAUAUUUAACUCAUGAAUGGGAAUUGGAAAACAAUGAUAUGGUAUGUGAACAUAUAUAUGAAUAACUAUUUUAUUCUUUUGAAAAACAUGUGUAAAAUAUGUUUUGGUAUAGAUAUGAAAGCUCUGAGUGUGGAUUCCUACUCUCCCUUGAUUUUAUAUUUUUUCUUUUAUAUCUUAUUACGUAAAAGAAUACUUUUGAAAGCAUGUACAUAUUUUCAUCUACUGUUUCUAAGAGUAAAAUUAUAUCAUCAUAUAUAGAUAUUAUGCAUAAGAUCAUUAUCGUUACGGAUAUAUAAUAAACAAAUAACAUCUUGAGUAAUUCAUUCAUGCUUUCAUGUAAUAAAAUCAAUAAGUAAAUAAUACUGGAUUAAACAAAAAGCCAGUAGUGAAAUAAUUCAAGUGAUGAACAAGAGACUCGUCACUGGAACCUUCAACGGAACCUUCAACUUCCUUCUUUUCUCUCCUUUGUCUGAUGUUUUUCUCUCUUCUAUGAUUUUUUACUCUUUUUUUUUGUUCUCUGUAAUUUGAUUUUUUUUUUUUUGUCAAGUGUUUGAUCUUUGUCAAAGUGUGCGUUCUCUUCUAAGGGUGGAAAAAGUUUCCUUCAAAUAGGAAGAAACGGGGGGAACAAUUAUUAUUUUAGGAGGGAACGGUUGUUACUUUUUAGGCAAAUAUAGUUAACAAGCAGAUAAAGGAGAGGGGGGGAUUUAAAAUUCAAAUUAAUUAAUUAAUAAUUUUUUUUUUAUUUUUUAAUAAAAAAUAAUAAUAACAAUAAUAAUAAAAUAAAUAAUAAUAAUUAAUUAAUUUUUAUAUUUAAUAAAACACAAUAACCAUUUAUAAAUAGACAAAAUAAAUAUAAUAAAAUAGUAAUAAAACUACUAAUUUAUUUAUUAAAAUUUAGAAAAAAAAUAAUUUUUCUUUGUGUUAUAAAAAAUAAAUAAAUAAUAGUAAUAAUAAAAAUAAAAAGUAAAAUUUUCAAAAUUAACUUUAUUUAUUUGUUUAUUUUAACUAAAAAUUUACCAAAAAUGAAGUAAGAGUUAAAAUAAUAUCAGACCAAAUGUAAAUAUUUAAUAUUGAAAAAAUAUAUAUUAAACUCGAGGAGGGUCAAAAUCACAUGUCUACAUUUUUCCCCUCUUUGUUUGAAAUCUCGAAGAGUUUUCAUACAAAGAAGUAGACUAAGAGAUAAUUUUUGAUCCUCUGAUUAUUUUUAAAGUGAAGAUAAAAUAAAAAUAAAAUAAAAUAAAAGAUAUGACCGAGUCCUGGUUUUGGACUGCCUACAUAUCCCGGGUUAUAAGAGAAUCAGGUCACGAGUAGUUGAAAGGUAACAUGGUGAGAGAAAUAGUUAAAGUCGAGUGAGAUUUUGUCGAGUUUCUAGUUGAGGACUUCUGCCUUUUACAUUCAAAUGACUAACAAAAAGUGAAAAAUACAAAUGAAAAUUAUAAUCUCUAGAAUCUUGAUUCUACUCUCGCGACUUGAUUUUAAAAUUCACCUUAUUCUUCAGGCGGACUCCUGACUUGUUAUUUCUUCACCCUGUUCUUCAGGCGGGCUCCAAUGCCACUUGAAUUACCAAAACAAGAAAGUAUGUCUCAGUGCCACUUGAAUUACCAAACCAAGGAAGCGCGUCUCCUUACCAAUGUCGCUUGAAUUAACAGGGAAGUGCGUUUCCUUAUCGAUGCCGGUUGAAUUACCCAAACAAGGAAGUGCGUCUCCUUAUAAAUACCUCUUGAAUUACCCAAAAUAAGGAAAUGCGUCUCCUAACAAAUGUCUCUUUAAUUACCCAAACAAGGAAGUGCGUCUCCUUACAAAUGUUGCUUGAAUUGUCCAAUCAAGGAAGUGUGUCUCUUUACAACUGUCGCUUGAAUUACCUAAAUCAAGAAGUGCGUCUCCUUACAAAUACUUCUUGAAUUGUCCAAACAAAGAAGUGUGUCUCCUUAAAAAUGUCGCUUGAAUUACCAAACAAGGAAAUACGUCUCCCCACGAAUACUGCUUUGAGAAAUUACAGCCUUUGAUGUUUAGGCUUUGAAAUCAUUGAAUUGAAGGUAACAUGUGUUCCUGAAUAAUGAAGUAACUACAAGAAUCAUGAUCGAUGUCACCGAAAACUCGAAUAGAAAUUUACUUCAACACUCAAUUUACAACUCGUUCUUUUCUUCAACUUGUUCUUCAGGCGAUCUCCUGGAUUUCUUUUUCUAAUUUUUCAAAAUAUGUUCCUGAACUCAAAAUAAAAGGUGAAACAAAAAAAUAACAUCCCAUUCUUCAGGAGGGUCCUGGACUUAAAAUAAAUUUCCAUUUUUCAGGAGGAUCUUGAUCAUAAGAAAUAAAUUUUCAUUCUUCAGCAAGGUCCUGUUCCAUUCUUCAGGAGGGUCUUGAGCAGAAAGUAAAAUUCAAUAACAUGAACAAAUUUUUUGCCCCAGUUUGUACUAGAAAAUUUUGUGAACAUCAUCUGAUUACAGUUUUUGAAAAGUAUAGAAAGAGAAUCAAAGCCUUGCUAAAGAAAUGCGUCUCGUUAGAGUAAAACUGAUGACCAAAAUUAGGAAGUGUGUCUCCUAAGAGUUAAAUUGAAGGACUCAACUAGAAAGUGCGUCUUCUAGGAGUGAAUGUUCAAGUUAGAAAGUGCUUCACCUAAUAAAUGAAAACUGACUUAUUCAGACUAGGAAGUGCGUCUCCUAGGGGUUAAAUGAAAUGACUCGACUACAAAGUGUGUCUUCUAAGAGUAAAGGUUCAAGUUAGGAAGUGUGUUACCUAACACAUGAAAACUGACAUACCCUGACUAGGAAGUGCAUCUCCUAGGGGUUGAAUGAAAUGACUCGACUAGAAGGUGCGUCUUCUAGGAGUGAUGGUUCAAGUUAGGAAGUGCUUCACCUAACAAAUGAAACUUGAAUUAUCUAGAUUAGGAAGUGCGUCUCUUAGGGAUUGAAUUUUUACCAUAAUUGAUUAUCAAACCUGUGUAGCAAUAUUGCUUCCUGCAUCUAUGGAAAUGAGGCAUUGCAGCCCUUGAUAUUUAUUCUUUGAAGUUCUUGAUUUGAAAGUAACAUGUUUCCUGUUUCAUCAAAGAAAAUUUUGUGAGUUCAAAAACAUGGUGGCAGGUUUGUGGUUUUAGCUUUCGUGGCAAUCACUCUUGCGCUCGUCAUAUUUAACCUUGCUUUCAACCAUUAGCAUCCUUCACCAACUUGAUGCAUCAUUGACCCAAACUCAUAUAUCAAAAGUGACUUUGAAACAAACACAGUAUUUCUGCUUUUUCAUACUCCUUAACUAAACCCUUUGAACCCUAGUAUUUCCAUGAGUUCCCAGACUCGUCUGUUGACAAAAUUUUCUGCAUGCCUUAUUUUGGCUCACAAUUAUAUCUCUUUCACGUGUUGGCUUUUUAUCUUGCUUUGUGCAAUUGAAGAAGUUGGUAGUAAGUUUUGGGAUCAUUUCUCACUUGUUUUGAAAUGGACUUGACUCAAGGACACGAGAAAAAUGACAAUGAUAAUUUUUUUUUUGAAUAAUUGAUUCAAGGAGAAAAAAAUAGAAAUAUAGAGAGGGAAGAAAAGACAAUGACUGUCCCUUUUCAAAAAAAAAAAAAUAAAGAAAGAAAAAUUUAUCUGAAAAUGAUAGUCAACUCUAAUGAUUAUGUCAUACAUUUUGAAUUAAACAACCUGAUCUACCCAUACUAAUCAUGACAACUCUUGUUCACUCAUUGAGUUUGAAAUGGAAUCAAUCUUGAAUAUGUUCCCUCUAGAUCACAAUCCUCCUUCGGCUAGUGGCGCCUUAAUGGGUUUUUGCCAACGCCUAUCUCAUUUUUAUUUCUUUCUCAGCUCACUUUUGCCUUAUGGUGCCCAAAAGUGGUUUCACAAAUAAGACUCUCUCAUUUUUACUCAUUCAUUUUUUCAUCUUUUUUUUUUGAAAAUAAUGCCGAAACAUGAAACAUCAUGUACCCAUAACAUGUUUAGCCUUGACAUUCUCAAAGAUCGAUCUGAAGGUCUUUCUUUGGUAGUAACUUAGCUUUUGGAAAGAGUUAGAAAGAAAGGUUGGCAUGAGGCUCAAAAAUUUACAUAACAUUAGGUGAAACAUACAACUUUUGGAAUCGAUUUUAUUUUAAGGAAAUAAACUUUGCCCCAGUUUCGUUUCAUUCUGGGUAAUUUGAAUUUUAUUUUGGUUAGACCGAACCCCAGAGUAGGGCUGCCUACGUAUCUUGUCAUAACAAGAAUCAGGUCAAACGUAGUUCAGGAAUCUUGUUCUUUUGCUUGAUUUUCUUUUGACUUUUCUCUCUUUUUCUUCUUUUUUUUUUGAGAGAGAUAUUUUUUCCGACUCCAUUGUUUCUUGACACUUUUUUGACUCUAUUAUUUUUCUUGACACUUUUUUUUCAGACUCUAUUUUGAUUCCAAAAGAGGGAUAUAAAAGAAAUAAAACAAAAGCUCAAAAGGGAUAACAAAGGAUGACAUAACAUUUGGAUAGUAGAAUGAAAUGCCUUCGUCAUAUCAAUCCUUAAAAACGCAAGUACAUAACAUGCAAUCUAGGAAUAGAACAUGAAAAUCAUACACAUCUUUUCAACAUUGACCGUGACUAAGUACAUGCACGUGUGUUACUUCUUUUAAACUUUAAACCAUACAAUCUAAUUGUAUUGUACUUUACUCAUAAUAGAUGACUCUUUGUUUUUUUAGCUAACUUCUUUUUGCUUCUUCUGACAAUAGAAACUAUAUAUUCUCUGGUUGAUCUCAUUAAAAAAUGCUUGAGUUGAACCUUCUCAUUGAAGAUCAAGUCAUUUUUUAUUCACAAUGUGAUUGCCUCAAAACAUUCAAGUGAGGAUGUAACUAGGUCCUCAAAAUAUCUCAACACUUUACUUAUUUUUCUUACAUAUUUUUUUCAACUCUAGGUUCUUGAUCGAAUAUUUCAACAUUAGAUUGGGUUUUAAGAUCUGACUGAAAAUUUAACAUGCUUAUUAUAUUAACAGAAUCAUCAUAGAAAGAACUCUUUGAAGAAAAAAAAAGACAAUAUAUAUUGAGAAAUAAAAACAAAAGGGACACAUAUUUUGUUGAUAGAAAGAUAGAAGGGUUUGAGCAAAAAUGACGAUAAGAAAAUCAGACAAGACAGGUCCUAAACUAAAAUCCUAAAAUAAUUUGGGUAACAGAAAAUAAAAUAAAACAAACAACUAGGAUUCUCCCUAGUAGGGAGAGGGGUGACUUCUCAAUUGCUCAGCCUGACAACUUAGCCACUGAUUUGCAUAUCAACAUAACAAAAGCUUCCACCACGAUCAACAUCCUGCACCAUAAUCAAUUUAUCUUGAAUCAUUCUUUCUAUUUCUCUUUUCAAAGCACGACAAUCUUCAGUACUAUGACCCUGAACAUCAGAAUGAUAUACACAUCAUACAUUAGGGUCAAAGUUUCUUGAUUAUGGGUCAGGGGUAUACCCAAGAAGAGGAGUGGUCAUGUCCUUUUGCCUCAGUUUCUGGAAUAAACUGGUAUAUAAUUCUCUAAUUGGUGUGAAACUAUCCCUUAGCUUCUACCUCUUUUCAUUGUUUGUCUUAGAACGAAAAUUGAGUCUGGAGGGGCUUGGGUAUGUUUAGGGAAUUGGAGAAUAAUUUUGAGGGGUUGGUGCACGCCAUUGCGGUUAAGAAGGAGCCUGAACAUAUGGUUGUGCAUUAAAGAUAGAAUACUGAGGAGAUAGAAUGGAAUAUAAUGGAUUUUGUGGUGGAACAUAGUGUCGUGGAUGAUUAUAUGGGUCUUGGAUAUAAAUUUAGGACUGAUAUUAUGCAUAAGGGUGAUGCACACCUUUUCAAUUUUGUUGUGGACCUGGUAUAAUAGUUGCUACAUCCUCUUUUCUUUUGUUUCCACCAAAGCUUCCUGAACCACUUUGAAUUGCUUGUGUUGUUGCUUUUAAAACGGCUUGGCUGAUAAUCUUUCCAAACUUAAUUCCACUCUCUACCAUCUCUCCAAUUUUAAUGACCUCGACGAAUGUAUUUCUAAUAGUAGAAAGAAAAUAAUGAAAAUAAUAAGGUUCUUAUGUCUGCAGAAAGAUAUCAAUUAUUUUAGACUCUUUUAUCGAUAGUCUGACUCUUGCAGCCUAUUCUCUCCAUCUGGUAGCAUAUUCUCAAAAACUUUCAGUUGUCUUUUUUCUCAUAUUAGUCAGUGUGGUGCGAUCUGAGACUAUCUUGAUGUUAUAUUGAAACUGUUGAACAAAAUCUGAGCCAUGUCAUCCCACACGUGCCAAUGGGAAAUGUCUUGGUCAAUAAACUAUUCAGAAGCUACCACUUCCAAGCUUUCUCCAAAGUAAGCCAUGAGCAAUUCUUCUUUUUCUCCUACUCCCCUUAACUGAUUGCAAAACUUUUUCAAGAGAGCUACAGGAUCGCCAUGACCUUCAUAUUUGUCGAACUUUGGCAUUUUGAACCCCAACGGCAAAUGGACAUCAGGAAACAUACACAAAUCCUUGUAUGAAGCACUCUUUGGUCCUCCCAAUCCUUGCACAUUUCUCAUACUCUGCUCUAAGCUUCUUACUUUCCUAGCCAUCUCAUCUUGUUCCUUAUUCUUUACAAUAUUUUCAAUCACGAUAGAAGAAUCAUGUUGAUGAGCAUGAUAAUGUGGAUUUUGAGGUUUGAAAGUCAUUUCAGAAGGAUACAACAGAUCAUGACUUGGUUCCCCCAUAUUCUUCUGUGCUGUCAAUUGAAGACCCGUAGUAGCUGGUGCUAUAGAAGUGAAAAAUGGGUUAUUUAUGACAGACGUAUUUGGUGGGCCCAUGGUAAAAAUACCUAUAGCGCUAGACACAUUAGCAUAUAGGCCGAAUCCAGGCGGGUAAAAUGGAUCGCUAGUUUAAGCUUAAGCAGGAUUUGGAUCAUUUAUAUUCGAAGGUCCAGGGAUUGAGGAAGGCGAGACUUCUCCAUUUAACCAAGCUUGGUACAAUUCCGCUAUUUGUUGUUUCAAUAACUUAACCUCUUCAAUUGAUGCUAAUUCUGGUGAAAUCAACUGAUUUUGCUCUUCCUCACUGUCAGACCCUACACCCUCUUUGCGGGUCAUUUUUCUUUUUCUUUUGUAUCUGGUGUUGUACGGAUGUGAUGCCAGUUUAAACAACAAACCAACCACCAACUACUUUAUCUUUCUGUUAUCAAGUAGUAAACGGGUGAGUGUUAUAUAUUUAACACAUUAUGAUGUCACGUUGUAUGUUAUGCUUCUAUAUACAUUUUCCAACCAAUUAGCGAAGACUUUAUGUUUCAUCCCGGCUUUCUAGGCGCACUUUUUUGAAAAAUUUUGAUCGAACCCUUUAGAGGGUUGCCUACGUAUCAUGCGAAGACAUGAAUCAGAUCUUGCAUAGUUCGAAAGGAAUUUAACAAAAUGAUUAUUUUGUCUUUUUUUUGAAGAAAAUAAAGCAAGUGAAGUAAAACAUAUGUAGUAUAUAUAGAAAUAAACAGUCAACUUCAUUACAUUCUAUAAUAUAAAUACGACAAAAUAACUGACUCAAUUCCCAAGAUAAAACCUACUAACUGACAUCUGAAAACUAAAAGACAUAACAUCUAAACAAGAAGUUUUAAAAAUGAAAAUGAAAAGCUAUGACCAAGAAAACAACUAUUUAUUCAAGGAGACUUUGUUUUGAUAUGUCCUCCCAAACCCAAGUAUAUGUCCUCCAAUGAAGUAGUGAGAUGCUGUACGAAAGCUGGUACUUGUGCUAAAAAGUCUUCACAAUCCAACUACUGAUAAUCCAAACCCAUUCUGGCAGUAUCCUGUGCUACAUCCCUCAAAGGGAACUAAAGGAUUGAUUCCAUUCAUGGUCCUGUCGAUCUCGAAAAUCAACCAUCUCUCUUAUACGCUGUUCAUGAGAAGAAGCACCCUCUAACUGUUCUCGUAAUAUUUCUCUUUCACGAAUCCACUGAGAUCUCCCUUGAUCAAAUUCUUCUUGCAUGUUCUUUUCAACUUCUUGCAGUUGUUGUAGGCGAGAUGCGGCAAGUUCUGCAAUGUGUGAACCCCUAGUGGUAGACAGUUUGAUUUGUCCCCGAAGUGGAACCUCAAUAUCUGCUGAUUUAGCUUUCUUUUCAGCAAACUCCCUUUGUUGUUCAUCUAUUUUUUCCCUGGCAUGCUCUAAUUCUGCUCUCAAAGCUUAGUUGGCCUCAUGAUGUUCUCGCAUGGCUCUCUCAAUCCCUAUCCUGAUUGCAGCUUCCUGAUCUAUAGGUCCCAUAACCGAUCUUUCUGGUCUGACUGGCGAACUUGACUGUUCUUCAGACUAUUCACGUUAAUCUGGGUGCACUUCUCCUUUCUUACACUCUAUGACCAUUGUUUCAAUCCCCCUGAUACAGCAACCCUUCGAAAUCUACUAGGCCAAUUCCUCCGGAAGUGGGAUCUCUGGUCUGACAUCAAAUACAAACUCAAUCAUAUUUUCCGUUAUGGAAAUUAUUUGACAUCUUCUUAGCUGACGUAGAAUUCUCAAUGGAACAUACGUUUGAACACCCCCUAAUACCCAUUAAUAAAAAGAACGGCCGAAUGAUAGAACUAUGUAUGACUUGACUCCAAGGAAACAAAGGGAGAUUCCAAGUGAUUUUUUCUGUUGUCAGAGAACAAAAAAGCUUAUCCCAAUCUCUAACUCCUUCUGGGCAUUUAUAUUUCUCUAACCUUUCUUCGUAAUCUUUGAUGCGAUUGAAUAUUUCAAGAUUAAAUCUUACCAUUGUAGGACGUCAGUAAAGAUGCUCCACAAUCCACAUCUGUAACAAGAUAUUACAUCCCUUUAAAAAACUCUUUCCUUUCUGACAAAUGUUCAAAGCAUGGUAGAUAUCUUCCAAGAUCAUUGGUACCAUAGUGUAAUCUUUCUUAAUCAGUAUAUGUACCACUCCAGCUAAACGAAUAUUAAUUUUUUCUUCUCACCUCUGGAAAACCAUAGUGCCUAAAAAGGCUGCCAUGAAUGCAAAUCGUCUGUGAACUUUCUAAGCCUCAAAACUUCCUUUAUUACAAAACUGUUUACCGUACUUUUCGAACCCCUCUUGUCUUCCAUAUCUGUCAUACAAAAACUGCUAGGAAACCCAACUUUUUUUCAUUGAUUCUUCUUUUGAGUUUCGUAUGUUCAUGAGCUUGCAAAAUCUGUUUAUCAAAAUGAGUCUUGAGGCUAUAAGUUUCUUCCGAUGGAUAUCCCCAUAUUCUGAUGGAUAUCCCCAUAUCCAACAUAGGCCUCUAUCUCCUCUAAAGUCGAAGUCAACUCAAAAUCCAAAAAGCGAAACACAUUGUUCUUUGGGUCCCAAAAGGUUAGUAAUGCAUCAAUCACCUCCCUAUUAGGAUUGAUUGACAAAAUACUCGUCAAAAAACCCAAAUACUUAUGUAUCCCGUGAUAAUCGAAUGUAUCCAUUUCGUUCCACCACAACCAAAGCUGCAAAGGGGUACAAUCCACAACUUGAAACGGUACACUCCAUCCCUCUUUCUCUUUGGACGCUUUCCACGAACAGGAGGAGACAUUUUAUGCCUAUUGAUAAGGACAUGAGAUUAAUAAAUGUCUAGACUUAGGUAGGACUUAAUUCGUUAAUUUUUGAAAAGAAUUUUUAAACUUGACUCGUGAGAACUAGUGCGACCAUUAAAUUAGGGUCUAGAUGUAAAGAACGAUUUUAUUAAAAAUCAAAGUGAGAGAAACAUGAAUGAUAAUAUUUUUAGGAAAAAUACUUAUUUAAGUUGACUCUAUCAAAAAUUUUGCAAUAACAAACCUCUAGAGAAUUUUAACUAUAUGUUUGGAGACAAUACACCCUAAAUGCAUUUAAAAAGAACAAAAAUAAAGUAAAAUAAAAUCAUUUAGAAAUUAAAAAAAAGAAGAAUGAUCGUUUUAUGUAUGAAGUUGUAUAAAAAUUUCAGUCUCACGACCCCUAAAGGUUCAGGAUUGUUAAAAUAUAUGUUUAUAUAUUUUAUUAUUUUACAAAAAUUUAGCUCACGACCCCUAAAGGUUCAGGCUAUUACGUUUUUAUGUUAAAAUUAAUUUUGAAAAUAAAAAGGAAAAGUCAAAUAAAGAUAAUAAUAUUCAUGAAAAUAAUCAUUUUUUCUUCUUAUGAUUAUUUUUAUUAUUUUUUUUCAAAAGUAUCCUUCAAUAAAUUUGUGAAUAAAUAUAUUAUUUUUAUAUUUUUUUUCAAAUCCAAGGUCGUAUCCCGGAUUGGACUUCCUACGUAUCCCACUAAAAAGUGAGAAUCAGACCCUCGUAGUUCAUGAAAACUCUAAAAGUAUGUUAUUCCAUAUCUAAAAUUUUCCUUUCUUUUUUUAAAAUAAAAUUUUCUUUUGAAAAAUAGUUCACUAAAUUUGAGGAUAAUAGAAUCUUUUGCAUUUUAAAGUUGCCUAAAAACCGGUCAACAAUAAAAUAAGCCUUCCAAAUAAAUGUCAAAGAGCACGCAGGAUACACAUGUUGGUCUUUAUAAAAUAGGUCACCUGUCCUAGACAAACCCGACCCCUGUGCCGAGUCUCACUAAGUCAAAUGCAUAUGAUGCAAAUAAAACGGCACCUAAUAGGGAUAACCAGAUUCUGAGUUUUUAGUUCUUCUAAGUUUAAGCCUAAUAGGGAUAGGUGUCUAGACUGGCUUACCCGAGUGGACACUCGAGCCGGGGAGGGACAACUUGGUCGGUAGCAGGGCAACACCGCCUUCGUUGCCAAUCUGAACCCCGCCUAACAUGUGUGACUAUAAUCCUUCACGAGGUGCCUAGAAACUCUGGCUGUCUCAAAAAUAAAGUAGGAUGCAUGCGCUGCAUUCCUUCUAUCCUAUUUCAGAGACUCAGAGGGGGUGCGCAAGAGAAGACAAUAUAUAAUACAGUUCAAUAACUAUCAAAGCAGUAAAUCAGCGACAAGUAGCACAUAAGGCCAACAAACACAAUAUCAAUAAUAAUUAAAGCAAGUAUAAGUCAAUAUAAAAAGCUUGAAUUCUUAUUAUUCCCCAGCAGAGUAGCCAGAGAAGUCACACCCCUUUUUCACCCGAAGAGUUCGAGGUUGAAAGGUUUUUCCAAUUAAAGUGAUGGUUUUGAAUAGGGAUUAUUUUAUUUUACAGAGUCGCCACUUGGAAUUGAGUUUUGGUGUUCCAAGUCACCUUUUUGAAUCCCUAGUCAAAAGGAAAUGACUCUUUAUUAUAAUCUGCGAAAAUAGAAAACCGGGUAAGGAAUUCUAUUGACCGAGGGGAAGGGGUAAGGCACCCCUCGAGUCCCGUGGUUCUAGCAGGGUCGCUUUUAUUGACUUAUCUUGACUAAAACUAUUUUGAUAAUUAUGUUUGUAGGCCUAGAUUCACUCAUUUUUACUAUAGCAAAACUGUCUAGAUAUUUUAUAUUAAAUCGAUGAAAGUUAAUUUUAGAAAAAUAUUUGUCAAGGUGCAUUAUUGCAUCCUUGAAAUUUUAAAUAUCUCGAAAAGAUGUGUACGCCGCAUUCUUAAUUGAGACGAAUAUUUUAACGUGUCUAAAAUUAUCUAGCGUUAAAGACAUUGGUUUGUAACGUAUAGACUUGAAUAAGAUAUGAAUAUAAAUAAAUAGUAAUCAUUUACUAAUACCACAAAGUCAAAUAUUUUAUCAUUCUAGAACAUAAAUAAAAUAUGAAUAUAAAUAAAUAGUAUCAUUCAGUAAUUCCAACAAAAUCACAUGAAUAUAAAGUGUAUAAUUUUAACAUCUUGAACCAAAUUUUAUCUUAGAAUUCACUUGUAUACUAUUUUUCUUAGACAAAAUUAUGAAAUAUAAAUUGAGUUAAUCAUUGGUAAAGGAAAAAACCAAAACCAAAAAAAUCUUGAUAAGAUAAUAAAUUAAAUAUCUCUCUUUCUAUCGACUAUAUAUAUAAACAUCAAUCCAUUAUUAUCAUUAAUUAACCAAAAUAAUAAAAUAGAUUCUUAAAAUACCAUAUAUAUAUAUAUAUAGAUAUAUAUAUAUAUAUAUGUAUGUAUCAUUUACUUAAUAGUAUUGCCUAACACAAACUUUUCUUUCUUUUUAAACAAAAACUGACCCAUACCUAACAAAAACUUUUCUUUCUUUUUAAUAAAAAAAAACUGACCCAAACUCAAAUAUGAGGAAGAAAAACAGGGGUUACGAGAAAAGGCGACUGGAUUGAAGAUCAACGACUAUUCGUCGGCAGUAAAACAACGGUGAUGAAACCAGCGUGAAAAAGGUGAUUUGUGGGUAAGCGGUCGGAGCAGCGCGCAUGGUGGCCGGAAAAGGGAAGAGGGAAAAGGGAAGGGAUAGCGCCAUGGUUUAAACGCUGUGGCGUUGAUUCCGGUUAGAUAUGGCCAUUUAGUCGCCGGAUCAGAGAGAGGACGUGAGCGACGUUAAUAGUUCACAUGGCUUUGGGGGUUUCCGGUAAUAUGGUGGUUGCCUGACUUUUCUCCUUUUUCAUAUUUUGUUUACUGAUUUUUCCAUCAUAUAUUAUACUGUAUAUAGUGAUGCGUACUAAUUGAUGAAUUACAUGUAUAGUGCGUAAAAGAUAGAUUCCGUAAAUACAUAUUUAAGUCAUGAAUGAGAAUUGGAAAACAGUGAUAUGGUAUGUGAACAUAUAUAUGAAUAACUAUUUUAUUCUUUUGAAAAACAUGUGUAAAAUAUGAAUAACUUCCUUCUUUUCUCUCUUUUGUUUGAUGUUUUUCUCUCUUCUAUGAUUUUUCACUCUCUUUUUUUGUUCUCUGUAAUUUGAUGUUUUUUUUUGUCAAAGUGUCUGAUCUUUGUCAAAGUGUGCGUUCUCUUCUAAGGAUGGAAAAAGUUUCCUUCAAAUAGGAAUAAAGGGGGGAACAAUUAUUAUUUUAGGAGGGAACGCUUAUUACCUUUUAGGCAAAUAUAGUUAAUAAGCAGAUAAAGGGAGGGAGAAUUUAAAAUUCAAAUUAAUUAAUUAAUAAUUUAUUAUUAUUUUUAAAUAAAAAAUAAUAAUAACAAUAAUAAUAAAAUAAAUAAUAAUAAUAAAUAUUAUAAUAAUUAAUUAAUUUUUAUAUUUAACAAAACAUAAUAACCAUUUAUAAAUAGCCAAAAUAAAGAUAAUAAAAUAGUACUAAAACUACUAAUUUAUUUAUUAAAAUUUAGAAAAACAAAAAUAAUUUUUUUCUGUUAUAAUAAUAAUAAGAAGAAGAAGAAAAAAAAAGUAAAAUUUUCAAAAUUAACUUUAUUUAUUUAUUUAUUUUAUCUAAAAAUUUACCAAAAAUGAAGUAAGAGUUAAAAUAAUAUCAGACCAAAUGUAAAUAUUUAAUAUCAAAAAAUAUAUAUUAAACUCGGGGAGGGUCAAAAUCACGUGUCUACACCAUUCAUCUCCAAAUUUCAUUCGAAUUUGAUGGUAUCCGCUUCUCAAAUCAAUUUUAAAGAAUAAGGUAGAACCACACAAUUCAUCUAGCAUAUCAUCAAGUCUAGGGAUGCGAUGUCGAUAUUUUACCGUAAUUUUAUUAAUAGCACGACAAUCUACACACAUCCUCCAUGUCCCAUCCUUCUUGGGUACUAGAAUUACGGGCACUGCACAUGGACUUAAACUCUCUCACCAAACCUUUAUUCAAAAGUUCUUCCACUUGUCUUUGCAAUUCUUUGGUCUCUUGAGGAUUGCUCCUAUAAGCCACUUUGUUGGGUAUUUGAGAACCCGGUAAAAAGAUAAUUUCAUGCUCUAUUCCUCUCAAAGGAGGCAACCCACUUGGUAUUUCUUCCGAAAAUAGAUCUUCAUAAUCUUGCAACAAAGAAGAAACAACACUUGGCAAAGAUAAAGUGGUUAGUUCCUUGUUAGAAAGCAAACAAUAACCUUUAGGUUUAAUAAAUAUGACUUGGGUAGCAUCCUCAAUGUUUAGAUCUUUCAUGCUCUCUUCAUUUUGCAAAAUCAUGCACAUUUUCUCUCUUUUUUAUUUUUUUUGUUUUUCUUGCUCACCUCUUUUUUUUGUGAUAACUCAUUCUCACUUGAGCUCUCAACCUCUCCUUUUUCCUCUCUUGCGUUAUCAUUUUUCACUCCCUUACUCCUCUUUUUCUUUUCUCUCUCAAUUUUUUCUUUUAACUCUCUCAUUUUUCUAUAUUCCUCACUUACUUGAAAAGGAAAAAGUGGGUUAAGAAUGUACUUUUUACCAUCCUUAAUAAAUGCAUAUUUAUUUGACCUCCCAUCAUGUUUAGCCCCAACAUCAUAUUCCCAUGGCCUUCUCAACAAUAAAUGACAAGCUUGCAUUGGUACAACAUCACAAAGAACUUCAUCAUGAUAACUUCCAACCUUAAAUUUUAUAAACACUCUCUUGGUCAGCUUUAGUUCACCACAUUCGUUGAGCCAUUGCAAUCUAUAAGGUUUUAUAUGCCUUCUUGCUGGAAGUUUCAAUUGUUCGACCAUAGAUACACUAGCAACAUUAACACUACUUCCACUAUUAAUGAUAAAGAAACAUAAUUGCUCUUGAACUCUACACCAAUUGUGAAACAAGUUCUCCCUUUGAUCAAGAUCUUUCCUUGUUAGAGCACUCAUACUUCUCCUCACAAGAAUAAGUUUUCCAUCAUUAUUAAUUUCUUCUCCAUCACCUUUUUCCAUAAGCUCAUCACUACUAUCAUCCUUCACGUGAUCAUCUUUAGAUUCAUCUUCGGUUUUUUAACCACCAUCAUUCAAUACAAUGAUAGUUCUUCUAUUUGGACACUCAUUUUCUUUAUGACCAUAUCCUUGACAUUUAAAACACUUUAUUUUAGAUGGAGUUUCAAGUUUAGCUUUGUUACCUCUAUCAUUGUAGUCCGCCUUUGAUUUUCCUUUGUCCAAGUUGGACUUUAAUUCUUGCUUUGCACCUUUGAAUUUGUCCCAAGUGGGAGAUGAUUUCCAAGCUUCCUUGUUUUUAGCCCAUGAAGAAGAAGAAGAUUGCGCCUUUGACUUGUUUUUCUUUUGAUGACCCUCCAUCUUGGGUGCCAUUUGAUAAGCUUCAUAUAAAGUAGAAAGACAAUGUAAUUCCAAUGGUUGCCUUAACUCUUUAUUUAAGCCUGAGAUAAAUCUUUCCAUAAGCUUCACUUCUUCAUCAUUGACAUUAGCUCGAAGACUAGUAUGCUCUAGCUCCUCAUAAUACUCAUAAAUACACUUACUUCCUUGUUGAAGAUUGUAAUACUUCUUGAGUGUAUUUUGGUCAUAAUCUUGACCCACAAACCUUUCUCUCAUAAGUCUUUUCAUGUCAUUCUAACUUGUAACAAAGUUUCUAUUUACCAAAGCAUCUCUUUCAACUUUCUCCCUCCAUAUAGAAGCAAAGCCCUCAAGGUGACUUAUAGCAUAAUUCACCUUUUUAACAUCACUCACAUUGUUGAGAUUAUAUUGCCUUUCUAAUUUCACAAUCCAAUCAAGAUAUUCAUUCGGGUCACUAUUUCCUUUGAAGAAUGGAAGAGUAUCCUUGAUGUUGUUGAAUCCUCGAUCUUCAUCAUUAUUCAUUCUAUUAUAUUCUCUACCAUCAAUCGGAUACCACCCUCCAUUUCCCCUUUUUUUUCCUCUCCCACCUAACCUCUCUUGUUGAACUUGAUCAUUGACUCCACAAUCAUAAUUAUCACCAUCAAAAGAAUCAUGCUCUUCAAGGUUAUGUUGGGCUCUCACUUGAGUUCUAUUGGCUUGUGGUGGAAGAUUAAAUACGAAUUUACACCUUUUUUAUAUACUAUAUAUUUGGGAUAAAAAAAAAUAUUAGAUCUUAUUUAAAAAUAUGAAGCCAUUUGAGAUUUUUCUUAUCUUUUCAUUUAUUAGAUCCAUGUAAGCUCCAGAUUUAUACAGGACUGCCAGAUUUAACAAGUAACAAUACAUUAUUUAGCCACUUAUACAUCAUUAAAUAAUAAAUAAAAUAGCAUUGCUUCCUAAUGAGUGUCGAUUGUCUCUAAGAUGUUGUCGUUUAUGACUAAAAGCGCUCUCCGAUGCAAUAGUUGACAUUGGCACAUUCAAUAUAUCUCUAGCUAAUCUUAAAAGCACAGGAUAUUGUCUUGCAUUAUUCAUCCACUCAUCCAGCGCGUUGAUCCUUGAUCUACGAUACUCUAUCGGCUGUCGAAGAUAAUACUGAAGCUUUUUCCAAGAAUGUGUUUUGUGUGUUGAAGACUGAACCAUGUCCCAAAUAUUUAAAUCAAAAAAGUAAUCAAGAUAACUACUAUGUGCCUGCCUUUUAGAAGAUAAUGGCUCCUCUGGAGCUCGAGGAGCGACAGUUACAGUGAUAUUUAUCAGUACGACUAUAUCAAGUAAAUCGGCAUAAUGGUUAUAUAAUGCUUCCAUAUAACUGUUCGCAUCACCCAGAGCUGUAACUAAAGAAGGUUCUUCUUCAGGCUUUAUCUCUAAAGCAUUAUAAAUAAUAUAACUAAAUUCGGACAUAGUACUAUAUUUCAUACAUGGAUUUAUCAUAACACUAAUCAAGUAAAUUGAGGUAAGUGGAUAAAAAUAAUUUUUAUAUUUAGCAAUCAUAGCAGUAAUAGCUUUUUUGUAACCUCCUUUAUUCUUAUAUUCUUUAAGCAAACAAGAAAUGUCGGCUAAAUAAGCUAAAAUAUUACAAACAAUAGGAUAAUAAACACUAGAAAAUUCAACCGUAGCUAUAUAAUUUUUUUUUUAAAAAUUUAACAGGAUCAGCAAUUGCAGCUCAAUUAGAAUAUUGUGGCACACAUUCAGGAAAAGAAUUAGAAUAUUGAUUAAAAAUCAUUGUAAUAGGAACCUUAUAAGAAAGACAAGUUUUUAAAUAAUUAUAAGUAACAUUUCAUCUAGUAUCACAUUCUUCAGACAUAAGUAUCGGUCUAAGUCCAUUUUGUUCACAUUUGUCUUUAAAUUUUCUCACUCUAUAUUUUCGAUUAUUUUUUUGAAUAAAGCCAACAACAAGCCGAACAUUUUCAAUAUAAAACUCAAAAAAUUCAAGACCAUCUCUUACAAUUAAAUUAUAUAUAUGAAAAACACAUUUAACAUGAAAUAUUUUAGGUAACGGCGGAGAAAGUUCAACUUUUAACAAGUCAAUAGCAGUCUUAUUGUUAGAUACAUUAUCAAAAGCAAUACAAUUUUUUCUUUCAAUACCAUAAUAUUUUGUAACUUUAGAAAUAGAUUUAAAAAUAAAUUUUUCAGUGUGUCUACGAUCUUGAUCAUACAAAAAUGCUAGAAUACAUUUUUGCAUAACAAGAUUAUUAUCUAUCCAGUGACAAGUAAUUGUUAAAUAAUUAUUUUUAUUAACAACACGAUCAAGAUUAGAAGUUAGAGCAAUUCUACAUGAAAUAUUUUUUAAUAAUGCAGAUAAAUAAUAGGCAUAUUGUGUAUGGAGUCUAAAAAUAUCAGUCUGACAAGUACUUCUAGAGAUACCUGUAAACGUGGGAUUAUAAAUUGUUUGAACAUAAUGAAUAAAAGUAUCCAAAGAAGCAAAAAUGAAGGCAAACAACCCACAGCUAUCAUUUUCGCUAUUUCUUUUGGUCCUUUAUUUUAUUAUAAUUCUUAAUUAAUUGACCGGUUGUUGGAUUCAAUCUACUUUGUGUUGGCCCACCAACAGUCUCACCACUUUAUGCAAUACCUAGCUCUACCUCUUGUUUUUUUCUUAAAUGUCUCAUCAACGAACUCAUACCCCCUUUAUUGCCUCCGAUUUUAUGCUAAUAUACAAUUUCACAAAUUUUGCAUUGCACCUUAGUUUCUCAUUCUAUUUUUGAAAAAAUUCUCAUGCAAUACUCGUUCUUCUACGAGAUCUCAUAGGGGCAUGGGGAGGAAGAUUAACUGAUUCAGAUCUAACUUUAGCAUUUUCGACUUUGGGUGUCUCACCAAUAUCUUCAUCAUCUACAUCUAAAUCAACCGCGUCUACUUUAUAUUUCUUCUUCUAUACCAUAAUUUUUCUGAGCUUCUAAAUAAUCAUAUCGUGAGCACCUACACCUAUUUCAUCCUCAAAAGGUUGACUAAUUGGUAUCGGAGGUAUACGGGUGUAUCUAGUACUUGAACUACCUCUAUCAGAACCGCCAUCAAUUCAUUUUUACUACCACUAUCACUUCUGGAACAAAAUCUUUUGACACUUUUACCGAGGCUUUUUAAUUUAUCUAUAUUAGAAAUUGAACUAAUAAAUAUUCAAAAUACACAAAAAUAAUAAAAAUAAAUAUUCAACAAAUAAUACACUAAUUAAAAACUAAAAGUAAGAGAUGGAACGACAAUACCAAAUUUUGAAAGUAUCCGAAAGUUGCGACUUUAGAAAACUUCCACUUGAUAUUUGUAAUUGUGAAAUUAAAAAAUAAAAUUGAGCACUUUAGGGGAUAAUUAGAAUAUUUGAGAGAGAAUGAGAGAUUGAGAAUGUGUGAAAAAUGAUUUUGAAUUUAGGAUAUUUAUAGAAAAUAUUUUGAGUUAAUUUUUUUUAAAAAAUUUUUUUUUUGGAAAAAGGUCCACAAUGGCAAUAUUACUGUUGGGCCUCAGCAGUCCAUUUAGGCCCUUCAACGGUCAAUUCCCCAUUUUUCAAAUCCAAACUAAUUUCUUUUUGUGUAAACAACAUAAAUCCCCUAGAUAAUAAAAAUAAUUACACAAAAGCACUUCUUGUUUUCUCUCUCCCUCUUUUUGCAAACAUACUCAUACAUUCGGUCACAUAUUAUACAUUGGUCGAAUGUAUGAUGUAACAGCUAAUCCUAUAUUUAAGGUAAGAGAAUCUUUAAUUAUUUUACAGUUCCUUAAUUAAAGACAGUAAUUAGCCAACAUUAAAUCGUUUAUUGAUAGAACAUGUAACUGAUAUUUGAAUUUUAAAAAUUUUGUUAUACAUAAUUUUUUUCCUAUGAUUCACGAUCUGGAAAGCCAAAAAACAACCACUUUCUUCUACAUCCGUUCUCCAAAACUACUAAAAUCUUCUUCUACAUAUGAUCUUCAAUACUAGUAAAAUCAAUAUGAAUAUCCCCAUAUUGUUGCGACAUUCUGGAAUUUAGGAGUCAGAGAUUAGUUAUAUGUCAUACAAAAGUGAAGCAAUAGUAAUUUUGGUAAAUGCAGACGAGUCGAUCACACCCGCAGGACUUGCGGUUUCUUUCCAAAGGAAUCAUGAAGAAUAUAAUAUGGUUUUCUAUGUGCGGAUACUUUGAAUGGUUUUGUUUGUAUAAAUAUUUUUUAUUAGUUUUUUUUUGAAUGCUGGAGCAAGUAAUUUAUAUUUUUUUAUUGAUUAUAGAUGUUAAUUUCUUUAAUAAAAGAUUUAUAUUAGUAUAAAAAUUUUAACCUUUUUUCCUAUAUCAUAGUUCGUAACCAUAUAACUUGAAGUUUGAACACUAUUAUAAAAGCACAUUAACUAUGUAACUUACUCUCUAUAGGAGUAAGUAAUUGUUGAAACGCACGGUGUAUUAAACUGUUGUACAUUAAUAGUUAAUGUGUAAUAAAUGUAUGAUAUAGGAUUAUACAUUUUUAACAUGUAUGAGGUUAGAAAUACAAUAACAAAAUUUAACUGAAUUCAAUUUUUUUUUAAAAAUUAUACACAGUAUCAUUUCAGUAAAUUUACGAAUGUAUAAUAUGUUUUUAUACAGUCAAAUCAAUGUAUAAUAAAUGUGUGCCUUUCCAGUAAACGUUUGAAUGUAUAAUAAGUUGUUAUACAUUCAAAGCAAUGUAUAGUGAUACUGUGCCAUUUCAAUAGACUUACAAAUGUAUAAUAUUUGAUUAUACAUUCGUAUCAAUGUAUGAUAUAGCAUCAUACAUUAUAAAUGUGCAUGGUAUUAACAAUUUCUGUAAUUUUUUUACAAGUAAUAAAUGUUUUACAAUAUGUAUGCUGUUAUGUAAUACAUACGUAUAAAAUGUAUUAGUCUUUAGUUCAAUGAAAGAUUCACUUAUAAGCAAAGGUUCAUAACAGGAAACAUACUAUCUGUUCAAAAUACAAUAUCAGAUUAAUUAGUAAUAUGUUGUUUUAAUCAUUAACAAAAUAAGUGGAAGGAAAAUUCAAUAAGUACCAUGAAUCAGUUAGUAACAUUGCAGUAGUGUCUCAGGGACUUAAAAAACAUAUUCUCAAAAGAUGAAGACAUCCAUAAAUGUAAAUUAACAUCCAGAAAGUAAUCUUUGAAUUCGUUUAACAUCAACCACUGUCAUACCCUAUUUUUACCUGAGGUCAAAACGAGCACAACGUUAUGGAUUCUAAAAGAAUGAAAAUUGUACAGAGUCGCCGCCUUAUUUUAAGGGAAAUGAUAAAAACCCUUUUUAUUUAUUAAAAGGCAUGACUUGUGUUUUAGUCUACAAAACCAGUUCAGAUUCUAGGUAAGUGUUCAAGUUAUUCCGAAGGGAAGGAGUUAGGCAUCCUUCAGAAUCCACAAGUGUGGUACCCAGCUAGACUACAUUUAUCAAAGAGGGAGGAGGUAUAAAUAUUUAAAUAAUAUAAAGCUGUAUGUGUAUUAAAUAUAUAAAUAAAUUUAUUGUUAUGAAAAUAUGUACAAAAGUAUGUAUAAAAAUAUAAANNNNNNNNNNNNNNNNNNNNNNNNNNNNNNNNNNNNNNNNNNNNNNNNNNNNNNNNNNNNNNNNNNNNNNNNNNNNNNNNNNNNNNNNNNNNNNNNNNNNNNNNNNNNNNNNNNNNNNNNNNNNNNNNNNNNNNNNNNNNNNNNNNNNNNNNNNNNNNNNNNNNNNNNNNNNNNNNNNNNNNNNNNNNNNNNNNNNNNNNNNNNNNNNNNNNNNNNNNNNNNNNNNNNNNNNNNNNNNNNNNNNNNNNNNNNNNNNNNNNNNNNNNNNNNNNNNNNNNNNNNNNNNNNNNNNNNNNNNNNNNNNNNNNNNNNNNNNNNNNNNNNNNNNNNNNNNNNNNNNNNNNNNNNNNNNNNNNNNNNNNNNNNNNNNNNNNNNNNNNNNNNNNNNNNNNNNNNNNNNNNNNNNNNNNNNNNNNNNNNNNNNNNNNNNNNNNNNNNNNNNNNNNNNNNNNNNNNNNNNNNNNNNNNNNNNNNNNNNNNNNNNNNNNNNNNNNNNNNNNNNNNNNNNNNNNNNNNNNNNNNNNNNNNUCCAUUUUUUAUUUACGGAGGCCUCAAAAUUAAUAAUAAUUUUUUCAUUGGCCAAAAAUGUAUAGUAUCCAUUCAUUAUCGGUGUAAUAAAUUGUAAGGCAAAAUGAAAGGACAAAUGUCCAAAUCAUUUGCAUAAAUUAAUCAUAACAACCCAUAAAAAGUAAAGGAGUAUAGCAGCAACUUUUGACCAUAAAGAUAAAGAAAUGUCAAAGUCAUCAGAAAAAGUGAACUAAACAAGAAUCACCCAAAAUAUCCCAAUCAGUAUUGCAUAGAGGAAACACAAGCAGCCGAAAAAACAUAGCUAGCAAUCAAAAAUCAUCCCAAAGCGAGCAUGUUCCAAGAAUCAAGACCUCUCUAGAUAAUUCAAAAUCAACAAAAAAUAUCAAGGAUCCAAAAGUAAAGACAAAAAAAAAAUGUCAGAGCACCUUGAGCGACCCAAAUUCAUAAAAUAAGCAAAUUAUUAGCGGAUCGUGUAAUAAUAAAUAAAGAUUGGCGUUACUUCAACGGCGUAUGCCGGAGCAACACCGGAACCUAGAUUUUUACCAGAUCUGGCCAUUUUUAAUGUGGCAGUGGCGGUGCGUGUGGUGGUUGCGGCGGCUCAUGGCUGUAUCGAGACUCGCCUGCCGGUGAUUAACUCCGAUGUGGCGCAGCAAAAUGGGAAAAGAGAGUGGAGGGCGCUGGUGAGUUUUUGAUAGCUAGAGGUUUGGUGAAGAACCGCUGGUCAGAGAUGACCAGCGGUGAUGGGGGCUUUCCUGGAUACAGAAGAGAGGGGAGUGUAGGGGCGGCACCGAUGGACAGUUCCCCGGAUCUGGGACAGUGAAAGAGAAAGGGAGAGAAUUGUGAGGGAGAAGGAGAUGAAAACGAUGAUUUUCUCUGUAUUCUACUUGCGUAUGUAUGUCUAUGUGGAUAUGUGUAGUGUAUGUGUGUAUUGUUGUGUUGUGUCCUAUAUCUGUGGUGUGUUUUGAAGAGAAGAAUAAAAAAAUAGAAUAAAUAAAAUAUUCUUGUGUAUUUAUGAAUAUGUGUGUGGGGUUUGCAAAGAAAAAAUGUUUAUGAGUUGUAAAAAAUAAAUAUAUGAGUAUUUUGAAAGAGAGGAAAAAAUGAACAAAAAAUGUGCAUCCAAAAUGUUUCCUCCCACCACCUAUUUAUACAAAAAAUUGAGCACCCCCUUUAUCCAUGGGUGUCCUCUCUUUUUAUAAUAGAACACCCUUAGGUCCUUAAGUUAUUGGCCAAAGGAUUUUCAUCCCUUUGACCAACGAAUAAAGUAAUUAUCCAAAGGGUAGUGUCAUUAAGUGGUCGUUGUCAGAUGUGACAAGACAACACUGAGUGGUCAUUGUCGGGCGCGUUAAGACAUGAUUGUGUAGUCAUUGUCGGAUGUGAUAAGACAUCGAAUUACUAUACUGCACAAAAAUAAUUGAUCCGACUCAGAGUUUGCAGAUUGUAAAAUAUAGAUGUGGAAUGAAAAAAUUUAAAGAAUAUUAAAAUUAUUAAAAUAUAAUUAAUAUAAAAAUACUGUAAAAUAUAUAUAGCGACAUGUCGUGCACGUGCGCAAAUAUAAAAAUAAUAAAUUGAUAAGAAUAAAAUAAAUUAUUAAUAAAUUAUAAAGAGUAAAAAAUUCUAAAGUAAGGAUGAAAAUCAAUAAUUUGUUAUCAAUUGUAAAAAAUAUGUGAAAGUUGUAUUUUGUGCCCUUUAACGGUCAGGAAGCCUGAAUACGUUAUUUUUAAGCACAGAGAGCAAAAAUUGGGUGUCAACAAUUGCCCUUUUUUGUUUGAAGGUGAUGUAGAAGUCUUCAAAUGAAAACGUUGACGUAUAGCCAAUUUUGCUCGACAAAAUAAUUUGAUGAAAAUUUGACCGAACUCCGAUUUAGAGUUGCCUACAUAACACGAGUUGUGAGGAUCAAGUCAGGUGUAGUUCAAAUCAUAACAAAAUUUUUAUAAAUACAAUAUUCGUCCCAGUGUAGAAUUAUGUUAACACUAGGUUCCUUCAAGGAUGACUACACAGAUUUUAACACGAAUGGAAUGAAUACGGGUGCUUAUUCCAAAAUUGACUGUUUGGGUAGCUGGAAAUAAGUAAAUGUAGGAUAGCAAUAUUUGCUGGGGACUUUGAAGGAAAAGGAGAUUGCUAAUUUUCAAAGAUUGCCCCAAUAUCGGAUUAAGACGACAUUGAGUAAUGAUAAUAAUGAGUAUAAAAAUGAGAGUUUUGGGUCGAGUUGAGUUGAUUUUCUUUGCCAAAAUUCCUGACGUAACUAGGGAUCCCUGACAUUUCGCUAGCUUGCCCCAGUUUGCUGCUAAUAGGAUAGUUCCACUUUGUACUGCAUGUUGUAGUAUUGUCUUUGUUUUUGAAGGCAAUCUGCCUGGCGGGGUUAUAACUAAAAUGUAAAUAACCUUCGUCAGCUGAGCAGUUGCUUGAAAGUAAAAGCCUUCAUCGGCUGAGCAGUAACUGAGAUGUAAAUAGUCUCCAUCGGCUGAAAUAUAAACAACCUCUGUCGGCCAAGCAGUUGCAUGAAAUCAUUGAAAUUAAAUAGCCUCCGCCGACUGAAAUGUAAAUAGCCUCCGUCGGCUGAAAUAUAAAUAGCCUCCGCCGGCUGAAAUGUAAAUAACCUCCAUCGGCUGAAAUGUAAAUAGCCUCCAUCCGCUGAAAUACUUGUUGAGGAAGUGAAAGUUGCAUUAUAUGCCCUAUUGUUGGGGGCGGGCGUGCCCUGUCCUAUUGUUUGGGGCGGACUUGCCCUGUCCUAUUAUUCAGGGUGGACUUCCCUGUCCUAUUGUUCGGGGCGGACUGCCCUGUCCUAUUGUUCGGAGCGGACUGUCCUAUCCUAUUGUUCGGGGCGGACUACCCUGUGUUAUGUUAGAGUUUUGUGAACAUCGAUUAGUACUUGAUGACCGAGUCUUAAUGGGGAUAUCCCUUUAAUGCGACCUGGAAAAAAAAAUUAAAAAAUUUCUUUUAGAGUUAGAAAGUAUUAGCGAAUGAAUUGAUAAAACCUGGCUUCCUGGCUUGUGAUAGAGAUAUGAUGUUGACUUUUUGAUGGAAUGUUGUAAGAUACUUGACACGUGCCUCCUUGAGCAUUAUUAUGACCUGCAAGAUUCGAGAAGAUUAUUUAGUGCCUUAGAAUAAUUAUGGAUAAAUUGACAAUACCUAGAUUCUCAGCUUGUGAUGGUGAGGCAGCAUUUAGGCUUCAAAGAUGUUUGAACCUUUGUUGUAGUGAUGUUGUACCUGCGCUCAAAGAAAGUUUCUUAGUUUGGGGAGGAGAUGUUGAUUUUGUGUUGAUCGAGAACUCAGCCUAGCAGCUCUCUCGUCCUUCAAUCUUUCAACAAUCAGUAAUCUAUUUGGGAUUAGGAGUAGUGACACUUCCUAACUCCACAUAAUGUGCUUAUACUAGUAUGUCUUCAGGUGGGAACUUUCUCCAUCUUGAUCUUCGCUUUCGAACUUCCAUCAAAGUGACACGGUUGUUUUGGCUUGAGAUGAUAAAUGAAAUUUGAAAAGAUGUAAAAGAUUAUGUUGUUGAUAUGACCGCGCCUGACUUAAGCUGCCUACAUAUCAAGUCAAAAUGUAGUUUCGUGUGAGGGGAAUCAAGAAAAAUUUAGCCACAAAGGUGGGUAUGUGGAGAAUGGUAAGGUUGAUAAUCAUGAGCUUGCUUUGGAAAUCUCAUUUAGUCAUUUGCUGAAGCGGUGCCUCUUAUGUAUGAGUCUUCAACAUCUUAUGGAUUUUUCUUGUUCUAGCUAUUAACAUCAAAGAAUUUCUUAAUUUCAUAUAUGGUCUCGCUGACUUGCAUUUUUAUGAAAGCAAGAGGCUUGGGUAAAUGCGCGAGUCCUCUCUGCGUAAACUCAGAAUAUUUCUUGGACGCCUCAUUGAUAGUCUCCUUAUCUUGUGGGCGUCUUCAUAUAUGAACUCUUUUUGGGUCCACUACAGUCGUCCUUUCGUGUACCUGUUUGAAAAGAAAUAACUUGCAAUAACAGACACAACAACCCUUUUGGUUGUUGCAUAAUUAUUUGUCAGUUGAAUAUGUCUUCAAAGUGGGGUGCCCCUUUUGGACACCGAUGACACUUUAUGCAGAUGGAUCCCCGCGACCGUGUAAUCUUGUGUUGAUGUGGUAUCCCUUUUGAGUCACCCAUAAUGCUUGUGGAAUGAUGACCUCUCUGGUUAUUGCCAAUAAUUCUUCGCAUAUGAUCUCGGAUAAGUCUAGCGAAUCUUUUGUAUCAAUACAACUUAUAGAUUCCUCUUGAAUCGUCAACCUUUGGAUUAUCUUGUACAUUAUUUGAUGUUGGAUAUGAGGCGACUUAUAGAUAUCCAUUGAAUUGCUAGCCUUUAGGUAAUCCUGCACAUUAUCUAACUUUAGAUAAGAAAUGACUUAUAGAUAUCCCUCCAAUUGCUAGCUUUCAGGUGUUUCUACACAUCAUCCAACCUUGGACACAAUAUGACUUAUAGAUAUCUCUCAAAUUGUUAGUCCUUGGGUAAUCCUGCACAUAGUCGAUCUUGGAUAUGACGCGGCUUAUAGAGAACCCUUGGACAUACCAAUUUGAUAAUCUCGCAUAUUCUCCAGUAAGGAUUUAGUUGUGACUUAUGGAUAACCUUCGGACUAUCAAUUUUUGGGUAAUCUUGUAUAAUAUCUGGUUAGGAUGUUAUUGCGGCUUACAAAUGACCUAUAGAAUAUCAACUCAGAGGUAAUCUUGCAAACUAUCUUAUUUCAAAUAAUAUGACUUAUAGAUGAUCCUCAAAUUAUCAAUUUCAAGAAAAUCUCAUAUGACGUUCGCUUUCAGAUAGCGACUUAAAGACAAAUCAUGUGCUUUUGAUGAAUUCAGAUGUCGAUUCAUAGGAUGAUGAGAUAUCCUCAACGACAACGUAUGCUACCUCACGUGUCAACAAAUAUUGAAUGUUGAUAUCCUCGAUUGAUAUAUUAGUCAUAAUCUAAGCUUGAACGCUUUUAAGCAUAUUUUGGAAAUCCUCCUAAAGAUUUGGUUGACCUCCUUAUGACUGAAGUAACGAGUGUUUGAUCGUGCAAUGAUCGUCGAUGUGAUUUUGGAGCAUUUGUAUUGAUAGUAUAUUUUAACAAUAUUUAUAGAGAAGAUCUUUGGUUAAGUAGUGGAAGUGUCUUCUGUAUUGACCCUUGGUGCAUUUCUCUCGAUAUUAUAGUUAAUUCAUCCCCCGUUGAUGUCUUGUAGCUCUAAUGAUGUCUUGCAUUAUCUGGUACAAAUCAAUAUUGAUUGUAACAUUUCCAAGUUGAACGUCCUAGCCUUCAUUGAUUUUCGAAACGUUCUUCAAAAUUUUUCCCCAAUCUCUUGGAGAGACUUUCUCGAUGAUUCUUUGUUGCGUAUCUUGGGAUAGUCUUGAUGGAUCAUGUCGGGUUUUCUGGAUUCCGUCGCGUUCAAGUUUCACUCGUCGUUAAGGAAAAAUGGAAUUUUGUAUUAUAAAGGGACCGAGCCUUAUAUAGGCUGCCUACAUAUCCUGCCGAGGGAAAUCAGGUCACACAUAGUUUUAAUUACAAAAGGGAUUAAUUCUACUUAAGUACAACUGAACCCGAUGAGGGUUACCUACGUAUCUCACCAUGAGAAAUCAGGUCAGAACGUAGUUCUGAUACAUGAUAAUUAGAGGAAACCCUAUGUCUUCAAAUAUAGGACUAUAUUUCCUACUUAUGAGUCAAUCAACUUGGAUUUAUCACUAUUGCAUUCCCACUAAAGUUAAUCACUUCUCUGUAGUAUGACAUAUAUGAAAGCCUUGCCGGCUCGGCAUGGAGGAUGGUGUCCCUCAUGUCAUAUACACUCUUCCAUUUUUAUGACUGGGCAUUGGAUCAAUAUUUGUAUUUGGUUGCACUUCGACACAUUGGAUUACCCCGGCCUUAACUCAAUUCUAUGCCUUAACCUAUGACAAUCUUCAGUACCGUGCCCCCGAACUCCAGAGUGAAAAGCACAUUGCUUUUUUUCAUCAAACCAUUUAGGUAAUGGGUUAGGAAUUUUCCCAAGCUCGGGUUGCAGAAAAUUUGCACCUCUCAAUCUUUUGAACAAAUGUGUCAAUGGUUCAACAAAUUGUGUGUGGCUUCGACUGUGCUUACCCUUCGAAUUUUAUCUAAGCGCAAAAGGUGUCGGAUUUUGAUAAACUGACAAUUGGAUUGGUACGCAUGGUUGUGGUGGAUUUUGGUAUGUGGAAUCUUGGGGUUGAAGGUAAUUUUGUUGGUUAUUUUAGGCAUGAUGUAGUUUGUGACUCCAUAUUUGCAUCAGUUCGUUAUCAGGAUUUUGAAGUGAUUGGGAUGAUUCAGGUAUUGAGUGGUGUGGUAUCACAAUAUAUACUUUUUCUUUAUUCUCCAUCUUGGCUCCUUCGAUGAACUCUAACCGAGUAGACUCGCUCGAGUUAUUUGCCGACUUAAUCUUUCCAGAGUUAAUCGCCUCUUCAAUAAAAUUCCCCAUUUUGACACAGUCAGCAAACUUCUACCCUAAUGUGGACAUUAUCCUUUCGAAAUAGACACCCUUUUGACUGCGGAUAAAAUACUUUGUCAAUUCACUUUCAUCCAUCAGUGGUUAAACUUUUCCUGCUUCAGACCUCCAUCGUCGAGCAUAUUCCUGGAAUGAUUCAGAGGGCUUCUUCUGUAUACUAAUAAGGUAAAGUCGAUCAGGUGCGAUUUCUGUAUUAAACUUGAAACGAUUCAUAAAGUCUUUAGCCAUGUCGCUCCAUUUGUGCCAAUGACGAGGGUAUUGUUUGGUGUACCAAGCGAGCGCCUCGCCAGACAGAUUUCUAAUAAACAACUUCAUUAUGAGCUUCUCAUUUUUGCCAAUCUCGACCAAUUUAUCACAAUAUAUUCUUAAAUGAGUAUGAGGAUCGCCGGUUCCAUCAAACAAGUCGAACUUAGGUGGCUUGAACCCGACUGGCAAAUCAACAUCUGGAUGGAUACAUAAAUCGUCAUAGUCUAAAUGCUCACUGACUUGAGUUUCUUAGAGGUGUUUCAUCACCUACUUUAGAUCACGAAGCUCGUUUAAGAUCAUGUCAUCUUCUUCUUUCGUCCUUGAAUUUAUCAAAAACCUACUUUUAGCAGGUAUGGGGAAAGCGAGUGUCUCAGUCAUACAUAUUGGAGAAAUAUAUGGUUCUCGUAAGGUACCAUAAUUUGUUUGUUGAAUAUCACAAGAAGAUGUGACAACAUUGAGAUGUGGGGUGCAAUAAGAAAACUUAUGGGAGUUAAUGGGUGUGAACGGGGAUGAUGGAUUUGUUAAGCCAACAGUUGUUAUGGGAGGUUGCACUGACAGAUAGAGUUCAGGUAUUGGAGUGCCUAAUGAUGAAAGAGUAGCCACGGAUGGAUGUGCGGGGUCCCUUCCUUGGUGUAGUUCUCCUCUUAACGUCUCGAGUUGUUGCUCCAAAAGAAGAAUACAUUCAUCCUUCUCUGCAUUAUCUUGUCUUUUAAAAAUCCCUGAUAUGUUUGCCAGGGUUGGAACACUUCUGGUCGGGUCGACGGUAUUGGUGUUCAUUAUAUAUCUUAAGUCGGCUAGUUCUAUCGAUCAACACAAUCAACCUCUAUCGGGGAAUAAUGUAAACACAAAUGAAAGUUCAAGAGUUAGUUCAUGUAGAUGGACAAACACAUUCAGACAACGUUGAGUAAGCAUAUCUUAUAUUGUGGAGCCUCAUUUUACCAGAGGUAGGCCUUCGUCCAAACAAACUGAUAUAGAUGAAUCUAGAUUUUGACAUAUUUUGGAUUUAGAACAAUUUUAAGUUUUCUUGAAGAGGCAAUGUAUCCAACAAGGGUGGCUAAAAGAGUCCUAUAUCGUCGAUAAGAAUUGAUAGAAGCGGGCUAAAAUGAUGCCUUUAAAAGAGUAAGUAUCUCAAGUCUCGUUUUUGAUGAAUGAGGAUCUUGUGGUAGAGAUAUCGAACGGAGGAAGUAUCGAUAAUGCCUCACGUUCAUUGGCUGGAAAGAGUUAGAAAUGGGUGAAGAUGAAUAAUAUUCCACAUUCAUUGUUUUGAAGAAGGGUGUCAAAUAGAGUUUUGAAUACUAUUCUACAUCUGUUGACUAGAAAAAAGAAUCAAACAUUGGAAGAAUGCUUGAUGACAUUCCACUCUAGUUUGGAUAAAAAAAAAAGUUAGACGUAGGUGGAGUUUUUAUUGACAUUCCUAUCCGCGGACUUGAAGAGAAAGUCGAACGAAAGCAAAGUAUUUUUAGAACACUCGGCUUUCAUGGACUCUGAGAAAGAUAUUUGUGAAGCGGAGUUUUAACAACACUCUGUAUUCGUGAAAAUGGUGUCAAAUGUUGGCUAGUUUGGGUAAUACUUUAUAUCUAUUGACGUGAAAAUGAUGCCGAAUGAAGGAAGAGUAAAAGAAGGCCAAUUUGAUUGUUCUGAAUCCAUUAAUGUUCGAUUUCUGGAUUAUCUGAAUCAGUUCUAACACAAAAUAUGUCAUAAAAGUUUCAUAACCUUCUGACGAAAGGGUGGUUUCCUAGUUGCGAAGACGAUACCUUGGACCUCUCAGCCAAAGGUAUAUACAAUAUGACGUAUUACUAGAGUAGGAUUUUUCCCUAAAUGUUCAAGAGUGGGACUGAAUAUUUGCGAGAAGGUGCACUAACCUAACUGCACCAACUCUGAAACUAAGGAAUCCAAAGAAGGUUCGGAGGAGUGCAGUACACCCCUNNNNNNNNNNNNNNNNNNNNNNNNNNNNNNNNNNNNNNNNNNNNNNNNNNNNNNNNNNNNNNNNNNNNNNNNNNNNNNNNNNNNNNNNNNNNNNNNNNNNNNNNNNNNNNNNNNNNNNNNNNNNNNNNNNNNNNNNNNNNNNNNNNNNNNNNNNNNNNNNNNNNNNNNNNNNNNNNNNNNNNNNNNNNNNNNNNNNNNNNNNNNNNNNNNNNNNNNNNNNNNNNNNNNNNNNNNNNNNNNNNNNNNNNNNNNNNNNNNNNNNNNNNNNNNNNNNNNNNNNNNNNNNNNNNNNNNNNNNNNNNNNNNNNNNNNNNNNNNNNNNNNNNNNNNNNNNNNNNNNNNNNNNNNNNNNNNNNNNNNNNNNNNNNNNNNNNNNNNNNNNNNNNNNNNNNNNNNNNNNNNNNNNNNNNNNNNNNNNNNNNNNNNNNNNNNNNNNNNNNNNNNNNNNNNNNNNNNNNNNNNNNNNNNNNNNNNNNNNNNNNNNNNNNNNNNNNNNNNNNNNNNNNNNNNNNNNNNNNNNNNNNNNNNNNNNNNNNNNNNNNNNNNNNNNNNNNNNNNNNNNNNNNNNNNNNNNNNNNNNNNNNNNNNNNNNNNNNNNNNNNNNNNNNNNNNNNNNNNNNNNNNNNNNNNNNNNNNNNNNNNNNNNNNNNNNNNNNNNNNNNNNNNNNNNNNNNNNNNNNNNNNNNNNNNNNNNNNNNNNNNNNNNNNNNNNNNNNNNNNNNNNNNNNNNNNNNNNNNNNNNNNNNNNNNNNNNNNNNNNNNNNNNNNNNNNNNNNNNNNNNNNNNNNNNNNNNNNNNNNNNNNNNNNNNNNNNNNNNNNNNNNNNNNNNNNNNNNNNNNNNNNNNNNNNNNNNNNNNNNNNNNNNNNNNNNNNNNNNNNNNNNNNNNNNNNNNNNNNNNNNNGAGAAUAUAAAAUACAAUAUAAAAUUUAAGGGUCCCUUUGACUGCACCUCCCGACGAAUAUUUCAAAAUAACCUGUAUAAACACUUAAAAAAAAGAAUAUUAGUAACAAAUAAAGAAUAAUCAAAAUAAAUUGAACAAGUAUGUAUGCGUAUAAAUAUUUUAAAAUAUAUUUUUUGUUAAAGAAUGGGCUCAGAUAAUGUCAUGACUGCGAAAUGGUUGCUCAAUUAAUUGGCCGUCCUAAAUCGUCUUACAAUGAAGUGGUUGCUCAAUUAAUUGGCCGUCCUAAAUCGUCUUUCCAAGAUAUGAAUUGUAAAAUCUUGCGUUGUUAUAAAGUUUCAUCAUCGCCCAAAAUAUAUUUAUUUAUUACGUAUGUAUACGCAAAAAGUUCGUCUGUUGUUUACAGAGGCCUUAAAAUUAAUAAUAAUUUUUUCAUUGGCCAAAAAUGUAUAGUAUCCAUUCAUUAUCGGUGUAAUAAAUUGUAAGGCAAAACUAAAGGACAAAUGUCCAAAUCAUCUGCAUAAAUUAAUCAUAACAACCUAUAAAAAGUAAAGGAGUAUAGCAACAACUUUUGACCAUAAAGAUAAAGAAAUGUAAAAGUCAUAAAAAAAAAAGUGAACUAAACAAGAAUCACCUCAAAUAUCCCAAUCAGUAUUGCAGAGGAAACACAAGCAGCCGAAAAAACAUAGCUAGGAAUCAAAAAUCAUCCCAAAGCAAGCACGUUCCAAGAAUCAAGACCUCCCCGGAUAAUUCAAAAUCAACAAAAAAUAUCAAGGAUCCAAAAGUAAAGAGAAAAAAAAUGUCAGAGCACAAUGAGUGACCCAAAUCCAUAAAUAAGCAAAUUAUUAGCGGAUCAUGUAAUAAUAAAUAAAGGUUGGCGUUACUUCAAUGGCGUAUGCCGGAGCAAUGCGGGAACCCAAAUUCCGACCAGAUCUGGCCAUUUUUAAUGUGGCAGUGGCGGCGUGUGUGGUGGUUGCGGCGGCUCAUGGCUGUAUCGAGACUCACUCGCCGACGAUUAACUCCGGCGUGGCGAGGCAAAAAGGGAAAAGAGAGUGGAGGGCGUUGGUGAGUUUUUGAUAGCUAGAGGUUUGGCGAAGAACCGCUAGUCGGACAUAACCAGCGAUGAUGGGGGCUUUGACGGAUACAGAAGAGAGGGGAGAGUAGGGGCGGCGCCGGUGGACAGUUUGCCGGAUCUGGGACAGUAAAGGAGAAAGGGAGAGAAUUGUGAGGGAGAAGGAGAUGAAAAUGAUGAUUUUCUCUUUAGUGUACUUGCGUUUGUAAUCUAUGUGGAUAUGUGUAGUGUAUGUGUGUAUUGUUGUGUUGUGUCCUAUAUCUGUGGUGUGUUUUGAAGAGAAAAAUAAAAAAAUGAAAUAAAUAAAAUAUGCUUGUGUAUUUAUGAAUAUGUGUGUGGGUUUGCAAAGAAAAAAUGCUUAUGAGUUAUAAAAAAUAAAUAUAUGUGUAUUUUGAAAGAGAGGAAAAAAUGAACCAAAAAUGUGUGUCCAAAAUGUGUCCUCCCACCACCUAUUUAUACAAAAAAUUGAGCACCUCUUUUAUCCAAUGGAUAAAAGAGGUGUCCUCUCUUUUUAUAAUAGAAUACCCUUAGAUCCUUAAGUUAUUGGCCAAAGGAUUUUCAUUCCUUUGACCAAAGGACAAAGUAAUUAUCCAAAGGGUAAUGUCAUUAAGUGGUCGUUGUCAAAUGUAACGAGACAACACUGAGUGGUCAUUGUCGGACGUGACAAGACAUUAUUGUGUAGUCGUUGUCGGAUGUGAUAAGACAUCGAAUUAUUAUACUGCACAAAAAUAAUUGAUCCGACUCAGCGUUUGCAGACUGUAAAAUAUAGAUGUUGAAUGAAAAAAUGUAAAGAAUAUUAAAAUUAUUAAAAUAUAAUUAAUUUAAAAAUACUGUAAUAUAUAUAUAACGCCAUGUCGUGCACGUGUGCGGGUGAUUGUAAAAUGUUAAGAACGAUAAUGAAUUGAUAAAAAUUCUAAAAAUAGAAAAAUUAUUAAUAAAUUAUAAGAAAUCAAAUUAUGACAAAAAAAUUGAUCAAAAUCCUAAAGAAAGGAUAAUUAUCAAUAAUUUAUCAAACAAUUGUAAAAAANNNNNNNNNNNNNNNNNNNNNNNNNNNNNNNNNNNNNNNNNNNNNNNNNNNNNNNNNNNNNNNNNNNNNNNNNNNNNNNNNNNNNNNNNNNNNNNNNNNNNNNNNNNNNNNNNNNNNNNNNNNNNNNNNNNNNNNNNNNNNNNNNNNNNNNNNNNNNNNNNNNNNNNNNNNNNNNNNNNNNNNNNNNNNNNNNNNNNNNNNNNNNNNNNNNNNNNNNNNNNNNNNNNNNNNNNNNNNNNNNNNNNNNNNNNNNNNNNNNNNNNNNNNNNNNNNNNNNNNNNNNNNNNNNNNNNNNNNNNNNNNNNNNNNNNNNNNNNNNNNNNNNGGUAUGUUUUGAACAUAUUCAGCAUCAAAUGCGUUUUGAUUGACAUGUAUGAUGGUAGCUUAUACAUUUAAAAAAUGUAAUAUCGGAUAUACUUAUACAUCUCAAAUGUAAUAUCGAAUAUACUUAAACUAAAGACAGACAUGUAUGAUGGUAGCUUAUACAUUUUUAAAAAAUCUUCAUUAAUGAAUGAUGUCAACUUAUACAAUAAUCUUUUUAACUGCCUCUUUUAUGUACAUCGUCUUAUUGUAUAAUAUAAUGGAAUAUAAAGCAGAAAACUAAUACUAUAAAUUAGUCUAAAAAAUAAAGUAAUGUAUAAUCAAAUAAUAUAAACGUAUAAUAUCAAAUAUGCCAGGAACAAAAUCAACGAACAUAUUUUAUUAUUGAGCAUCUAACUGACUAAGUUAUAAACUAAAGUUAGGACGAGAAUCCAUUACCAAAUUUAUAUUAUAUUGAUUAAGAAAUCGCAACUAUAAACAAGAAAUUCAAAGAUCUGACUUUUAUUAUAUGAAAAAAAAACCCAGAAAAAAUCAGCUAACAAACUAGAAUGAGAUUGCAAAAUAAGGUAAUUUCAUAAAAAUCAACAUGCAACCAAACAAGAAUCCGAAUAAGAACCAACAACUUUAAAACAAAAACAAAGAUCUGACUUUUAAUAAAUGAAAAAAAAUGAUAUUAUCGAACUAUCACACUAAAAUGGAUUUGCAAAAGCAAUUAAUUUCAUAAAUAAUAAAAAUACAAUAAAAAAUCGACCCAGAUUAUGAUUUGGUAAAGUUGAAAAAAAAAACUAAAAAUUAUUGAAAAAUAUCAAUAUAUAAGUUCAAUAAAAGUUUGAUAACUUACAAAUUGGAAACCUCUAAAUAUACGAUUGCUUGAAUUUGAGCGUGAAAAAAGGUAUUCAAUAAUAGAAGAACAAUAGGUUGUUUAAUGGAAGAAAAAAAUGGAGCAAAUGUGAAAAAGAGAGAGAAAGUAAAUGGAAAAGAGAGAGAAAGUAAAGAAUUGUUUAAUGGAAGAAAAAAUGAAAUAAAUAUGGGAAAGAGAGAUAAAGUAAUGAUACAGAUUUAUUUAUUUUUGAUGUAUAAGAGGAAUGAGAGAGAGAAAAAAAAUAGGGGAUUUUAGUAAUAAGUUUGGGAUUUAUGUAAUUAGUUUGUUAAUAUGGGAUGUGUUGUAAUAAGGUAAAGUUAGUUUGUGUAUGUAUGUAAUUUUUAGUUUUUUUUUUUUAACAACUAGUGGGCCUGGUCUGGGCCGGGUCACCAUUCGGCUUGGUCUGGUUUCUUAACUGGGUUGGUCCAUUGGGUUGGCCAUCCCAGACGGUCCAGCCCGGGACCGGUGGCCCAAAAACUCGGUGGCCCAUCGGGCCGGGUUAACCGAGCCAAAACGGGCCAAUUCGGCCUGAAUGACAGGUUUACUUUUUAGUGAAGAGGUGUCUUUUAAUGAAAGAUUGUAUCUUUAAUGAAAAGGUGUUUUUUUAAUGAAAUGUUGUAUCCUUUCAUUCUUUGGUUACCUUAAUUCUAUUUAAAUCCCACCUCUUGUGAUUUUAAGGCAUCUUUACAAAAAGUGUUUAGAAAAACUUUUCACAGAGUACUUUCCUUACAACAUUUUCAAAAAUUUAUUUUCUUUUUAGAAGAUCAAGUUCUUGAUUUCUUGCUUUCCAGAAGAAUCUCUUCACUAUUUGCUUAGUGUAUAAUUCAAUAGGUUUGUUAUAUCCACUAAAAUUAUUUGCAUACAACCUUCUGUGUUCUUGAAACAUAUUUUCCAACAGUUACUUCUAGUCAUCUCGGGCUGCCUUUUUUUACUUCUAGUCAUCUUAAUUUAGCUAACACAUGAUAAAAUCCUUUUACAUUAUCGGUGCGUAGAAGUUAAUUUUUUUUAUUAUAUAAUUUAAACGUAAAGAGAGCAUGCAGGAAGAACCUAACAAAAUAUCAGUGGCCUAAAAAAUGAAACCAUGUACCCCAAUUUGACUUGUAUACUUUUUGCUACUCAAUUGUCUUUUUGGAAACGCUUUACUAAAGCUUAUUAGUAAUAUUUUUGGAAUGGUGCCAAAACGUCUUUUAAAUAGGACAACACGUGAAAAUAACAAUGGUGAUUAACAAUAUAAGGUAAAUCUUAGAAAGUGGAACUGUGGAAUAGUGGUCUUUCUUUUUGAUAGCCAAUACAAACUGUCUAUGGACUACAGAAGUACAGGCCAAAUGCAAAGUACGUUUAGUUUAGGUAAAAUUAUAUCGUUUGGCUAAAGGCAAUUGCAAAUCUUUUUCCUUUUCAACCCAAUAUGGCCUAAAAUACGUGCAUAAAACUCUCUUUGGUUUGGUUUAACACUUUGAAAAGCAUUCAGAGCUUGAAAAAGCACAAACAAUACAAAAGCAUGAGAAGGAAACUACCACUUAAUAUAAACAAUUAACACACUUGCUCAACUUUAAGACCCAAACAUGGAGUUUCAACAGUCUCUUUUUGACUAUAUAAUAAUGUCCAUUGCGUUAUUUUCGAUUGCAAACAGCUGUGUCGUGAACAAACUAGAAAACAAGCCGGAAACAUUUUUUUGAAUAAACACUGGUGUUCUAAUUAGUUUGCACAUUAAUAUGAAUGUUUUCAUCAGGUGCUCAAUCUGCACCUGCCAAGGUUCGAACCCGGGUUGUUGAUGCGGAAAUGCACACUCUUGACCACUGGAUUAUGCUUCUCUAGUUUGUCAAGGGUGUGCAACAACAUGUAUAUAACCAUAAAUAUCUAUAUUUAACCUAUAUACUCGAAAAAAUUUUCCGACGAAGGGUAUUCAUCUGACCACCCUUCGUCGCUGUGGCUCUGCCACUGUGCUCAAUUACUACUCUGCUAACAACUAUAUCAAGUCAAUCCAAAAUUUGAAAUUUAUGAGUUUGUGAUUAAGUUAAUAAUAUAAUAAUAAUUAAAUUUACAAUCAAAUAUAUUUAUAUACUAUAAGAUAUGCAGCAAAGUUACUACGUCUCAUGUGAAUGCGUAACCAAAACUGUAAAUUUGUCACUGCCCCUGGAUAUCAUGAAUGUUGUAAUGUCCAUCAAGACAUAAAGAUGUCAUAUACUCCUAUGUAUUUUGCCUUAGUUAGAAUUUAAAUUCUUACCAUUCAUAAUUUAACUCACGUCAUUAAUCACUAAAUUCUCAUUGAAGAGUUUUAGCCUACGGUACAUGUGAAUUUGCUAGGAUAUUGAUGAUGGGUUAUAAUUGGAUGAAAUUAAUUAAAGAUGUCUGGUGACUGUUAAAUUAUUGUAAAGAAAUGUGUUUGAGUUUAUGUUUUGUGUUGUACAAAAUAUUUUUUACUAUCAGCUAAAUUUAAUAUGUUAUUGCAAGUGUUAUCAAUAUAAUUAACUUUAUGAAAACUAAACUCAAUCAUAUAUAAAAUAUGAAGAAACAAGAAUUUUAUUGAUAAAUGAUAUGCUGGUAUAAUUUUGUUUCUUCCUUGAUUCUUCUGUCUUGAUUUUCUUCAAGCGUCAUUAGUAACGUAUUUUUCGAAUGUAUAAUGUAUUUAUCGAACGUAGGAAGAUUUAAAUUUGAUAUAAAUUUUCUCCGUAAUUCGAGAAGUUGUAUUUCUUGAACAUAGGUAUAUUUAGAUUUGAUCUCUAUGGAAGAAGGGUUGUGAAUUUUCUUGAUGUAUUUGAUUAUCAAGAACGGAGGGUUCUGAUUCCGUUUUGAUAUUUCAUGAAUUUAUGAAAUUGAGAAAUGCUAUGCCUUUUUCGAGAAAUAUUUAUCCCUUUAAAUAGGCGUAAUGGGAGAUUUAUAGUAGAGUAGCCAGCCACCAAACUUAGGUUUAGAGUAGCGUCCGAGAACUCUAAUACAAAUUGAAUUCUUGUUAUAGAGUGCACAAAAUUUUGAUCCCUUUAAAUAGGUGUAAUUUAGGUCCCUUUAAAUAGGUGUAAUUUAGGAUUUAUAGCAGAAUAACCAUCAAGCUCAGGGUUUAAAGUAGUCAAACUCUAAUAGAAAUUGAAUUCUUGUUAUAUAGUGCACAAAAUUUUGAUGUCUAGUAAUGUCUAGUUAGAUCAAAUUUACCUGAUAGUAUAAAAUGUUUUGUACACUAAAAUCGCACAAAACUUAAAUUCAUGUAUAAAAGAAUAACAAAAAGAGCAAAGUUCUUCACUUUUUUCUCAUGAUUGUUUUGUUGCCCACAGUAAACUUAUUAAUUUUCACAAAAAGAAGAGUUUCCUUGGUAGGGUAAUUGCAAAGAGGUUUUAUACCUUUCUUUGUUUUGGAAGUGACAGUCUGUUAUGUCUUUUGAGAAACCUCCCUUGUUAAGCUAAACUUUUUUCAACAGCUUAAGUACCCAAUUCCUAUUCUCCCACCAUCUCAAACUAUAUUAAUUAGGAUGAAUUUUUAAUUACUAUAAUCUUAUUUGUAUCUUAAGUGAUAAUUUUUCUCCACUAAAUAGUUAUUCAAUGGAAAAAUCCUUUUCACCACAAUUUAUGUGUCAUUCCAUUAAUGAAUAUUGCAAUUAUCAAGUCAUCUUGACAGUAUAUUUAACAAAAUUGAGUAGGAAAUCCAAAUUGAAGCCUAGGAAUAAACUACAUUAACAACUUCAUGAAGUGAUAAUACCAUAGGAUCUUUAAGACAAACUAUAUACGAAGAAUAAAGUGUGAAAAAACUAAUUAGUUUUAAUUUGUACUUAUAACAUAAUAUAUAAUUUAAGAUAACUAUUUUUAAAAAACACGAUAGAUGAUUUGAGACUGAUGGAGUACUAACAAACAACUAGGAUACGUUUUGCAUUAUGUUCCUAUUUUCUUCAAAUUUAAAAAUGAUUAUACGGCUUUCCUUUUUGUUGAUUACACAAACGUAAAGGAACCUAAUAUGAAAAAAACUUAUAAUUAAUUUUAUACGCUAUGAAUAUAAAAAUUGUUCAUGGUGUCAUAUUACUCAAAAUCUCAAAUACAUAGGUGCACGGAUCUAGCUUUCUGUCUAUGAGUUCACUGGAAUUUAUAAGUAGAUUUCUCUCAAACUUUGUGUAUGUGUUAAGAAAAAAAUCAUACUACUACAACAUUAAACAAGAUGAGCUGUCCUCUCGAAGCAUCUUUUUCAUCUCCAGCAAAAUACCAUAAUCAGAUAUUUUACAUUAAAAUGAUCUUUACGUAAAAUUGGGGUAAUAGUGUAUUUAUUUAGAAUUGGCCUAAGAUUUGCAAUUAAUCCAUCUGAAAGGAGGGCAAAAUAUGCAAAAAUUAGCACAGAGGUAACAAUGACUUAAAUAAAGGACUUCUUAAAGCUAGAUCCAGAAAAUCACCACCUUCCUUCUCUAAUAAAUUGAACCAAUAAAAUAUUGAAUUUAACUCUAAAUAUAUGUGGUCCGUGCCCAAACGUGUCAACUUUAAAAUUUUUAUACAUAUAGAAUACUUCACUAGGUCUUCUUAAUUCCUUUAUAUGAAGGCCCCUAUAUAUACCAUUCAUUGCAUCUCAUAAAACCACAAUUCUCUACCAACUCAAUCUCCUCUAAAGCUCUCUCUUUCAUCAAUAUUUAUCUCUCCCUCUUAAGUCAACCAACAAUUUAAACUCUACCUAUAAAGGAAAAUGGAUCAAAAAUUGCCUGUUAUAGCAAAAAAAUUAUGGAAGAUAGUUACGGUGGCUUACUUCAUGCUGAAAAAAGGGUUAUCCUCAAAGAGAAAAUUAAUAUUUGAUCUCAACUUAUUAAUGAAACGUGGCAAGAUUGCUGGCAAAACCGCCAUCCAAAAUCUCAUGUUCCACGACCAUAAUAAUAAUAAUACACAAGGCCAUCACUCAUCGUCCAAAGACUACUACGAGUUCAGCUGCAGUAACAACUCCGCUUUUCACCUCCCAUUCCACCUGAACAAGCGCAUUAAUAAGCAAAGUCACCUUGAACAUGUCAUUGAAGAACACGAAGAUGUUUCAAUGAUGAAUGCUGCUGUCUUUAAGGCAUUGGAGAUGAUACAGAGUGAAACAGCAUCACCUGCUUUGCCUGGAUUCGGGAGGACACCUACUGUGAGGCAAUUAAGGAUCACUGACUCUCCUUUCCCUUUAAGAGAUGGAGCAGAUGAGGGUGACAUGAUGAGCCACGUAAACGAGAAAGCUGACGAAUUCAUUUCUCGAUUCUACAGAGAUUUGAGAAGAGAGGCUUCUGUUUUUGCUUAAUUAAUUUGUUUAUUGGGCUUUAGUUGGCAAUUUUUCCUUGCAGAAUUCAUACAUGCUAUAGUGGCCUGUGUAAUAAUGUCCAAAGAGCUUACAUAUAUGCAGAUUGGAAGCUUUGAAUACUGAAAAUUAUUUUUAGGGUUUCCAUUCUGUCUUCGGAAAUAUUUUUAAUAAUAAUUUCUUUUUAUGAAAUUAUGAAAAUUAUUAUAAUAUGAUGAUAUAUAACCGCUUGUUUCUUGCUACGGUAUAAUAUUUUCAAGUCCUGAAAUUUUACAUCCACCAAUCCUUUCAUACUUCAUUUGAUUAUCCGUUUGUUGUUACCUUUUAUUUUUGCUCAAAAAUAAGAAGAGCAAAAAGUUAAAGUUAACAUGGAGUAGGUUAGCAAGUCAAAAAUCAUUCCUUUUUUUGAAUCCAAGAAGUUUGUAUUCUUUGACUGGAGUAGAUUCUCUGCGUACAUAAUUUUUGUUACCUGGAGUUGGAAAAGAAUACUUGCUAACUAAAGUUAAUUUCAUGUAAAAUGAAAAAUUAAUUAACCUGGAAAUUCAUUUACACAGUAUACACGUCGACCCUUGUUUCUUAUUUUGUUAACAUAAAAUACUCCAAAUUAACUCUAAUUGCUGCCAGGACAAUUGUACAAUGUCAAAGAGAAAUUAAUGGCCCGAUCAAUAACUAAUCACGACACUAAUGAAACAAAUUGGACCAAUGUGAUAUUCCACCAAUUUACCUAAAGCAAAAUUGUCUUAUGUUCAUAAGUGGAAACAUGUUGUAGUAUUUAAUUAAUCUGUGGCUUUCUCUUCUAACUUUACUAAUAUCUGUUUAUAAUUAAGUAUUCUGUUAUAGUGGGUUGUAAAGAUUUAAGAUACUCAACUAAUACUCAACUAAGCAGGGUAGUUACUUAGUUGUUAGAAGAUCACAAGUAGUGAGUUAGUUAUAAUUAACUCAAUUAAUUCUCUACAUAUAGCUUCAUUGUACUCAUUGUAAAGACACAAUUUUAUCAUUCAAUACAAUCCAGUGAUCUUUCUUCUCUGUUUUUCUUUCUUCUCAAAAUGAUCAAGGUUCAUGAUUCAUCUUCAUCUUGAUUACCUUCAUGGUAUCAGAGCGUGAGGUCCUGGUGUAACAAUACAACUCAAUUCUAAGAAUUCUGAGUUCUUCUGUCUAUUGAUAAAUAUUUACACAAAUCCAACUCUUAGAGUGGAUUUGGCUGUUGCUUUUGAAGUUACUGAUUCAGUUGAUUUCUGAGGAAUCAACCCUAUACAUUGAUAUCUGAUUAUCAGCAUUAAGCUUCCGCAAAAUAGAGGUUCUCUUCGAUUGAACAAGAGUUCUUUUGCUGGUUUUUCUGGUUUUGUGGUUUACUUAGUCUUCAAGAAGUUCUUCAAUUUCUGGUGAUCAAGAUGACGAGAGAACAAAGAAACGGAGAGAACAUGCAGUGUGGACAAUCUUCAAGUUCAUUUGCUCAAAAUGGUGUAAGUUCUAGAUUUCGUCAAGGUAUUGUCUACAAUCACCCUCUUUUCUUAAGUCCUACAGAUGUGGGUGGCAUUAGCUUAAUAUCAUUCUAUUUGUUUGGUACUAAAAAUUAUGCAUUGUGGAGUCGUUCAAUAAGACUUGCAUUACUUGGUCGAAAUAAAAUAGGAAUGAUAGAUGAAACUUGUAGGAAAGAUACAUUUACAGAAGAGUUAUGGAGUCAAUGGGAGAGGAUCAAUGCAAUUUUCCUCUCUUAGCUAAUGAACUCAAUUUCAAAGAAUUUGUUGAGUGGAAUUAUAUUUGCUUCUAAUGCGUGUACUGUGUGGGAUGAUUUGAAAGAAAGAUUUGAUCGUAUAGAUAGCUCAAGAACUUAUAGUCUACAUAAUGAAAUCAGUACUUUACAACAAGGAACUACAUCUGCCUCUACAUAUUAUACCAAGUUAAGAAAUCUUUGGGAUGAGUUUGAGGCCCUUGUCCCUCCACCUGCAUGCAAUUGUGAAAAAUCAAGAGGUUUUGUUGCUCACAUGAAUUGGCAAAAGCUCUAUCAGUUUCUUAUGGGAUUAAGUGAAGUCUAUCAUCAGGCUAGAAGUCAAAUUUUAUUAAUGAAUCCCUUGCCUAAUAUCAAUCAAGCAUAUGCUAUGAUAAUGGGUGAUGAAGCACAGAAGUCAAUUAUCUUCACUGGAAAUCUGGGUAUGAAUGUUAUGUCUUCUAACAACUUGGACAGUAUUGCUAUGUACUCUAAGGCUGACAGUACCUUUGGUCAAAAUAGUCAGAAGUUCAAAAGAAAUGCAGGAUUGGUGUGUGACUAUUGUAAGUGCAAGGGACACAACAAAGAAUACUGCUAUAAACUAAUGGGAUUUCCUCUUGAUUUCAAAUCCAAGAAGAAAAAUAUCUCUGGCAGUUAUAAUAGUGCUCAUAUGGUCAAUAUUGAUCUAGGGGUUGAUCUAGAGCAACCGGUACAACAAGCUCAAGCAAAAUUUAUGUUUGGGAUGAAUGUUACUAAUCCAAUAAGAAAUUGGAUCAAUCCCACUUCAGCUGAUUGUCAUAAGAUAGGUCAGUCCUUGAAGCCCAACAUUGUUACAUAUUCUAAAAAAGUUGUUAAAGAAAUGUUACAGGGGUGCACCUUCACCAAAGAUCAGUAUGAUCAAAUCCUCUUAAUGCUUCAAAACAACCAUUCUAAGGGAAAUACUAAUGAAGCUGAUGCAGUCAACGAUGCAGGUAAACAUUUUUUGUUUCUAAGAAUAGUGAAGUAUGGAUAAUUGAUACUGGAGCCACCAAUCAUAUGGUGUCCAGGUCUGAUAUGUUUUUACCUGAAUUUGUGUCUAAGUGUUCAAAAAUAAAGAAAGUGUUUCUACCUAAUGGAGAGGUAUCACAGGUCACACACGUAGGUUCUUAUGCUCUAUCUACUAAGAGUAUAAUCACUAAUGUAUUUCAUAUUACUGAAUUCAAGUACAAUUUCCUAUCUGUGAGCAAGAUAACCAAGGAUUUAGGUUGCUCAGUCAUAUUCUUUCCCCACUUUUGUGCGUUCAAGGAACUUUAUAGUGGGAAGGUGAAGGAAAUUGGUAAAGAGGAAGGAGGUCUCUACUUACUACUAAAACAUCUUUUAAGGACAGAUAACUGACAAGUAUCUCUAUCAGUGAAAGCUAAGGAUUCAGGAACCAAAACAGAGGACAUGGAGCUGUGGCAUAGGAGAUUAGUACACUCUUCUUCAGUAGUUCUUAAUAAACUAUUUUAUAUGAAUAAGGAAAAUGUAUGUAAGGUUUCUACAUGCAAUAUUUGUCCUUAUGCAACGCAAACAAGAUUAAUUUUUCCUUUUCUACAUGCAAUAUUUGUCCUUAUGCAACGCAAACAAGAUUAAUUUUUCCUUCCAGUUCUGCUAAGACUUUGUCAAGUUUUGAACUGAUCCAUCUUGAUCUUUGGGGUCCAUACAAUACAGCUACUUGUGAUGGGAACAUAUAUUUUCUUAUUGUAGUGGAUGAUUUUUCAAGAAUAACUUGGUUGUUUUUACUUAAGUACAAAUCAAAAGUGUGUGUGUCUAUCAAGUUAUUUCUACAAUAUGUUAAUACACAGUUUGACAAAACUGUCAAAGUAAUGAGAACAGACAAUGGAACUGAGUUUGUCAACUCAGUGUAUGCUAUCAUAUGUAAAGAAAUAGGAAUUAUUCAUCAAAGGUCUUAUACUUAUACUCCGUAACAGAAUGGGAGUACUGAGAGAAAACAUAGACAUAUUUUGGAAGUUACUAGAGCUUUGAGAUUUCAAGCUAAAAUACCCCUGAAGUUUUGGGGUCACUAUGUAUUAGCUGUAGCUUAUCUGAUUAAUAGAAUACCUAGUAGUGCAGUGUCAAAUCAAAUUCCUUAUGAAAGGUUAUAUGGUGUAAAACCAAUGUUCAUUCAUCUAAGAGUACUAGGUUGUUUGUGCUUUGCAAAGGUUCUGAAUGAGCAUGAUAAGUUAAUGCCUAGAUCAAGAAAGACUGUACAUAUGGGAUACUCAGACACUUAGAAAGGCUAUGUGUUAUAUGAUCUUACCAGUAGGUCAUUCUUUCUCAGUAGAGAUGUAUUGUUUACAGAGGGUGUGUUUUCCUUUCUUGAUACAGGUACCUCAGUCAACAAUAGUGCAUUUGUUGAUCCCCUCUCCAGCUAUGAUGGUUUGAUGUAAAACAUUAUAUCAUAUGACCAUUCUAUAUAUGUUCCAGCUCAGGUUGCAGAGAUAUAAUAUCCUACAACUGAACCAGAUGCAGUUCCAAGCACCAUUAAUCAUGAUGAAGCUCCUGAACCAGAUACAGCUGAUAUAAAUAACUUAGUUAAGCAUGAUGCAAAUAAACAAAUUGUGGUUCCUGAAGUGGCUACUGGAAAUGNNNNNNNNNNNNNNNNNNNNNNNNNNNGGUAAUGUUCAGUAUUCUAUGUGUAACUACAUUGGCUAUGAUCACUUAUCACCUACCUAUCAAACUUAUAAAUGGCAACAUCUACACUGGUAGAUCCUACUACUUACUCAGAGGUUGUGAAUAAUAAGAGAUGGGUGGAUGCCAUGAAAGCAAAGAUUCAUGCACUUGAAGAAAACAAAACUUGGGAACUUAUAGACCUUCCUGCUGGUAAGAAACUAAUUGAUUGUAGGUUUAUUUACAAGAUAAAGUAUAAAUCCACACGUGAAGUUGAGAGGUUCACGGCAAGACAGGUUGCAAAGGGAUAUAGUCAGAAAGAAGGAAUAGAUUACAAGGAAACAUUUUCUCCGGUUGUUAAAAUAGUGACUAUUAGAAAAAUCCUUGCUAUUACUGCCUCAAAAACUAACAUGUACAUCCAAUGGAUGUCUUUAAUGCCUUUUUAUAUGGAGAUUUGAAGGAUGAGAUCUACAUGACUCUACCUCAAGGAUUUUCAAGUCAAGGGGAGAAGGUAUGCAGACUUAUCAAAUCCUUGUAUGGAUUGAAACAAGCUCCAAGGCAAUGGAAUCACAAAUUGACAGAAGCUCUUAUUGAUCUCAAGUUUCAACAAAGCCAACAUGACUACUCAUUGUUUAUCAGGAAUUCUAGUGAAGGAAUGACUAUUAUACUUGUCUAUGUAGAUGAUAUGCUCAUCACUGGGAGCAAUUUGAAACUGAUUCAAGACAAAAAAGAGGCACUACAACAAGCAUUUAAAAUGAAGGAUUUAGGAGCUAAAGUACUUCUUGGGUAUUGAAUUUACGAGGUCUAAAGUUGGGAUCCUUAUGCAUCAGAGGAAAUACACACUGGAACUGAUAUCUGAAGUUGGUUUAUCUACAGCAAAGCCAGCAAACACUCCUAUUGAUACUAUGUCAAGCUAACUUCUGUACAAUAUGAUGAACACUUGAAGAAUAGUCAAAUUACUCCUGCUGAUCCGUUAGUAGAUCAAGAUAAUGUACCAAAAAUUGGUGGGAAAGUUGUUGUACCUGAAUAUAAUAAGACCAGAAAUCUCAUAUAGAACGCAAACUCUAAGUCAGUUUCUUCAACAACCAAAAAAAUCUCACUUGAAUGCUGCAUUAAGGGUAAUUAGGUACCUAAAGAAGCAACCAGGACAAGGAUUUUUGUUAGGUAGUAACUCAAAUGAGAAGAUUACUGCCUAUUGCAAUGCUGACUGGGAAACAUGCCCUCUUACAAGAAAAUUAGUUACAGGUUAUAUGAUUAAACUAGGAGACUCAUUGAGCUCAUAGAAGGCUAAGAAAUAGACUACUGUCUCAAAAAGCUCAGCUGAGACUGAAUAUAGAAGCCUAACUAGAACAGUGUAUGAACUCAUCUGGUUUAUUGGUGCCUAAAAGAAGUAGAUAGCAAGGUGCAAUUACCAGUACAGAUAUUCAAUGACAGCAAAGCAACCAUACAAAUUGCUGCCAAUCUAGUCUAUCAUGAACGAACAAAACAUAUUGAGAUACACUGUCAUUUCAUUAGAGAAAAAUUACAAGAAGGUUUGAUUAAUGUGAAGUAUAUACCUACAUAGGAACAACUUGCAGAUGUGUUAACCAAAGGCUUGUCUAGACAUCAACAUGAGUAUCUCUUGUCCAAGCUUGGAGCUCUAAAUAUCUUUAUACCUCCUAGCUUGAAGGGGACUGUUAAGAUACUCAACUAAUACUCAACUAAGAAGGGUAGUUAGUUAGUUGUUAGAAGAUCACAAGUAGUGAGUCGUUAUAACUAACUCAACUAAUUCUCUAUAUAUAGAUUCAUUGUACUCAAUGUAAAAAUACAGUUUUAUCAUUCAAUACAAUUCAAUGAUCUUUCUUCUCUGUUUUUCUUUCCUCUCAAAAUGAUCAAGGUUCUUGAUUCAUCUUUAUCUUGAUUACCUUCAUAAAGCAACUCCUUUGCUUUUUAUAACGUUGGUCAUUUACCUGAACUUUAUUUGGCAGAAACAUUGUCAUACCCGAUUUUUACCUAAGGUCAAAACGAGCACGACAUUAUGGACUCUAAAAGAAUAAAUUUUGUAUAGAAUCGCUACCUAAUUUUUAAGAAAAAAUAGAAAACCUAUUUUUUUAUUAACAAAUAUGACUUUUAUUCUAAUCUACGGAACCAAUUUAGAUUCUAGGUAAGGUUUCAAAUUAUUCCGAAGGGAAGGGAUUACGCACCCUUCAGAAUCUACAAAUGUGGUUUUUGGCCAGACUUGGGUUUUUACAAGACGAAGGAAAAAAAUCAAUGUUUAUAAAUUCAAAUUUAAAAUAUGCAUUAAAAUAAUAUAAAUAAUUUUCAUAUAAAGAAUGCAUAAAUUACAUAAAUUAUUGUAUAUAAAAAAUGUGUGAUAUGAUUGAAAGUAUAUAAGAAUGUACAUGGAAAGAAAAGAAAAAUUGAAUAAAGAAAAAAAAUUAUUUUAAAGGAAAAGAUUACGCAAUAUUUUUUAAAUGUAUAAGUAUGAAUUAGUUGAUUAAAUAUCUAAAUCAAUUUUAAUAUAAAUAUUAAUCGUCUAAAUUUGCCUAACGUAUGAUGAGAAUCGCAUAAAAAAUAUAAAAUAUAAAAAAGAAUUAUAUUAAAGAAAAAACUAGGCAAUAUCUUUCAAUGUAUACGCAUGAAUUAAUUUGAUUAAGUAUCUAAAUUAAUUUUAUUUUUUAAAUAUAAAUAUUAACGACCUAAAUUUGCCUAAACGCGUGAUGAAUAUUUGUAUAAAAGCAUUCCCACCCAACGCUUCAAAAAUAAAGAUUUCACUAUAAUUAAUAUUUGUACAAUGAUAAGAAAAAAAGAAAAUACAAAUACAAAAUUCAAGCUCCUCUUUGAAUGCCAUUCACGAUAGAUAUUCUCGAAAACCUGUACAAACACUCGUAAUAAAAAUGUUAGUAACAAAUAAAUAAUUAUCAAAAUAAAUUGAAAAGAUAUGUAUGCAUAUAUAUUUAAAAAUAUAAUUUUUGUUAAAAAGCGUGGGCUCAGAUUAGAUUUUAAAUACGGCAUGGCUACGAAGUGGUUGCUAAUUUAUUAGUCAUCCUAAAUCAUCUUGCCAAGAUACGAAUUAUAAACUUUUUGUGUUGUUAUAAAAAUUUCAUCAUCGCCCAAAUUUAUUUUUACUACGUAUUUAUAUACGUAAUAUCCUUCUUUUAUUUGUGCAUGCCUCGAAAAUCAACGAAAAAUUUCUUCAUCGGUCAAGUUUUGGCCCUUAAUAUAAAAUAAUAUUUUUGAUAAAAUAAAAUUCGUCUUUUGUAAUGGGAUGGCCUCAAAUAUUCAGACGGAGAGCUAAAUUCAUUGGCCAGAUAGUGUAGUAUCUUAUUUUUUUAUCACUGUACAAACUACAUUAAAUGGCAAAAUCAUCGAAAUAACUCAAAAAUCAAUAGGCUAAAAAAUAAAGAUCAUACCAACUGUUACAAUAACAAUGAUACAAUUGAGGGAAAAAUAGCAAUCAAGAAAGUAACACAGCUUGCGAUAGAUAGCAAGCAAGAUCCUCAUAGAGAAAAGAAAUAGCACAAGAUGAAGUAUCUCAAACAGUAGCAACAACCAUGGAAUAGAACAAAACAUACAGAUCUGCUGGAGUUAGCCUUUUCGGCCAGCAAGCAAAUAGUUGAAAAAAUAUGUAUAAACUAAGGCUAGAUGUGGAACAGUAGCGAUGGUCGUGCAUCAAAACUCGCUGGUCAUCAUUUUCGGUGACCCAGAUGCAUAAAAGAGCGGCGAAGGGGGAAGGGGGAGAGGGAGAGAAGGAGCGGCAGUGAUGGUGGUAUUUUGUCAUCACUCACCGGCCAUCAAUUCCAGCGAGAAAAGGAGGAAAAGAGAGAGGGUAAGCAGCAGUUGUGGCUGGAAAUAGACGGUCGCCAGAGUGGUGGCUGAUUUUGCUCGUCGGAGAAGAAGGGAGGAAGAGAGAUCUCAUAGAUGUGUGGUGUAUUUUUGUGUGGAAGUAUGUGUAAUGUGUGUUUUGUGAGAGUGUGAAUUGCGUAUUAAAAAAAGAAAAGGAAAAACAACAAUUCAUUAAAUCUAUUUUUGCUAACAAAUCUCUUAAAUUUUGGGAAAUAGGUGAAAUAAAGUCAAAGAGUCAUCUUUUAAAAGUGAGACAUUUUAAUUGAUUUAUUGCUCUGUGUAUUAAAAUAACUAAACUGACUCUCCUUUGCAUACUACAAAAUAAUGAAUGCCGAUGUAUAAUUACAAAAAAUUAUAAAUAAAAAAUAAAAAUAUAAUUAUCUUGAAAAUAUAUAUUAUGUUAUAAAUAAUUAAAAUUAUAAUAUGCAGUAAAAAUUACAGUGAUGUGUACGUAUGCAAAUGACUGUGCAAAAAUAUUAAAAUAAUAAUAAACUGAUAAGAAUUCUAAAAUUUAUGAAAUUAAAGAUAAUUAUCAAUAAAUUAUGUAAAAUAAAAUGUGACAAUAAAUGAGUAAAAAUUCUAAAAUAAUGAUGAUUAUCAAUAAUUUAUUAACAAUUGCAAAAAAUAGGUGAAAAUUUGCAUAUUGUGCCAUUUAACGAUCAGGGAGCCUAAAUUCGUUAAUUUUAAGUAUGGAGAGCCAAAAUCGGGUGUCAACAGUUUGCCCCUUUUUGUUUGAGAAUAAUGUAGAAGUCUUCAAACGAAAAUGUUGACGCGUAGCCAAUUUUGCUUGAUAAAAAUUCAGACAAACUUCAAUUUAAAGUUGCCUACAUAUUUCGAGUUGCAUGAGGAUCAUGCUGAGUAUAGUUCAAAACCUUUCCCAACAUGUUCGAUUUUGGGUUGGACAAACCCAAUGCGUCCUCGAAUUCAAUGCUUGCAAAAUUUAUAAAACUAAAUAAACUGUAGACAAAUGAGUAACAAAGGUUGAUAUUUUUUUUUGGAGAAAUUCAAAAAAAGAAAAAAGACAUUUCGUGCUUAACUAAUUGUAAUGAUAAGUAAAAAAAAAGUAUUGCAAGAUCUUAACUCUAAAGACAUAUAAAAUAUUCAAUUGAAGAUAGACAUGCAUAAAAGCUUUUAUUAAAGGGCAGACUAACCCAAAAUAUCCUAUUUCAAGGUGGACAUACCCAAUUUAUCCAUAAAUUAUAUGCUUGCAAAUGCAUCAAACUAAGUGGUACUGCUCAAUAAAACAUGAACGAAAAAUUAAGCUUAAUUUUUUUCUUUUUUCUCCUUUUUUUUUCUUUUUUUUUUUUUGAGAAAUUAAAGAUAACAUGCAGUGCUUAACUAAUUAAGAAAAAAUGAUACAAGCAAAGAUAACAUCCAAUGCUUAAAUGGUAAAAUAAGUGCAUUGCGAUAUGUGCAAGUAAAGACAAAACAUACAAUGCUUAAAUAACAAAAUAAAUGCUUUGCGAUGUGCAAGUAAAGGCAAAGAUAAAAUGUGGUUCUUAAAUGAUAAAAUAAAUGCAUUGCGAUAUUUGUGAGGCAUGCAGUGCCUAAAUGCUAAAAUAAAUGCAUUGUGAUAUGUGUGUACAGUGCUUAAAUAAUAAAAUAAAUGCAUUGCAAUAUGUGCCAGCAAAGACAAAGAUGACAUGAAAUGCUUAAUAAUAAAAUAAAUGCAUUGCAAAAGCUAGCGUGUAGUGCUUAAAGGAUAACAUAAAUGCAUUGCGAUAAGUGCAAAUAAAAACAAAGAUAACAUGCAGUGCUUAAAAUGAUAAAAUAAAUGCAUUUCGAUGAGUGCAAAUAAAGAUAAGGAUAAAAUGCAGUGCUUAAAUGAUAAAUAAAUGCAUUGCGAUAUGUUGCCAGCAAAAGCAAAGAUGACAUGCAGUGCUUAAAUGAUAAGAUAAAUGCAUUGCAAUAUUUGCGAGGUGUGUGGUGCUUAAAUAAUAAAAUUCAUUGUAAUAUGUGUGUGCAGUACUUAAAUGACAAAAUAAAUGCAUUGCAAUAUUUUUGAGGCAGCAGUGCCUAUAUGAUAAAAUAAAUGCAUUGCAUUAUGUGCGUGUAGUGCUUAAAUGCAUAGCAAUAUGCGUCGAUAAAGGCAAGAAUAGCAUGCGAUGCAGAAAUAAUAAAAUAAAUGCAUUGCGAUAAGUGCGAGUAAAGGCAAGAAUGACAUGCGAUGCUUAAAUGAGAAAAUAAAUAAAUGCAUUGCGAUGCGUGUAAGUAAAUAUAAGAAUAAAAUGUAGUGCUUAAAUGAUAAAUAAAUGCAGUGCGGUAUGCUGCCAGCAAAGGAAAAAAAUGACAUGGUGUGCUUAAAUGAUGAAAUAAAUGCAUCGCGAUAUUUAGGAAGCAUGCGGUGCUUGAAUAAAAAAAUUGCAUUGCGAUAUGUACGUGCAGUGCUUAAAUGAUAAAAUAAAUGCAUUACAAUAUUUGCGAGGUAGCAGUGCCUAAAUAAUAAAAUAAAUGCAUUGCGUUAUGUACGUGCAGUGCUUAAAUGCAUAGCAAUAUGCACCGAUAAAGGCAAGAAUGACAUGCGAUGCUGAAAUGAUAAAAUAAAGACAUUGCAAUAACCGCGGGCAAGAAUGACAUUCUAUGCUUAAAUAAUAAAAUAAAUGCAUUGCGAUAUUUGCGAGGUAUGCAAUGCUUAAAUAAUAAAACGCAUUGCAAUAUGAGCCAGUAAAGGCAAAGAUGACAUGCAGUGCUUAAAUAAUAAAAUAAAUGCAUUGGAAUAUGUGCAUGCACUGCUUAAAUAACAAAAAUAAAUGCAUUGCGAUAUAUGCCAGCUAAGGCAAAAUGACAUGCAGUGCUUAAAUGAUGAAAAUAAAUGCAUUGCGAUAUUUGUGAAGCACGCAAUGCUUAAAUAAAAAAUGCAUUGCGAUAUGUGCGUGCAGUGCUUAAACAAGAAAAUAAAUGCAUAUCGAUAUGCGUCAGCAAAGGCAAAGGUAACAUGCGGUUCUUAAAUAGAUAACAUGCGGUGCUUAAAUGCAUUGUGAUGCGUGCAACUAAAAAUAAAGAUAUCAUUCAGUGCUUAAAUGAUAGAAUAAAUAAAUACAUUGCUGUGCGUGCAAGUAAAGGCAAGGAUAAAAUGCCUUACUUAAAUGAUAAAAUAAAUGCAUUGCAAUGCGUGCAAGUAAAGGCAAAAAUAGAAUGCGGUGCUUAAACAAUAAAAUAAAUGCAUUACGAUGCAUGCAAAUAAAGGCAGAGCUUAAACUAUUAAAAUAAAUGCAUUACAGUGCACACAAAUAAAGGCCAAGAUUAAAUACGAUGUUUAAACGAUAACAUAAAUAUAUUGCGAUGCUUGCAAAUGAAGGCAAAGAUAAAAUGUUGUGCUUAAAUGAUAAAAUAAAUGCAUUGCGAUAUGUGUCAACAAAGACAAAAAUAACAUGCAGUGUUAAAUAAUAAAAUAAAUGUAUUGCGAGAUAUACAAAUAAAGACAAGAAAAACAUACAGUGCUUAAAUAACAAAUGAUAAAAUAAAUACAUUGCAAUGCGUACAAGUAAAAACAAAGAUAGCAUGCAGUGCAAAAAGAAAUAAAUAAAGUGCAAUACGUGCAAGUAAGGGAAACAAGUAUAAAUAUUUUAGUGAAGAAAAACAUGCACAAUUGUCUUAUUGGAGGAUAGACUGAUGCAAUUGUCCUAUUUUAGGGUGGACAAACCCACGUAAAAAAAAUGAAUAUUGAGCAAGGAAAUAUUCGGGAAUGAAAGUGUUCACAUAUUCCUGAUGCUUCUUUCAAAAUUGCCCCAGUAUCAAGCUUUGAAAUGCUGGGGAUGCAAGAUUGUGUACUUGCUGGGGAGAAAGAAUGAUUGUAGGGUUGCGAUGACCGAACUCUGCAUAGAGCUUCCUACAUAUCUCGAAUGUCUCGAGAAUCAGGUCAAUAUAGUUUGAAAUGAGAAAAAUAGGAUAUGUUUUGAGGCGGUCUUAAAAAAAUUGCCCCAGUAUAUUGCUUAUGCUGACAAUGUUGUGUUCUAAGAAAAUUAAAAAAUGAUUUUACUAUUGUAGAUUGAAAAGAUGUAUGAUGUCUCCGAUUGCUUAUGGGAACUGAUGCUAAUUGUUAUUUUCGGUUGUAUACGAAGACUAACGCCCUCAACUAGUGAGGUGACUGAAAUCUAAUAGUCUCUCGCCUGGUGGAGCUAUUAAAAUGUAAAAGGCUCUGGACUGCAGAACAAGCUUCUCGACUGGCGAGGCUGUAAAAAUAUAAAAUGCUCAGGAGGAGUGCCUGACAAAAAGAAUAAAAUGCCGGUAUUUAAAGGUAUAUGCUUGAAAGAAAAAAAUUAAAUGUUUGUAUUUCAAAACUGGAUGCCUUGAAUGAAAAGUAAAAAAUGCAUAUAUGUAGAAAUGGACACCUUGAAUGAGAAGUAAAAAUGUCCAUAUGUGAAAGUGAGCACCUUAAAUGAAAUAUUAAAAAGAUUCAUACAUACAUACAUACAUACAUACAUACAUAUGCAUACAUACAUAUAUACAUACAUACAUAUAUAUGUAUGUAUGUAUGUAUAUGAAAGUGGACGUCUUGAAAAAAGAAAGAAAGCAGUUUGCAUUUUCUUGGUAAAAAUUGUUGAAAUAUGAAGAAGACACAAUCGUAUCUUGACUUCAGUUGGUACCAAUAAUUAGUAGUGUGCAUAAGAAAUUUUUCAAUUCCUUCCAGCUAACUGAGAUCAUCUUCAGGGUAACUUCUAUAGUUUCAAGUAGUACCUCAGACACACCUAAGUAUCGUCAAGAUUUGCUCGUCUUGCUUCAAACAAAGGUUUUGAGCUAUGUUUAUUCUCAUGUUUUAAGUAUCCUCUCCAGAAAAAAAGUUCCAUUUCGCACAUAUUUGAGUAAUUUUCUUUUUGAAUUUGGGGACAGCUAGAGAAAUACACUCACAUUCAGAAAGAAGUUCAAUGUAUGCAAUUGUGAUAUCAUAGGCUUGACCUUCAUGUAAGUAUCCACUUAUAAUGCCCCAAAAAUGGGUCCCGAAGCAUCACACGGUGCAUAAGGCUACAAGUAUCCCCAAGCUAACCCUUUAAGCCUGCUACUUCACAUAAUAACUUACUUAGAGAUGAAAGAGAUAAAUCACGGGCACUGAUAUAUCAAAUCAUAAGAAAUACUGUGAAAAUACUUUAUCCGAACAACCAUAAUAUUGUAAAUCUCGACAUACUAACAAUCUGACAACUAGUCUGACAAAGCCUCUACUACUCAAGAACUAGAGAGCCAUUGGGACAGGUCCCCAACUGACUCAUACUCAACUGAAAAGAAAUGAAUAACUACUAGAUAAACCGAAUAUCUGAAGAUAACCGAUCCUCGAACCAUGAGGACUCACCACUGUGGAGAUGUAGAUAAAGGCACUUGGGGAUCACUGACGAGGCUGGGAUUGAGUACCUGAACCUACAUUAUGAUACAAUGUAGCACACAGACGUAUAUGUGGAUCAGUACUUUGGGAAUAUACUGAGCAUAUGGGGGUGUAUGCAAAUAAAUAAUCAGUAUCACAAGUCUUAAUAGAAAACAUGCAUGCUAUAAUAGAUGUCUCACAUAGCUUGAAUAAAAUUCUCAUAAGUUGUGGUUAGGAAAUAGAUAAUAGGAAUCACGUAAGUCAUUUCACUUUAUUCAGGAUCUGUAUUCUUUCUUUGUUCUCAACUUGUAAAUUAGACGAAAUCCUAAAAUAUCAACUUUCAGGACAUAAGCUAUAAUCUCAUGAAAGCAAGAAACUUCUUGGGAACUUAAUAAUCAUGACACUUGAAAACUUUAGAAAUCAUAGGGUCAGAGUCUUCAAAAUCAAUAUACCUUCAAACUUACACUUUUAUCUUAAGGAUAGUAAAACUUCUUUAAAACUCAAGAACUUGAUACUUUAGGAACUUUAAGACUUGAGACUCUAGAAAACUUAAAGACUUUGGGACACUUGAGACUCGGGAUUAUAUAACUUUGGGAGUUUUUUCUAACCGACAUAAACCAUGUGAGCUACAUGGAGUCCAACGUCUUGCCCACGUUGGGGAGAGCUAUUCUAUCCUUUCCAUCGGAGUAGAACAUUUAACUUGUAGUGAUUACUAGCUUAACCCACUUGGGGUAAGUGUGAAACCUACAGAGGUACGUAGUUCUGGGGCAUGAGACCUCAGAAUCAAGCCCAACUCGGUGCUAAAUACUACUCCCUUACUUAGCUCAGAACUUUUUAGAAAAUUCACCUUAAACAAUUCAACAAUAUGUAAUGGGAGCUAAUAUUCUUCCCCUUUAUCUCAAAGCAAAUAAAUAAUGUGGAUUUCUUUCUUAGCUUAGGAUCAAAACUCAAUUCUUUACUUGAAAUCUUGAUAGACUUUUCAUCAAAGUUUUAAAAUCUCAACAACAUGGAAAUAUAAGUACACUUCUUGGAUUAUCAAUAAUUCAUCCUCAAAUACUCAUAAUUUCACAAUAAAGUUCAACUCAUGACAACAACUCUUGAAAAUUCUUGAAAACAUGAUUUCAAUAUAGAAAUGUGCAAUUUAUAUCAUGAACUCUCAAUUUAGAUCAUAAUUGAACAAAAUAAUCAUGCAAUUCAAGAUUUGAACAAUUCCAUAAUCUCAUAAACUUGAAAUAUAACAAAAUAAUAUGAAUUCAUCUUGGAAAUAUGAAACUCUUUAAAAAAAUCUUUAACUUUUGGGUACAAGAACGAAAGANNNNNNNNNNNNNNNNNNNNNNNNNNNNAACCCCACAUAUCUUGAAAUUGAAGCUUUGAGUGAGCUCUUGAAUUUGGGUUGCUAUUCUUGAAAUUAAUGGGUGCUUCUUGUAUCCCUUGGAAUGAGUAUUCCAAUUUUUGAAAAAUUAUUGAAAACUGACGGUUAACUUUUGAGUUCUCUUAAAGUUUGUGUAGAAACCCUAAGCUAUGUUCUUGGUGGUUUUUGAUGAAAGUAUGAAUAAUAUGACAUUUUUGGGGUGUAAUCUCGUGUUAAGGAUGAUAAAGGAGUGGUAAAAUACCAACUUUACCCUUAAUGAGACGGAGAAAGGAAGCUGAAAGCUGGGCACAAAGGCUAUGGCCUGGGCGGCGCCUUGCCCGGUGACUUUGCUAAGGUAGGCGGCGGCUUUCCCAGAGCCUUAGCUAAGCUGGGAGGCACCCCUUAAUAGCCUUUAGCUACUAGUUUGACACCCCAAACAUGGCCUAAACGGAUUUCAAAAAUUCCAAAACUCACCCGAGAUACACUACAAGCUUGCCCCAUCGCAAUGCAAUAAAAAAAUCAAAAAACGGAGGUCGGGAAGGUCGCAAAAUAAUUCAUUGAAGUUUGAGGUCUCAAAAAUGAACUAAGUGUUGAAACACUUCGCUGAAAUUCUAAGUGUUAAGCUUGUUUUAACUUGCUUCGAAGGAUUUAACGAUGAGGAAACUUUACGGGGUCUUACACCACUAAUGUGAGAACACUUGAAAUAGAAUAUCGUAGGAAUUGCUAUCGACUUGUAAUGUAGGCUUGGGGAUGGGUAGGAUAAUAUUUGAGAUGAAAGUGACUAAUCCCUCAGUGAGCGUUACACUGCAUUUGUGCUUUCGACGUUUCAUGCGCUUUGGCACGUGAUUUUCUUUAGUUAUGUUGCAUUGCCCCUUGCUUUUGUAUUUGCUUCAUCUUUUUUGAAUCUUAUAUUGGAGUUUUUACCCCUUUUUUCAAUAAACUAUAUAUUUUUUGUUCUACUUUUUUUCUCAUUUUUUUUUCGGAGGGGGGGGCGCUUGAUCUUCUUCGUUGUGCUUCAUUGUCCUUUGGUUUUGUAUAUGCUUUGACUUCUUUUGAAUCAUGUGUUGGAGUUUCCCCUUUUUUUUUUCAAGAAACUAUAUAUUUUUUUUCUUUUUUUCUCUUAUUUUUGUGGAGUUUUUGCUCCUUUGAAGUCAUUUUUAAAUUUUGUUCAUCUGGGACAAUAUAUCCUUUGCAUUUUAUGUCUUUGAUCUUGAAUCUUCAUCCGCAAAUUGCACAUAUUUAGUGCACUCAAGGAAGUAGUUCCAAGAGAGAGAUAGUGCACGUUGUUUUGCGGAGAAAUUUUGACUUUUUGAGAAGAGUCGCCACUUAAUUUUGAAAAGGAAUUAAGAAACCUUUAGAGAGUUACUUCAAAAAAUUCAAAACAGAAAAAUCAUUUUAAGUUAGAGAUUCUAGAUAAGCGGUUCCUAUUAAUGUUUUAGGAAGGUGUUAGGCACCUAAAACGUCCGCUAACUUGCGGUUAUCCGGACUGUUUGAAAACAUCUUUUGAUUAACUUUUGAAAAGAUUAAUUUGUUGAAAUAGUGAUUUGAUUUUAAAAAAAAAACUUGUGUAAAAUAGAUUUAGGCGACUUAAUAGAGAUUUUAACUAAGUCUAAACAAAACUAAUAAACAAAUAAACACAUAAAAGGGGAAGGGAGGAGAAAGUAAAGGAUUUAGGCCAUUGAGCCCAAAUCAACAAGACCUGUCCUAGUUUAGUUGGGAUUCGGACCCAUUUCACCUGUCCUAAACUAUUUUUCGAGCCUUUGGCUCAAGUCUUGCUCCACCUAUAUUAAAUACAACUUUGGCUUCGACGCCGAAAUGAAUGAAUAAAUAAAUGAAUAAAUAAAAAGAAAAAAAUAAUAAAAAUUGAGAUUUUUCAAGUCUCUUAAUGACCUCAUCAAUGGGUUUUGACCCAUUUUCCUUCUUCGUUUAUCUUCUAGCACCCGCACGCCAUGUAGUGGACCUUGGGUUUAAACUUCGAACUUGACUCAAAGGGGUAGACCUCAUUGGCCCAUUACGAAAUGCAAAAGGAGAGGAAUCCAUUUGGACUCGAGACAUUUUUUUGCAUACAAAGAAAAGAUAAAGAAAUUAAUAUACGUUCAAGNNNNNNNNNNNNNNNNNNNNNNNNNNNNNNNNNNNNNNNNNNNNNNNNNNNNNNNNNNNNNNNNNNNNNNNNNNNNNNNNNNNNNNNNNNNNNNNNNNNNNNNNNNNNNNNNNNNNNNNNNNNNNNNNNNNNNNNNNNNNNNNNNNNNNNNNNNNNNNNNNNNNNNNNNNNNNNNNNNNNNNNNNNNNNNNNNNNNNNNNNNNNNNNNNNNNNNNNNNNNNNNNNNNNNNNNNNNNNNNNNNNNNNNNNNNNNNNNNNNNNNNNNNNNNNNNNNNNNNNNNNNNNNNNNNNNNNNNCACUUGCACAAGAAUGAGAGUCAACAAAUAAAAUACAAAGCAAAGACACCCACUUACAUGCCUCAUGAUUUAUGUCAUACAAGAAUGAAUAAAGGUAAAAGGAAAAAGGUCAUAUUCAAUGAAUUAAUCCAAGAAACAAACAACGUAACCUUGCGAAAGUAAAGGGAUGAGACAACAAGGAAAAUACUCAAUACUUUUACAAUUGAACAAACAUAGAUACUAAUCCAUAUAACCAAAGAAAAUAAAGGUUAACUUUUCAAACAAGAGAAUCUUUAAAUUUCAAUUAAGGCGACAUUAACGAAAAUUCAUACAUCUAAAUUACAACCAAAAUUUUNNNNNNNNNNNNNNNNNNNNNNNNNNNNNNNNNNNNNNNNNNNNNNNNNNNNNNNNNNNNNNNNNNNNNNNNNNNNNNNNNNNNNNNNNNNNNNNNNNNNNNNNNNNNNNNNNNNNNNNNNNNNNNNNNNNNNNNNNNNNNNNNNNNNNNNNNNNNNNNNNNNNNNNNNNNNNAGAAUCAUACUAUGCAUGACUCAAAAAUAUCUAAAUAAUUCUAUUUAGCCACAAAAAUUCAAACUUUCUCAUCAUUUUGACAAAUUUGAAAACAUGCGAAAAAGAGGAAUAAACACCGUGGAUGAAAAAUAAAGCUAGCACUUCAUCUCUUAUAUGAAGAUUUUGGAGAUCCCUUAAAAUUAUUAACAAGUAAAUAAAAAAUUAUUUAUUUAAUCACUUACUAAUUUUAUUAAGGCGAAACAAACAAUAGUAACUAUUUUUUUCAAAAUAAAAAAAACAACUUUACAGCUAAAACAAACAUAUCCACCAACAAUAAAUUUAAACAAGACAUGAGUUUGUCUUUUGAGAAAAGAUCAAAACUUUAUACAUGACAAUCAAAGAAUAAAGUCAAAAGGCAAAACAAUCAAUACUAACCAUUCUUUUCAACAUAAAGAAAAUAACUUUACAUGCUAAAAACAAANNNNNNNNNNNNNNNNNNNNNNNNNNNNNNNNNNNNNNNNNNNNNNNNNNNNNNNNNNNNNNNNNNNNNNNNNNNNNNNNNNNNNNNNNNNNNNNNNNNNNNNNAAUCAAUAUUAACUAUUCUUUUCAACAUAAAAAAAAUAACUUUACAUGCUAAAAAUAAACAUAUUCAACAAUAAUGAGUUUAAACAAGACAUGAUUAUUUUUUUCAAGUAAAGAUCUAAACUUUAUCCAAAAUAAUCAAAGAAUAAGGUGAAAAGACGAAACAUUCAACAUUAAAUAUUCUUUUCAACAUAAAGAAAAUAACUUUACAUGCCAAAAACAAAUAUAUCCAACAACAAUGAGUUUAAACAAAGCAUAAAUACAUAUUUUAAGCAAAGAUUGAAACUUUAUCCAAAAUAAUCAAAGAAAAAAAGUAAAAAAAAAAAGACACAUACAACUAUUGUUAGCUCAUAUUUAUAUCAUGAACAUGAAAAUAAUUAGAAUAUCGAUACCACAAUGUCCUAGGGCCUUUAAGGCCAUCUACAACAUACAAUCCCAGCAAACAAAAUUAUAUCUACGAACUAUGAAGAAGAAAAAAGAUGAAGAAGAAAACGAUAAUAAAAACUAAAAAAAAAAAAGAUGUGUUUACCUUUUUGGGGGCAGCAAAACGAGACUACGAGCUUCAUCGGAAUAAUUCACCACUAAAAAAACGUCGCCGGCAACUUGAAAUUUUUUAUUAGCCGACCAACUCUAUGAAACAAAAAUUUUUACUAAAUAAAAAUAACUAUUUUGCUCAAAAAGGAUUUUUUACCUUUCUAGCCUUUUUUUUCCUUCCCUUUUUACCAAAGUAGUGGUAGUAUUUAUAGGAGAGAAUGAGAUUUUUUUUUUCUCUUCCACCAAUGUGGGAGAAAAGUAUUUAUAGGAAAGGAUGAGAAUUUAUUUUUUGUCCUCCACCAAUGUGGGAGAAAAAGCAAAUAAGGGUGUUUUUGGAUUUUUAAAAUUGAAGAUAGGGUGAGGUGGAAGAUAAUGUGAGGGGAAAUUAUACAAUGUACUACAACUUUUGAAUUUCAAAAUUGGGAAAAGACAAAGUUGGAGGGAAAUAGUAUAAUGUAGUACAAUUUGAAAUUAUUUUUUUGUGGAAUUAGGUAGAAGUUAUGAGAGUUUUUGGGAAUUUUGGGGUUAUUUAAAAUAUAACCCCAAUUGAGAUUUAAAAUUUAGCCAUAUUUAUUUAAUUUUGACCAAAUUACAAAUCAAUUGACGGAUUGCAUUAUAAUUAUGGCCAAUUUGAUUUCAAUUAUGGCCAAAUCUAAUAGAUUGGCUAAAUUAAAUUGAAAUUCGAUGUGAAUUAAUACUUCAUUUAAUCCCGGGCUUCUUGAUUUUAUAAAAUUAAACACAUAUUUAUCCGAAUAAAUUAUUUUUUGAGAGUAAAUUAUACUUAAAUCAAAACUUUAAUCAUUUGAAUUUAUAAGCCUUGAUUAAAAUCCGAUAUUUUAAAAAAUAAAUAUUUAAGUAAAAAAAUUAUAAAAUCUCGUAUAAUUGAAUACGAUAAAUUAUAAUCACUACUUAAAAUGAUAAAAUUACGUACAAAUAUAUUUAAUAAAUUUUUAUUUGGAUGGAAUAAAUAUUUUAAUUUUAUUAAAAGUCAAAGAAACUCAGGAUUAAAUUUAGUCGUGGAGGGCAAAAAUUAGGUGUCAACACACGUAAGCACUUAAAAAGGUAUAGGCUCAGAUGCGGUUGUUCAAAGAAAAGGUUUUAGGCUCAAAAGAGAAAAUACUAGGGAUUAAUGUCAUUUGGUGGGUUGUGAAAGGCAUAAUCGGGCCAAAGAAGGCCUCCGGUGCUUUCCUAAACCAAGUACAACUCAAAAUUUUGCCUCAACAGACAUUAAGGUCAAGUUCUAUAUCAACAAUACAAUGCAAUGAAUUAAACUAAAGCUCACCACAUAAUGCACUUGAAACAAUGAGGUUGAAUUCGUUCUUGUCUUAGAUGUAUGCAGGAGAAUUUUCAAGUGUUACUUUGGUGUGAUAAAAGGUAUCAAAAGAACCUAUGGCUUACCAUAAAGUCGGUUCCUUCCAUCAUACCAAUUUGCUCUUUCUCAUGUACACUCCUAACUGUAUUAAUACCAACCAAGUCAAAAUUUUAUUUUAUUUUUAAAAGAAGGAUGAGAUCAAACCCAAAUGAGGGUUGCUUACGUAUCUUGUGAAAGCAAGAAUCAAGUCUGUGUAAUUCAGGCAGAUUUAUAAAUUAUUAUGUGCAAUGUAUGAUUGUAAAAAAAAAUUGAUGGUCAUUCAUAAAAUUAAUGUGAAAUACAAUCAAGAAAGAACUGCUUUUAGCAUCAAAAUAGUUUUGAUCAAAUGAUCGAAAGAAUAGAUGUAAAGCAUGGGGAGCUUUGACACAACUUCAGUACGCUGACAAGAUUAAAAAAUUCAGACAUUGAAGGAAUUAUGACAUUAUUUUGCCGCAAUUGGUAAGAUUAUUAUAACUGAAAAAAAUAUUGAACCCUUGCUUUUGAACGUGAGGAUUGAUACGCCAUAAAUUUAAUGGUUUACGAUGUUCAAGAGAAGAAGCUAGGUAUAGUUGCACAAAAAUCAGGUGAAGAUAUGAACGUAGGCCAGCUAAGAACUAAUGUAAUGAGAUUUGGAUUUGAGGAGCUAUUAAAUUGUGCUCUUAAAGGCUUUUGGAGAGCGUCUUUGAACUGUUCCAGAAAAUUGCCCCAGCUUAAAUACUGGACAAAUUAUUCUAAAAUAGUGAAGAGACCGAACCCUAAUGUAGGGCUGCUUACGUAUCUUGUCAGGACAAGAAUUAGGUCAAAACGUAGUUCAAAUCUAUAUGCAUCUAAUGGCGAUGUUAGUAAGGUGCAUUUUUAAUCGAUCCGCUAUGCAAAACAAAGGUUAGACUACACCUUCUCACAAAAGUGUAAUCAAUUUAGAGCAAAUAAAUAUGUACAGACACAAUGAUCCUUCAAAUAUGUACAAACACUAUGAUAAUGCGUCACUUGGGUCGUGAAUCCUUCGAACAUAAAGUUACUAACGAUGCAUGCACCUAAAAAUGGUGUUAUUUAGCUAUAUCUCAUGUUGACUAAGAGUGGGUAGACACAGACUUGGAUUUCCUAUAUGAGAAGGCACGUAGUCCCACGAUAGUAAAACUCUCGUUUACCCCACGCAUGCGCCGACUCUCUAAAAUAAGGUGAUUUGAAAGAAUUUUGGGAAAGUACAAUUUACAAUCCGCAUGUACAAUGUGUGUGAGUGUCAAUUUUUGAAAUGAAGGAAAUAUGAAUGGAAUGUCAAUUUAUGUAAAAUGAUAAAAUAAUAAACAAUCUAUACAAAAUAAUAACAAAUAAAUAAAUUAUGUCACAUAAACAAAAUAAAUCAAGACAAUUAGUAUGGAACAAAUAACAAUUUAUAAAAAUGUAAAUAUUUACCUAAAUAUGUAUUGGUUAGAAUCUUGACUCCCCAACAGGGUCGCCAAACCGUCAAACCCGAUUUUUACCUAAGGUCAAAACGAGCACAACAUUAUGGACUCUAAAAGAAUAAAUUUUAUAGAGAGUCGCCACCUAAUUUUUAAGGGAAGUAGGAAACCUAUUUAUUUAUUAACAAAUAGGACUUUUAUUCUAAUCUACGAAACCAAUUUAGAUUCUAGGUAAGGGUUCAAAUUAUUCUAAAGUGAAGGGAUUAGGCAUCCUUCAGAAUCCACAAAUGUGGUUCCCGACCAGACUUAGGUUUUUACAAGACGAAGAAAAAAAUUAAUGUUUAUAAAUACAAAUCUAAAAUAUGCAUUAAAAUAAUAUAAAUGAUUUGCAUAUAAAGAAUGCAUAAAUUACAUAAAUUAUUGUAUAUAAAAAAUGCGUGAAUAUGAUUGAAAAUAUAUAAGAAUGUACAUGGAAAGAAAAGAAAAAUUGAAUAAAGAAAAAACUUUAUUUUAAAGAAAAAGAUUACGCAAUAUUUUUUAAAUGUAUAAGUAUGAAUUAGUUGAUUAAAUAUCUAAAUCAAUUUUAAUAUAAAUAUUAACCAUUUAAAUUUGCCUAAUGUAUGAUGAGAAUCGCGUAAAAAAUAUCAAACAGAAUUAUAUUAAAGAAAAAUAAUAUGCAAUAUCUUUCAAUGUAUAAGCAUAAUCAAUUUGAUGAAGUAUCUAAAUUAAUUUAAUUUUUUAAUAAAAUAUUAACGACCUAAAUUUUCCUAAAUGAAUGAUUAAUAUUUGUAUUAAAGCAUUCCCGCCCAACACCCCAAAAAUAAAGAUUUCACUAUAAUGAAUAUUUGUACAAUGAUAAGAAAAAAAGAAAAUACAAAUAUAAAAUUCAAGCUCCUCUUUGGAUGCCAUUUACGAUAGAUAUUCUCGAGAACCUGUACAAACACUCGUAAUAAAAAUGUUAGUAACAAAUAAAUAAUUAUCAAAAUCAUUUUUUUUAUCACUGUACAAACUACAUUAAAUGGCAAAAUCAUCAAAAUAACUCAAAAAUCAAUAGGCUAAACAAUAAAGAUCAUACCAACUGCUACAGUAAUAAUGAUACAAUUGAGAAAAAUAGAAGUCAAGAAAGUAACACAACCUGCAAUAGAUGAGAGAAAGAUCCUCAUAGAGAAAAUAAAUAGCACAAGAUGAAGUAUCUCAAACAGCAGCAACAACCACGAAAUAGAACAAAACACACAAAUCUGCCGGAGUUAGCCUUUUCGGCCAGCAAGCAAACCGUUAAAAAAUAUGUAUAAACUAAGGCUAGAUUUGGGAUAGUAGCGAUGGUCGUGCCUCAAAACUCACUAGUUAUCACUUUCAGCGAGCCAGCGGCGUAAAAGAGCGGCGAAGGGGAAAGGGGGAGAAAGAGAUACAACACACUCAUAUCAUAAUCCUUCAACAACUCCAACCACUUUAUCUGAAGGAGAUUCAACUCCCUCUAAAUAAACAUAUAUUGCAAGAUUUUGUGGUCCGUGAACACUUCAACAUGCAUACCAUAUAGAUAAUGUCUCCAGAUUUUCAAAGCAAACACAACAACAGCUAGUUCAAGAUCGUGGGUUGGGUAAUUCUUUUCAUGAGGCUUCAACUGUCUAGAGGCAUCGGCUAUGACCUUACCCCUCUGCAUCAACACACAACCCAAACCAACUUUAAAGGCAUCACAAUACACCACAACAUCAUCUGUACCAUCGGGUAAUGCUAAGACUGGGGUUGAUGUGAGUCGAGUCUUCAACUCCUGAAAACUCUUCUUGCAGGAAUCUUACCAUAAAAACUUGACUUUUUUUGGGUCAAUGUACACAUCGGGGAUGCAAUAGAUGAGAAAACUUCAACAAAACGGCGGUAGUAACUAGCUAGACCCAAGAAACUCCUAAUGCCUGAUGGUAAGAUCGGUCUAGGCCAAUUCCUUACGGCUUCUGCCUUUUCGGGGUCGACUUUAAUGCCAUCGGCAAAAACAAUAUGACCGAGAAAGGCUGCUGACCUUAACCAAAAUUUACACUAGCUAAAUUUGGCAAAUAAUUGAUGAUCUCCAAGAGUUUACAAGACAAUUCUAAGAUGAUCUAUAUGGUCAUCCUCACUACGGGAGUACACAAAGAUAUCAUCUAUGAAUAAUAUGACAAACAUGUCUAGAUACUGCUUUUUCACUCGAUUCAUGAGGUCCAUGAAAGCUUCUGGAGCAUUGGUUAACUUGAAAGACAUAACUAGAAACUCAAAAUGACCAUAACGGGUUCUAAAAGCUGUCUUUGGGAUAUCACAUCCCCUUACUUUAAGCUGAUGAUAGCCGGAUCUAAGGUCUGUAUUUGAGAAAUAACUUGCACCUUGGAGUUGAUCAAACAAGUCAUCAAUUCUAGGAAGGGGAUACUUGUUCUUGACAGUAACCUUAUUCAACUGACGAUAGUCAAUGCAUAUACGUAAAGACCCAUCUUUCUUUCACAUGAAUAGGAUGGGAGAGCCCCAUGGGGAAACACUAGGCCUUAUGAAACCUUUAUCUAGAAAAUCUUUGAGUUGCUCUUUCAACUCCUUAAUCUCUGCGAUAGCCAUACGAUAAGGAGGUAUAGAAAUAUACUAAGUAUCUGGGAGAAGGUCAAUACCAAAUUCUAUUUCCCUAUCGGGAGGUACCUCUGGGAGAUUUUCUAGAAAAACAUCAGGAAACUCAUUGACCACUCAGACGGGCUAAAUUAUUGGAGUCUCAAACUUAGUGUCUUUAACUCAAACUAGAUGAUAAAUGCAACCUUUGGAUAUCAACUUUCUAGACUUAAGAUAAGAUAUGAAAUGACUCUUGGGAGACACUGAAUUACCUGACCACUCAAAGACUGGCUCGUCUGGGAACUGGAAUUUCACCACAUAGGUGUGACAAUCUAUAGAUUCAUAACAAGAAUGAAGCCAAUCCAUACCCAGAAUAAGAUCAAAAUUAACCAUGUCUAACUAUAUCAGGUCUUCUAACAUAACUUUAUGAAGGACAGUGAUAGGACACUUCUUGUAGAUUUGUUUAGCAAUAGCUGACUCUCCUACUGGUGUUGAAACCAAGAAAGGCUCAGGAAUCUUUUCCAAAUUUAUCUCAAAAUUUACUACAACUAAUGGGGUAACAUAAGAGAAACUCAACCUAGGGUCUAACACAUAUAAAUAUCAAGAUAAAAGACACAAAGUAUACCAGUCACAACAUCGGGUGAAUCUUUCUGCUCUUGAUGGGAUGGUAAAGCAUAAAACCAUUUCUGUCGUUGGCCACCACCAGUACUAGAUAAUGCACCCUGAGGAGGACCUGGCGACCUAGAGGAGCUGGUGCACUAUUUACCUGAGUUUGAGGACGGAAAUCUCUAUUACCCCGCCUAGCAUGCGGGUAUUCUUUGAUUCCGUGACCCGACUGGCCACAACCAUAACAACCUUUCUGACCCUACAAAUAUUCAUCUUCAUGAUUCUUACCACACUUAGCACAUGGGGGAUGAUUAGGUCUAUUACUCACACUAUUCUAAGACCUGGAUAUAACAAACUUACCCCACUGCUCUUGCCUAUUUCUGGGUACAGGAGCACUGACUAAAGAAGGUGAAGGUAUAGAUGAACGAUUCUGAAACUGCAAAUUAUUUCCUCCUCCAGACCUAUUCUAACCAUGAUCAAAUAACCCUAUUCUAGCCCUCUUAUUUACUCUCUUCCUUUUCUUCACCUUCUCUGCCUCAAUCUGUGCAUUAUCAAUCUAGGAAGAUCCAUAUCUCCAAUAAGCAUAGCAGUUCUACACUCCUUAACUACUAACCCGAACACACCAGUUACAAACUUACUCAUGCUUGACCUAGGGUCAUCCAUCUGUUCAGGAGCAUACUUAGUCUACUAGUUAAACUUGAGGUAAUACUCCUUCACUAUCAUUGAGCCCUGCCUCAGGUUCAUGAACUAUUCUAUCUUAGUUUCCCUCAUCUCACGUAGGAAGAACUUGUCUAAGAAAGCAUCCUAAAAUAUCUGCCACGUCAUGGGAGCUGCAUUCUCCCCUCUACUUUUCUUCCACAUCACCACCCAAUUAUACGCAACUUCCUUCAGCCUAUAGGAUGCCAAUUCUACACUCUCCUCUUCAGAAACAAGCAUAAUUCAGGUGAUCUUCCUCACCUUAUAUAGAUACAACUACGGGUCCUCACCUGCCUUUAAUCCAAAGAAUUCUGGUAGAUUCAUCCUUAUAAAAUCUCAGAUCCUGGUCGCAGCUAAGGCCCUAUCUUGCUGAGGUGGGAGUGCGGCCUGACAGUUGUCCUGAAUAUUAGCUAUCACAGCUUGGGCUAGCUCUUAAAAGGAAGCCCGAAACUCUGCAUGUGACAUAUUUUUAUUCAAAGAAUCUGCGGGCUGAGGUGGCUGGUUAUCGUUUCUGCGUGCUCAAUGAGGAGGCAUUUUCUGUCAAGUGAAAGAACAAGUUAGAAGCAGAUAGAGACACUGAAUGCACAAUAGAUCAUGAAAGAAGAGAUGAUUUCCUAAAAUGCUUCAUAGCCUCUUGCUCAUAGAUGUGACGUGCUUUACACCGAUGAUCAAGACUCUAUGUAACGCGGCUUGUCUAAAUCCCUAGGACUUUUUAAACCUUAGGAUCUGAUACCAAGUUUGUAAUGCCCCAAAAUCUAAUCUCCAGGAUGCCGUACGGUGCUUCGAACUACAAAUAGUCUUGAGCUAACCCUGACUGCCUUUUCUAAAUCUAAACCUCAAAAUAGGGAAAAAUAUAAAUGAAAAAUCAGAAUAUAUACAAAAAACUAUCUGAAUCAUCUGGGUAUAUCUGAAUCUACUAAUCUCAAAAGUCUGAUAGACCAUAUGCUGAAAAUCUGAGUACUAAAAUAAAAAUCUGAUUACUAAAUCUGGUAGUCCAAUAAGCCUCUACUAUCUAAAUCUAUAGAGUUAUUGGGACAGAUCCUAACUGACUCAACUGUCUGAAAUAAAAUGAGAAACAUCUGCUAAUAAAUUGAAAGUGUGAAAAACUAAGUCCCCAAACUAUGAGGACUUACCAACUGCAGGAAUGUAGAAAAGAUGUUCGAAGAUCACUCACGCUACUGAGAUUGAUCACCUGAACCUACAUUAUGAGACAAUAUAGCACAUAGACAUAUAUGUGGAUCAUUACUUUAAGGAUGUACUGAGUAUAUGGGGAUGCGUACAAUAAAUAAACAAUAUCAUCACAGUUUAUAAAAUCAUGCAUGCUAAAUGUAAAUGACUCACACGGGUUUGUGUAAUCUGAAAUUUGAAAAUCAUAAACCAUAAUUGAUAAGACAUAUACCGUAAAUCUUGUGAGCUAUUACACUUAGUUCUGAAGUCUGUAAAAUAGCUUAUCUUAGGGCGUAAAAUCUUAAGACCAUAACUUUCAAAACAUAUGAUUUUAUCUUAAAUAUUUAAAUCAUUAGACUAUUGAAGAGUGGGGGACAUCUGUUGGGAGGUUCUUCUAACUGACAUACACCAUGUGAGCAUCCAUGGAGUCCCACGUCUAGCUCCCGUUAGGUAGGGUUGUUCUACCCUUGCCGUCGCAAUAGAACUUCUAUCUAAUGUGAUCACAAUCUGAGUCAUCCAUGAAAAUCAUAUAAAAUCAAUCAACUUUUGUAAUUAAAAGCAAGUUUUGGGCACAAGAAUGAAGGAAGCAUCCUUGUUCAUAAACCCCACAUACCUUGUUGGAUGAUUAGAUGAAGAAACCUUGAAUUUUGGAUUCCUAUUGCGUUCUUGAUGAUGGGUUCUUGGUUAUCUUGCUUCGAAAAUCCUUAAUUUGGAGCUUUCUUAGGAAAUUAAUGGAGAAAUUUUGAGUUUCUUGGAGAGGAAGUAUGAGUCUUAGGGUUUUGCUUGAGAGAGAAUAAUGAAUAAAGCAUAAAGUGCUUUGAAAUAUGAUUAAUCUUUUGUUUUUGGACGGACUGGGGGUUGGGGAUUUACCAAAAUUCCCUCUUUAAACUUUUAAACGAAACUAAAAAACGUAUAUUUUCCCGAUUUGGGUGGCCACCGCGACGCGCCACUAUCUCGGUGACUCACUGAAAAUUGACAAAUAGAAAUUAGAUAGACUUCACAACGUGGAGUCAUCGCGGUGUCCCUUUGAAAUGCCAUUUUGGCACAUGGCGCAACGCGCCAUUAUCGCGCUAGGCCUCUAGAAAUCGACAAAGCGGAAAUUGAACCUCUCCGAGACGCGCCAAUAUCACGGAGGGCCACUAGAAUGGGACAAUUAGAAAUUUACACUGCUCCGCGAUGCGCUAAGGGUCCGAAUGACAGUGUUUUGUGAUAGGAACUAAAAAUAACCAUAACUUCUUACCCGAUUAUCAGAUUUAUGGAAUCUUAUAUCACUGGAAAGCUAAUUCAAUUUCCUGGAAAGCUAAGGAAUUCCACAAUAAAUAUAUAGUAUUUGUUUUGAAAGCUAUCCCCUAACACUCUAGGGACGAAUUUAAGCUAGGAAAAAUUGCGGGGUAUUACAAUAUCUCCCCCUUGAAAAUAUUCAUCCUCAAAUGUGGCUAGUUAAGCUAAAAUUUCUGAGGAAUCUGAGAAAAUAAGAUAGCAUGCACAACUAAAAUAAACUACGAGCCUGAAUCUAAAUCAUUCUGAGCUUCUGAGUAAUUUGUGAGUGCAUGAACUUUCAUGAGGACAACUAUAUAGCUGAAUAUAUGAGUAGAAAAUAAACGAAUCAAGGAAGAGUGUUACCUUUGGCUAAAUCUGAUUGCAGAGAAAAGGUGAGGGUACUUGGCUCGCAUAUCUGCUUCUGUUUCCCAGGUAACACCCUCAACAGACUGAUUCCGCCAAAGAAUUUUGACUAAUGGAACUUCUUUGUUCCAUAGUCUACGAAUCUGAUGAUCUAAAAUCUUAACUGGAAUCUCUUUGUAAGAAAGGUUGUUCUGAAUAUCUGAGCUUUCUAAAGGAACUACAACAGUAGAGUCACCGAUACUCUUCUUAAGCAUAGAGACGUGGAAUACAGGAUGAACGGUUGAUAAGUCUGUGGGAAAAUCAAGCUCAUAAGCUACUUUCCCAACACGACUCUCAAUUCUAUAGGGGCCAACAUAUCGGGGACUAAGCCUCCCCUUUUUUCUAAAUCUCUUCACCCCUUUCAUGGGUGAAAUUUUUAGAUACACUAAAUUACCAACCUCAAACUCAAGGUCUCUAUUCUCACAUCUGCCUAGGAUUACUGAUGACUCUGGGCUGUUUUCAAUCCUUCUCUAAUCAACUUAACAUUCUCCAUAGCUUCAUACACUGCAUCGGGCCUAAGAAUAGUGGCCUCACCGACCUCAAACCAACCUAUGGGUGAUCUACAUCUCCUCCCAUAAAGAGCCUCAAAUGGAGCCGUCUGAAUGCUAGCAUGAUAACUAUUAUUAUAAGCGAACUCAAUCAAUGGCAAAUGUUCAUCCCAACUACCCUUGAAAUCAAGAACACACGCCCUCAACAUAUCUUCUAGAGUUUGGAUGGUCCUCUCAGUUUGACCAUCUGCCUGAGGGUGGAAAACUGAACUAAGAUGGACUUGGGUACCAAGAACCUUCUGAAAAGCUCUCCAAAACUGGGAAGUAAACUGAGUACCCCUAUCCGAGAUGAUAGACAAGGGAACUCCAUGCAGUCGGACCAUCUCUCGGAUAGACAACUUAGCAUAAUCCUUAGUUGUAUAAGACAUGUGAACUGGUAAGAAAUGAGCUGACUUAGUCAAUCUGCUUACAAUAACCCAAAUCAAAUCAUGAUGACGACGCAAAUGGUAUAAACCAGUCACAAAAUCCAUAUUCACCUCUUCCCACUUCCAAGUGGGAAUACCAAACUCUUGCAACAUGCCACCAGGUCUUUGGUGCUGCACCUUAACCUGUUGACAAGUUACACACUUAGCUAAGAAAUAUGCUAUAUCUCUUUUCAUAUCAUUUCACCAAUAGAUUUCCCGCAAGUCGCGGUACAUCUUGGUAGUACUUGGAUGAAUAGAAUAACGCACAUCGUGCGCUUCCGCCAUAAUUCUCUGUCUCAACUCAUCAACACAAGGCACACACAAUCUAUUCUGGUAUCUUAACACACCAUCACUCCCUUGGGAGAAAACCUUUACCUUUUGGUCUUUAACUGACUCCUUCAGUUUGACCAAACUAGAAUUCAUAUCUUGCUUCUCCUUCACUUCCGAAACUAGGGAAGAUUCAGAACUACUCUGAACCCAAACAUUCCCUUUAGCUGAAUCAACCAACCUAACACCCAAUCUUGCCAAAUGAUAAACUUCUCGAGCUAACUCUUUCUUACCAUUCUCCACAUGACCAACACUACCUAUAGACAACCUAUUAAGGGUGUCUGCCACUACAUUGACCUUGCACGGAUGAUACAACAUACUCAUAUCAUAAUCCUUCAACAACUCCAACCACCUUCUCUGACGGAGACUCAACUCCCUCUGAGUAAGUACAUAUUGCAAGAUUUUGUGGUCUGUGAACACAUCAACAUGCACACUAUACGGAUAAUGUCUCUAGAUUUUCAAAGAAAACACAAUAAUAGCUAGUUCAAGAUUGUGGUUUGGGUAAUUCUUUUUAUGAGGCUUCAGCUGUCUAGAGGCAUAGGCUAUGACCUUGCCCCUCUGCAUCAACACAUAAUCCAAAUCAACUCUAGAGGCAUCACAAUACACCACAAAAUCAUCUAUACCAUCGGGUAACGCUAGGACUGAGGCUGAUGUGAGUCGAGUCUUCAACUCCUGAAAACUCUUCUCGUAGGAAUAUGACCACAGAAACUUGACUUUCUUUUGGGUCAAUCUAGACACCGGGGAUGAAAUAGAUGAGAAACCUUCAACAAAACGGCGGUAGUAACCAGCUAGACCCAAGAAACUCCUAAUGUUUGAUGAUGAGAUAGGUUUAGGCUAAUUCCUUAUGGCUUCUUACCCGGUUAUCAAAUUUAGGCGAAUCUUAUAUCACUGGAAAGCUAAUUCAAUUUUCUACGCAAUGGAAAGUUUACAUCUAAGAAAUUCCACAACAAAUAAAUAGUAUUUUUUUAGAAGCUAUUCCUUAACACUCUAGGGACAAAUUUAUGCUAGGAAAAAUCGCGGGGUAUUACAAAGCAGUGGUUGUGGCUGGAAAUGGAUGGGUGCCAGAGUGGUGGUUGAUUUUGCUCGUUGGAGAAGAAAGGAGGAAGAGAGAUCUGAUAGUUAUGUGGUGUAUUUUUGCGUGUAAGUGUGUGUAUUGUGUGUUUUGUGGGAGUGUGAAUUGAAUAUUUAAAAAGGGAAAGGAAAAAAAGUAAUUCAUUGAAUCUAUUUUUCUAACAAAUCCCUUAAAUUUUGGGAAGUAGGUGAAAUAAAGUCAAAGAGUCAUCUUUUAAAAAUGACGAGAUUUUAAUUGAUUUAUUUCUCUGUGUAUUAAAAUAACUAAACUGACUCUCCUUUGCAGGUCGUAUUAAAUAACGUACAAAAUAAUGAAUGCCGAUAUAUAAUUACAGAAAAUUAUAAAUAACAAAUAGAAAAUAUAAUUAUCUUUAAAAAAUAUAUUAUGCUAUAAAUAAUUAGAAUUAUACUAUGCUGUAAAAAUUACAGUGCGGUGCUGUGUAUGUAUGCAAAUGACUGGGCAAAAAUAUUAAAAUAAUAAUAAACUGAUAAGAAUUUUAAAAUUUACGAAAUUAAAGAUAAUUAUCAAUCAAUUAUGUAAAAUUAAAAUAUGAGAAUAAAUGAGUAAAAAUCCUAAAAUAAUGAUGAUUAUCAAUAAUUUAUUAUCAAUUGCAAAAAUAGGUAAAAAAUUGCAUAUUGUGCCAUUUAACGAUCAGGGAGCCUAAAUGCGUUAAUUUUAAGUAUGGAGAGCCAAAAUUGGGUGUCAACAAACAUCACACACAUAUUUUAUUGAUGCACUUGGUUGCUUUAUAAGUUUUGAUUUUUGAGAGGAAUGUGGUGCUUAAUUACUACAAUAAAGGUACCUUAGAGAUAAUUACUAAAGUUAACCUUACCUUAGGGCUACAUGGUUUGGAAAUAAAAACCGCAACCAGAAAAAUAAACUUUUUCUUGUGUUCAAGUUUGAUGUGUGAAUGGAAAAAUCGAGACAAUUAUUAGAGAAAAAGUGAGCUCUCACUUAAAAGGAAAUUAUACUCACUUAAAGGAAAGUCCACCUCUCCCACAUUGGUGGGAGAAAGCAACUUUCUUGUGUUUUUAUUAAGAAACACACCUUCAAAUGGAUUAGUGUUGUUAACUAGGCUGGUCCGGUUCAAAUCGACACCGGCCCAAGUACUUUUACCGGGUUCUAGGAGGGUUCAAUCCCAGGUCACUCUUAACGAGUCGGUCCGAUCUGGGCCCGAACAGUGAAAUUUGCUGAAAUGGACCGAAACCGGACCACUUAGCGUGUAUCCGAUCUUGACCGGUCAAAACCAGUCAAAAUGUUAAAAAAAAAUCAAAAUUUCCAUGUUUUUUUCAAUAUAUACACACCUAUAUACAUUUUAAAUUCGUUAAACAAAAUACAUACAACAUAUAUAUACACUAAAUAUAUACUACUUUAGAGAAUAUAUAGACAUGUAUACAUUAAAGGGAAAAGGGUCAAAAAUACCCCUCUACUUUAGUUAAUUAGCUAAAUUUGUCCUUCGUUAUACAUUAGGGUCAAAUAUACCCCUACCGUUAACAAACUAUAUAAACAUACCCCUUAUUUUAACGGUUGUCCACCAUGGCCUGACAUUUGAUGAGGUGGAUGCCACAUGGCAAUGCCACCUCACCAAUUGUAGCAUAUUAACAUAAAAAAUUCCUGUGCAUUAACAUAUUUUUCAGCAUGUCAAAAACAAUGGCGUUAAUGCAUUUUUCAGUAUGUCAAAAUCAAUUUUCAGCAUGUUCAAAAUUAAGUUCCUGUGUAAAUCAAUUAAAUUCUAGCAUGUUAAACUACAUUUUUGCAUAAAAUAAUUAAUUACCAGCAUGUUAAAAUAUUAAUUUAAGCAUUUUUAGCAUGUUAAAUUGUAGAUUAAGUACGUUAUUUCAGCAUGUUAACAUGAAAUUACCGUGGAUUAGCAUAAUUUUUAGCAUGUCAAAAUAUUAGAUUUUAGGCAUUUUUAGCAUGAUAUUGCGUUUUUCAGCAUAUUAAUAUGAAAUUUCUGCACUAUUAGCAUAAUCGCCAGCAUGUUAAACACUAGAUUAAGUACAUCAUUGUGUGCCUUAACAUGUUAAUAUAUUUUCAACAUUUUGUUAAUUUCUUACACUCUCAUUAGUUUAUAGCACUUGCACAAUGAAAUUCGUGAGCACAAUUCCUUGACAUAUUUACCACACUUUUGACACCCUCUUUUAACAACCUAACAAUACAUUGUUACAUCCAUGAAUCACAUUACAUUUUGUCACACUAACACUUGUUGAACACUUAGAUAUCAUGCCUAUAGAUCAAUAACACAAAAAAUAGUUAUUCUUUCUCUUUGCAUGUUAACCACAUUAAUCAACUCUUUAAUAACCUAGGGAAUAACGUGAGACAUUACUUGCUACUUGACGUCCAAUGUGUAGCGUGUCUCCAGUCCUAGGCAACAUAGCUUUAUUUUGUCUAGACCACAAAAUCAAUAUAUCCAAAGUCCAAUGCCUCUAGGAGGAUAGGCGGGACGAUAGGAAUUACUAAAGACGCUAGUUUUAUCCUUGUCUUAGAAUGCCUUUAGAGUUAACAACCAGCCUAGGUGGGGUGGGACGGUAGUCAUUCGGAAGUGAUAAUCUCAAACAGACAUAUAAGGUAAGAUAUAUGACUUGUCUAAGAGUUCGGCCAGUGGGUCAGAUGAUGAUUAAACAAGUUGGGGUUCUGAUCCGAAUGAGACAAAAAAUAUUUCUUUGUUUGAUUUGGUGAAUUCUUUUCAUUCUUUUAUUUACCUUACAUGCUUAUUUAUUUGGGGUAGUUAGCUUGUUAUGUAAGCAAUCCCCUUUUGUUACAAAUUAUGUCAUUUCUUUCUCCUCGCUUAUCUUAUUAUAUGUUUUUAUCACUUAGAUAAUUAACAAUUAGAAAUAAUAAAAUAACAUGUUUUUUCAUUAAUUAUGUUAUCACUUAGUUAAAUAUUAAAUUAAUAAUAAAAUAAGUGACCUUAUUUUAUCACAUAGAAUUCCCACGUAAAGUACUAAUUCGGCUGGGAACCAUCUUUGUGGACCUCGAAAGGUGCCUAACACCUUUCUUUUGAGGUAAUUUGAACUCUUACCUGAAUUUCUGGUGAAAUAAGACAAAACAACAAAAUAGGUUCGUAGUUAUCCUAGACCGAUACCCUAACGCACCUUAAUUCGCUAGGUGGCGACCCUUCAUACUUCCUACCUUCAAAAAAUCCCAAAAAGAGUUUGUCACGUCAAAUCUCGCUUUCAGUGAGGAAAAUGGGGCGCGACAGUGGACUGUUUUAGUGUAUGUUUUGUGUCUUUCCUUGUUAUUCUUGUAUUAGAAAUGAUAUACCUUUCUAUGAACCAUUGCUUCAUUUAUUUGAAAAUCCAACGAAAAUAUUUUAUCCAUGUACGCCAUGCAAAUGCAUGCAAAAAUGCCGCACCUCGAAAGGGACGCAACCCUUCGAGAAAAUAACACACUGUUUUGAAAAGGGUGACUGUUCGGUCGAAAAUGACUAUUCAGAAAAGACACACUUUUUCGAAAGUCACGGACAUGACUAUUCUGAAUUAUGAUACACCUUUCCAUGAACCAUUGCUUUGUUUUAUUGAAACUUAAAAAAACAAGUGAAAUUUUUAAUCCAAAAAUCCAACAAAAAUAUUUUCUCCAUGUACGCCAUGCAAAUGCAUAUAGAAACACACCUCAAAGGGACGCAACCCUUCGAGGAAAUGACACAUUGUUUUGAAAAAAGGGUGACUGGUCGGUCGAAAAUGACUGUUCAGAAAAGAUACAAUAUUUCGGAAGGCACAAACAUGACUGUUUCGAAAUUAUAUACCUUUCCAUGAACCAUUGCUUCGUUUAUUUGAAACUUGGAAAAACAAGUGAAAUUUUUAAUCCAAAAAUUCAAUGAAAAUAUUUUCUCCAUGUAUGCCAUGCGCAAAAUCUCACCUCAAACGGGACACAACCCUUCAAGAAAAUGACAUACUAUUUUGGGAAAGGGGUAACUGUUCGGUUAGAGAUGAUUGUUCAGAAAAGACACACUGUUUUAGAAGGCACAGACAAGACUGUUCCGAAAUGAUACACCUUUCCAUGAACCAUUGCUUCCUUUUCGAAGGAAAACUUGAUGGCUAUAAAUACUUGAACUUUUCCUCAAGUAUAGAUAAAAUUCUAAGUGUUGAAAAACAUUCUUCUUCUUCCAAGAAAACUCUUUGUGAUCAUCAGUCAUUGAGUGUGUUCGAGAAAUAUGAAAGUUUGAGGUACCACUACUAAGGGUGGGCAUUCGGUUUGUUCAAUUUGAUUGUUGAAUAUCUGUUCGAUUUUUGAAUUGUUGAAAAAGAAAACCAUAACCAAACAAAAAUUAUUUCGGUGUGGUUUAAUUUUUACAAAUUCAAUUCAGUUAUUUCGGAUUUUUAUUUCGGUUUUAAUGAUUAAAGUAGUGAGCAUUUAAAAUUGGUGAUUUUUCUAGAAAAAUACUUUUUUGCAAGCCUAUUUUUCAUUCCCAAAUAUAAUUAAUUCAAUACACAGUAAAUAACCAUAAAUAUUGACCUCACUGAGUUGUCGCAAUUGGCAUGACAGCAGUAGCUGCAUUCGGCAGCGGCUACCGACGGCAGUGACGAACUAAGCAAACGACUUCCAACUGUCGAUUGCGAUGUUGAAAUUUCAAACGAACUGACGAACUGAGGAUGACUGAGCGACACUGCAGCCUUCACGUUAAUGUUAGGGUCUAAAACAAAGCAAUAUAUAAGAAUUUAGGGUUACUAAAUGAUUAUAAUUUAUAUAUUUAUAUGUUAUAUUAGAUUAUAUUAUAUUUUUAGUAUAUUUACAUAUAUAAUAUAUAAUAUAUGAUAUAUAUAUAUAUACAUAUAUCUAUCUAUAUAUAUAAAAUAUAAUAUAUUAUUUAUAUAAUUUUGAGUUUUUGAUUUAUCUGAAUUAUUUUUUUGAAAAUUCAAAAACCAAACCGUUUAACCGAAUUUCAAAAAUUUGAAACCGAAACCAAUAUGAAAAACCAAAAAAACAAAUCAAAAUUAAAUUUUGGUUCAGUUCUUUGGUUUUUUCGGUUUAAACCAAAAUAUGCCUAACCCUAACCACUACCUUUAGAUUGUGAGUCAUUUUAUACUGGGAGAAAAAAUUUUGCAACCUCAAGUACUUGAGGGAAAUUAAUUCCUUAAGGACACUCCGUGAAAUCGGAGGACUUGAUUCUAAUUCUACUUUUAUUUCAUCUUAUUUCCUUAAAAGUUGAUAACAUACAUCUUUGAUAGUUCAUUUUGAACUAUUUAAAACUAUUUAAGGAGAUAACAAUCUAGCUAUUUCCUUGGGACAAGUCGAUAAUAUAAUAUGAGGUCUCAAUAUUAUGUAAACCAGAGGACAAGAAAAGAAUAGGAAUGAGCAUAUGACUCUUAUAUCAUGUUAAUAAAAUGAACCUUCUGUUAUUUUCAAUGUUUUCGGGUACAAGAAUCUGUAUUAGGCACCUUCAACACAAAUUCAAGUCUAAAACCAAGAACACCUAUAAAGUUACUUAACACCUUCAACACAAAAUUAAAAAUAAUCUAUCCAAGAAGUGUGUUAUAAUUUCAUAAAUAAGAUGAAAAAAAAUGUUAAAGUCAAGUCCUCUGAAUUCAUGAAGUGUCCUUAAGGAAAUAAUUCCCUUAAGUGCCCGAGGUUAUGGAUUUUCCUCCCCAAAUAAAAUGGCUUUCAAUCCAACAAUAGCGGUACCUCAAAUUAUUGGAUUCGUCGAACUCACUCAACAGCUAAUGAUCACACUGAGUUUUUCUAAAGAUAUGAAGAGUUCUUUUGCUGUCAAAAAUCAUGUAAAUACCUGAGGAAUAUAUCAGGUAUUUAUAGCCUUAAUGUGUUCCUUCGGAAAGGAUGCAUUGGCUCUGAAAAAAUGCACAUUUUCAGUACAGAUAUGUCACUUGUGCCCAGUCUGUGCUGGACCUGCGCCUGAUCUGCUGCCUAAGGUAACACUGUCGAAAUUGCGCAAACCAAUGUGUCUUUCACCUCGAAGGGUCGCAAUCCCUUUUAGGUGCGUUGUGCAUAGCGUCUGAAAUGCGCCCGCACAUGGAGAAAAACAUACAGAUCUCAUCGAUCGAUCAUUUGACAAAGUCGAAGCCGAGCGAGCAACAACAACAACGUGAGGCACCACCUUGUUCUUGCCUCACUAUCCAGGUGGAGAUGUGUUUCUCAAUAUAAACACAUGAAAGCUUUUUUCUCCCACCAAUGUGGGAAAAUUUAGUAAGCUUUCCUAUUUGAGCAUACUUUCUAUUUUAGUGUAGACUCAAUUUUCCUCCACUAUUUUCCCUCUAUUUUUCCAUUCACACACCUUGAACCCAACAGCUUUGACUAGAAAUAACCGGGUCCUGGGUCACUUAACACUAACUUGGACACAUUCAAAAUCAGAAAUCCAAUAUGAGCUCAGCUUGAAAUAAUAUUUGAAUUAAAUGCCACAAUUAAAGUUAAUGAAACAUCUCGGAUAAAGAGAGGCGUGAUUAUUAUGAAUUUAAGAAAAAAAAAUUGUGUUUACUUGCUGACAAGGUCUUUUGACAGCUCUUGGACGAUAUUUUUCAGCUCUAGCCUCUAGCUAUGUAUUGGAGGCAAGAUAGUUAAUCGUAAUUUAUUGAAGAUGUUGACACUUUCUUUUCUCAUAUAUACAAGCAAAAGAAUGUAAGGGGUGGAGGGCUAGAGGGUACAACUCAUCUUCCAAAAGUGGUGCUCAAUCAUAGAGGAAAGGGUUCUAGAUGUAAAUAAGCAAAAAAAAACAAUUUAAAAUAAAAUUGCAUAUUCAGUAUGAGUAGUGGAUAUAAUUAUGUAUUCCCUAAUCCAUUAUGUGGUACAACAAUAAUUGUGUAAGAAGAUGAGGAUGAAUGCCAGAUGUUACGUAUAUUCAGAUGAGAAGAUCGUCUGGAUAAGUGAAGUCACUUUAAGUCUUUAACUAAAAGCGUACUCUAAAUGAUUCACUCCUAUAUCUCAUCUUCAUUUUAUGGGGUAAAAAUUUCCUUAGAUAACAAUUCUGUGUAUGUAUCUAUCUAUGCUCGUCAAAAAAAAUUGUGAAAUUCAAAUACAUGUUUUCUGAAAGUCGAAGAAUAGUUUUAAUUUAUCCAAAAAAGUAUAUUAAAAGUAGUAGAAAAAAAUGAGUACUUGUUUUUCUCUCAAAUUGUGCCAAGUACAUGAGUACUUGUUUUUCAGAAAUAGGUGCAUGGUACAUGAUCAUUUGGGUUUUAAUGGCUUCAUAUAUGUUGCUUUGGCCAAACCCAUCGAUAACCCCUCAAACUUGUCCCUAAAAUUCACUUAGGCCCUAGACUAAAAUUUGUACCUAUUAAACCCCUAACCCCCCCCAUUAUAUUUAAAUUAUUUUAUUAAUAUAAUUUUUAAUUACUAUAAUUUCUUAAUUCUUUUUUAUAAAAAGCACCCCCUCCUAUAUCAUCUUUUCACAGCACCCCACCCCCUGCAUCUCCACCCACCCCGUGUCUUCAUCGUUUCAACCUCACCCCACCCCGCGUCUUCGUCGUCACCCCCCUCUCCUCACGUCUUUACAUGAACAAAUUCUUUUUAAUCCGCCAUAAUUAUUUCCUUCCAUUUCUAAAUUUCAACAAGAUUCACUUUUUUUCCUCCACUAGUAUCACCAUUUUUUGAAAAAUUACAACAAAUUUCAAUAAAAAUCACCUUUUUCUCCAAGAAAGAUCACUUUUAUCACCAUUUUUUUUUCCUCCACAAGAAAGAUCACUUUUUUUUCAUUAAUAUCCACCAUUUUAUGAAAAAAUUCAAUAAAAAUGACUUUUUUCUAGACCCCUUUUGAAUUCUUGACGUAGAUUUAAACAAAAAAAAUUUGUGUGUGUGUUUUUUAGGUUUAUUUUAAUGGAGAAGAAACUUUAAUGGAGAAGAAGAGGUUCAUGUUCCUUUUUUGUGUUUCUAAUUGGUUCAAGUUGCUAAGUUUUUUCUGUUAAUUCGAUUAACGAAGAGGAAAUCAUUUUAAGAAGGGAACCACUUUAAGAAAUAAAAAUGGUUAAAAUCAACAAAACAAAAAUUCAACCAUUUUUGUUGAUUUGCUGCUGCUCAACAUUGAAUAGUGAUCAAGGAAGGGACAUACAAAUUAAAGGGAGAGGAAAGUCGGUGAGAAAGAGUGAGAUAGUGGUAAUAAUGUGUGUAUGUAUCUGGGAGCUUUCUCUGUUAAUUCGAUCAAUGAAGGGAUACAAAUGUGUUAAUAAAGGAAAAGAAAAAUGGUGGAAAAUUAAUGGAUUGAAAAAAGUGAGGAAGAAAGAGAAGAAAGAUGAAAAAUUACGAAAAUACCCCUUAAGAAUUAUGAAAAUACCCCUCAAGAAUUACGAAAAUACCUCUCAAACGCGCUUUCAAUGCGUGUAGCACACGAUUUUUGCUGAUUCGGCAAAGUGUGCCAAAGUGACACACUUUAUGGCUACUUGAGGUGCCAAAAGUGAACAACAUCCACUUGAGGUGCCAAAGUGAAAGAUCGUGCCAAGUUUAGAGGGUUAUCGAUGGGUUUGACCUUUUUUUAGAGCAUAAGAUGGACCAAAAGGGAGUCAUGUCUAAAUAGUUCAAAAAAGCUCAGUUUUUUUUUUAAAUUUAUAAUUUUUGAUUAAUAAUAAUCAUUUUUUUAAAAUAAGUUUUAAAUUAUUUUUAAUAAUUUGGAUCAGUUUUUUAUUUUUAUUUUUUAAAUAAGUUUAUAAUUAUUUUUUAAUAAUUUGUUUUUUUAUAUUUUAUAAUUUCUUUUUAAUAAUCAGUUUUAUAUUUUUAUUUUUAAAUAAUUUUAUAAUUAAUUUUUAAUAAUUAUCGAACCCACAAUACCACGUGGCUGCUUCCAAUUAGCCCUUUUUGCCACAUCAGCGCGUGUGUGCAACACACACUUUUAGAUUUUAGAUGAUUGAGCAAAAAAUGCCCAAUUGAAACCAAAUUGGAUGGGUUUAGAGAUUUAAUAGGUACAAAUCCUAAUUUAGGAAUCUAAAUAAAUUUUACGAAUAAAUUUGAGAGGCUAUCAAUGGGUUUGGCCUAUUACUUUUCUCUACCUUUAUUUGCAGGAACAGAAAGAGGACUGGACGUGCCUAAAUAUUCAACAGUUCAGUGGGCCAAAUAAUUCAAAAGGACUCCUAUAGUCUAGUACUCUUUUCUAAUUUCCCUAUAUUUUAGUAUAUAUAUGUCUCUUUCCGUAGCAAAUUGCAGCCCAAACAAAACAAAAAAGAAAAAGAGUUUUGAUUUGUGGCCAAUAUCCAUGUAAAUAAACAAUAAAAUUCAAAAAGAAAAAAAACAUUUUUCUUCUUGUUGGUCGGAGAGUAGCUUUCCUUUUGGAGUUGCUUUCUAUUUUAGGUUUAUAAAAGUCUUAUAGUAAUAAUUAUCACAUAGAAAGUAUUCUGCAAGCCACUUUAUUUUUAAAAGGGAGUCGAUAAGUAUGGGGCAAGUCUUGGCAGGAAAGAGAUGAACAGUCAUAUAACAGCAGUCUACUAGUAAUAUAUAUGUUCAUAUUGAAUUUAGGUCCGUACACCUUUACAAUGUGUCAUAAUUAAGAGGUAUAGACUCGCUUUCUUAUAUACCCAUUUUAUCUCGUAUUUAUUUGUUUAGGGACGAGGUGUUACGUACCAGUGAACUCCAAGGGGAAGCAAGUACCAUUUUCCUUCCCCCCUUCAGCAGCCGUUUCAAAAGAACUUUGGACAAGGGAAAGUCAUAAAGGAAACCGAUACACUAUCGUUUUCUUGGAAACAAUUCUAAGGCCAUUGGUUUUAGGAAAUUAAUUAACGAAUUGUAACAUACUUCAUCAUCACAAGCAGUUUAACAAAAGUUGGCUUUCCGCUUGCGUUAAUUCAGGGAAGGAGAAUUUAAAUAUCUAGUGCACUAAUUCACUACAAGAAAAUAGUGAAAUUGUGACAGACAUUUUAAUCACAAAUCAUAACUUGUGAUGGAUUUGUGACGGAAAAAUAAUAUGCAUCUCAAAACCGGGUGUCAUAAAUUCAUUGUGACGGAUUUAAAUUCCGUCACAAUAUUAUUGCGAUGGAACUAAGACAGAUCAUCCGUCACAUUAUAAAUUCUUAUAGUUGACUUAAAUUCCAUCACAAAUUUGUAACAGAUUUUUGACAAAUAUUACGUCAUAAAAUUGUGACAGAAUAAUUUUUGUAACAAAUUUCUAAAUCUAGUCACAACUAUUGUGACAAUAUAUUUCAUUACAAAUUAUUUGUGACAAACUAAUUUAGUCACAAUAUGACUCUCUUACCUAUAUUAGUAACAAUUUUAAGAUAGAUUGUGACAAAUUAAAUCAGUCACAAAUUUUAUUUGAAUUUUUAAUUUUAAUAAAUAAUAAUUAUAAAUAUAUUUUUUUUUUUUUUAAUAUAUAAAAAUUAUAUAUAUAUAUAUAUAUAUAUAUAUAUAUAUAUAGAUAUGAGAGAGAGAGAGGGAGAGGGAGUAAUUAAUUAACAAUAAUUAACCAUCAUAAAAGAACAAACAUAAUACACGAUUUAUAAUUAAAAAAAGUCUGAAGUUGAUUAGAUAUGCAAUAUAACAAUCAAUAAGCAAAAGUCUACCAAUGUUUAAAAUUUAAAGCAUAUAACUACCCAAAAAAAUGUGACAAUGUUAAGGUCGACACUUCCAAGUAACUAAAGUCUCAUAAUAUCAAACACUUAAGUCUUAGAUGAGUCUAUUAGGAUGAGCAGGAUUAGUAAAUGAGCGAGAAGAUGAUGCCAUAUCGCUUAUCAUGCAAGACCAUUGCUCAUCCAUAGAUUUGAAUCGAUCAUCACUUUGUUGCCUCAAACGGAAAACCUCUUGCUCUAGUCGUUGUUGCACCUCCGCCUCUACAUGCUCUUGAAGAACUCUCUCUUGAUUUUCUCUCAUUAGUGACACCUCUUUCUCAAGUAUUUUGAUGCGCUCUUCGGCAACAUGAUCGAAUACUAAAUUUACCAAAUUGACAGAAUUUUGAUCUUUAUACAAGGUUGGAGCUUGAGAGCCCAAUCCAUACAUACAUUAUUUUUCUUGCUCUACCCGCAACAUCAAAGUAUAUUUAUAUCGAGUUCUUGAUCUUCUGAUGAAUCAUCUGAUGAGCCCCAAAGAGCAAUAGCUAUAAUGACCUCCAUUUUAUCCUAAAAAUUACAAAUAAUCAGCCACCAAAUAUUUACUAGAGCAAUGCAGUAAACAAAAACAAGUAAUUUUAUAAGGUUUUCCCACAACAGAGCACACAACAAAGCUGGAGCCUUUCCUUCAAAGUAAAGACAGGGUAGGGCAACAAAACAAUACCAGAAUAUGAUAUUAAGUCAACAAAAAAGGUAUUAUGCAUAUUAUGACCAAGGAAUAUUAUAAAAGUAUUUUUUUUCUUUUUUCCUGAAAAAAAUUAACUUGUGAGGAGCUCAAAAUGCAUGUAAUGAAAAUAAAAGUGAGAUUUGGAUAACAACUAACAAGUAAUUGACACACACAAAAAAAAAAAAUAUAGAAAGCAGUGAGUCAAAUUUAAAGAAUGAAAAUACUCAUAAAAUAGUUUUAAAAUUAAAGUUCAUCUUAUACCAUAAUAUCCAUAUUGUGACCAAGGAAUAUUAUAAAGCAUAUGUAGUGACUAUAUAUAUAAAGAUUUAACCAAAAUGUCCUAAAGUCUCUUUUCUAGUCUCGAAUUGACAAAAGAAUCGAUGCCAGAGUGGGACAUGAGAGCAUGAGUUCUCUUAAUGUAUGCUCUGGGUACUAUCAGAUUCAAAUAGAGCCAGGGGAUUAGGAUAAAACUUCAUUUAUAACUAACUAUGAUAAAUAUCAUUACAAUAUAAUGCCUUAUGGUUUAAAGAGUACAAAUACAACAUAUCAUUGACUGGUAAACCAAAUGUUUGAGAGAUGAAAGACCAUGAAAAUUUACAUCGAUGAUAAGAUUGAUCAUGUAAAAUGAUCAUUCGAGGUAAGUACCAUCUAAGCCACAUCCAAUAGACUUUUAACACACUGAGAAAUCACAUCAUGAAGUUACAUCUCAAAAAGUGUGCAUUUGGGGGUAGAAUCCGGGAAGUUCCUUGACUUUUUUAUAUCUAAUAGAGGGAUAGAAGUUGAUACAAGUACAAUCGUGAUUGUGGACCAAUAAUACGUAAAGGCUCGAGCUCGGGUGGCUGGCCACCCAACGGAACAAGCUUUGAAGUGUAGAGAACAAGUCUCUAACACUCCAAAGCCAUCUAAUAUGCACACUCCAAGGCCGCCACAAUCGUGAUUGUGGACCAAUACGUAAAGGCUCGAGCUCGGGUGGCUGUCCAACCAACGGAAUAAUCUUUGAAGUGUAGAGAACAAGUCUCCAAUACUCCAAAUCCGUCCAAUAUGCACACUCCAAGGCCGCCCCUGUGUCUUGGUUCAUUAAGGGCAUUAUAGUUAUUUUGUAAUAAGUUAUAACCUAGACUAUAAAUAGAACAUAUUAGGUCUUUUGUUCAUAAAUUUGAUGAUAUUUUGAGAGCUCUAUAGAGAGAGUCUUGCAAGGUGGAUUCCUUGUAAACAAGUGUGGAUAUCGCUUGUGUUGGUGCUAGUUUUGAAACGUUGGUUGCUUGGGAAUCCCGUUCCCUUGAGGUCACCGUAGAGCUUGGUGUUACUUGUAUGAAUUCUUGGGUCUUUGUGUUUAAUAUACACUUAGUAUUCUUUGUGUUUGUACACUUGUAUGUCAAGUUACCUAUCUAUCUAUUUAUUUAAUUGUUUUUGUUCAUUCUCGGGUUCGGUGUCCCAAAACCGAGACUUUGUAUUCUUCUUGUUCUUGUGCUUGUGUUGUUAAUCUAGUUUGUUGGCUCGCUGAUUUUAGAGGUGUUGAACACCUUAAUAUCUUGUUGUUAUUGUGUUUUCAUUGUUGUUUUAGUGAAUCCAAGAGUAGUCAUCAAAGGGGUCCUCGAUUCUUCCAACUUGUGGACUGUUUUGGUGUUUGUUUUAUGUCUCCUUUGUCGAUUUUGUAUCAUUUGGUAUCAGAGUCAUCUUUGAUUUUAUUUUAACAAGAUCAAUCUUGGGCUUGAGAGUUGAAAAAUAAAAAAAAAGUAAAGUGUUCUUGAGAUUGUUCUUGGCCGAAAGUUGGGUCUUGUUGUUGUCUUGGCCGAGACAUUUUCUAUGUGACUAGAUCUUGUAGCCUUUUGUUUAUUUAGAUUGUUUCUAGUGUUGGUUUCUUUCUCACCAACACUAAAAGUAUCUAGAUUUAAAGGUUUGAGCUUAUGUUUUUGACCUUGUUGUUGUAAACUUGAAACUGGCUAUGUGGUACAAUUUUUGUGGACUUGAAGAUGAAUAUUGGUGGAGUUGCUAUUGUUCUUGAGAAAUUUUUGUGGUGAUCUUGUUGUUCUUGAAAUGUCUUGACCAAUAUAAAGUAUAGCCUAUAUCCAAAAAGGUGUAACAUAAAGUUAAAAAGUUGUUGGUGAAGAGACUUGAACGCAUCACUUCAUAGACUUGUCAACCACUUUUUCAUAUUUCAAGGACCUUGUUUUGUGAGAAUAGUACAAGUCAAGUCUCGCAUUUUUGAGUUUGAAUUUGAAAAAGAGUUUCUAAGACUUGAAUUUCUCACCAAAUGACAAACUCAUCCAUUCCAAAUUGUAUCAAGUUAAAAGCUUCAAGUUGGUGAUUAAAAAUUAUGUGGGACCGUGACCAAUUAUGUGGAUGCCAAGUCAUCACAUUUUACUAUUCAUGCAACAUAAUUAAGCUCAAAUUUUUUAUUUCUUAGUUUCUAAUUUUUGUAUCUUAGUUGCUUUUUAUUGAUUCUAUUACUAAUUAAUAAACUAUUAAUUUUCAACUAGGUUGUAAGUUACUUUUGGGUUUAUUUGUUUGUGUCUACAUUUCUUUGUGUGCUUUUAUCUUUUUGAAAUUCGUUGUAGUUUCUUGAUUCAAGUCCGUACAUAUUUUCUUUGAGCUAUUUCAAAAAAGAAUCUAUUCCGACAUCGAGCCCCAAUUGGUACCAAGCAAUCUCCUUGGAGUAUAAAUGAGUUACCAACACUUGUGAGUCUAAUUGAGAGACAUUUCAAAGUGUGAGAGCUUAUGAGGAUGUUUUCUUUUCUAACAUCAACUAGUUUGUUGUUUUUUGUAUUUCUGUUUUAGAAUUUCUCUUGUUAAGUACUAUGACAUUGGAAAUAGUGACCAUGAAUGAUUUGAUGGCUGCCAUAAUGGGUAUGAAACAUGACCUUAGUACUCGAAUGGAGAGAAUGGAAAGAAUAAUAGACCGAAUGGAAGGAAAAAUGGAAGGAACAAAAAGCUCUCUUUGCAAGGAGUUUGAUAACUUGAUAGAGCAUCCAAGCCUUCCUAAUCAAGUUUCCAUGAGUGGACAUGCUCCACAUGAGCUACAAGGUAAUCAAAAUAACUCUUGCACUAUAGUGAAUGAGGCUAGUAGCCAACUAAGUGUGAAUGAUAGUUUGUUUUUAGGUGAGCCGAAUGUACCUCCAUUUGUGAUGAUAAUGUACAACUUGAUAUUGUGGAAACACUAGUUGAUCCAUCUAGUGUUGAAGCCAUUGUGGCAAGUGAUAGUACAUUGUCUUAUGGAAGUCAUGAAGACCAACUUGUGUGUGAAAAUGGUGAUGUUGAACGUGUUGGUCGAUUGACUAAGGAUGACCCUCUAGUUGUUUUUGUUGUAUACCAUCCUAGUAUAGAGGGUAUAUAUGAUUGUACUAGUGGUAGUAUUGGGAAAAGGAAAUGCAUCCUAAACCCAAGUCCAUGGACACUCCACCCAUUUGAUCCCAGUGAUAAUUUGAAGCAUGGUGAUGAGGAUGUCUUUUGGAAUGGGUUGAAUUUACAUGGAAUGUAUGGCCUUCUUAUCUUGGCUUUCAGGCCUAUUUUUUGUUCCAUGAAGAGUUUAUGUUUCACACUUGAUGAGCAGUUCUUGAUACUUGUUUCUUGUUACACUUGUGUGGAUACACUAACUGACUCUUUCUUGGGAGGGUAUUCAGGUAAGAGGGAUGUUUGGGUGUAUAUGAAGUUUGAGCCACCUUUUCAAGAUGCUAUGUUUGAUUAAAAUUCUCUUCUUUUUUCUUCUUGUUUCUUGUCACACUUUAAUGGAUAGAGAAGUACUUCUUUUGGUGCUUAGAAAGGUAUCCUAUUCCCUAAGGUCCCACGGCAUGUGUAUAAUGUACACUCGUGGACCAAUAUGUAAAGGCUCGAGCUCGGGUGGCUGGCCAACCAAUGGAACAAGCUUUGAAGUGUAUAGAACAAGUCUCUAACACUCCAAAGCCUUCCAAUAUGCACACUCCAAGGCCGCCCCUUUGUAUUGGUUCAUUAAAGGCAUUAUAGUCAUUUUGUAAUAAGUUAUAACCUAGACUAUAAAUAGAACAUAUUAGGUCUUUUGUUUAUAACUUUGAUGGUAUUUUGAGAGCUCUAGAGAGAGAGUCUUGCAAGGUGGAUUCCUUGUAAACAAGUGUGGAUAUCGCUUGUGUUGGUGCUAGUUUUGAAAUGUUAGUUGCUUGGGAAUCCCAUUUCCUUGAGGUCACCGUAGAGCUUGGUGUUACUUGUAUAAAUUCUUGGGUCUUUGUGUUUAAUAUACACUUAGUAUUCUUUGUGUUUGUACACUUGUAUGUCAAGUUACCUAUCUAUCUAUUUAUUUAGUUGUUGUUGUUGUUCAUUCUUGGGUUUGGUGUCCCAAAAUUGAGACUUUGUAUUCUUCUUGUUCUUGUGCUUGUGUUGUUAAUCUAGUUUGUUGGCUCGCUUAUUUUAGAGGUGUUGAACACCUUAAUAUCUUGUUGUUAUUAUGUUUUCAUUGUUGUUUUAGUGAAUCCGAGAGUGGUCAUCAAAGGGGUCCUCGAUUCUUCCAACUUGUGGACUGUUUUGGUGUUUGUUUUGUGUCUCCUUUGUUGAUCUUGUAUCAUUUGGUAUUAGAGUCAUCUUUGAUUUUAUUUUAGCAAGAUCAAAUUUGGUCUUGAAAGUUGAAAAAAAAAAGUGAAGUGUUCUUGAGAUUGUUCUUGGCCGAAAGUUGGGUCUUGUUGUUGUCUUGGCCGAGACAUUUUCUAUAUGACUAGAUCUUGUAGUCUUUUGUUUGUUUAGAUUGUUUCUAGUAUUGGUUUCUUUCUCACCAACACUAAAAGUAUCUAGAUUUAAAGGUUUGAGCUUAUGUUGUUGACCUUGUUGUUGUAAACUUGAAAUUGGCAAUGUGGUACAAUUGUUGUGGACUUGAAGAUGAAUAUUGGUGGAGUUGUUGUUAUUCUUGAGAAAUUUUUGUUGUGGUCUUGUUGUUCUUGAAAUGUCUUGACCAAUAUAAAGUAUAACCUAUAUCCAAAAAGGUGUAACAUAAAGUUAAAAAGUUGUUGGUGAAGAGACUUGUCAGCCACUUUUCCAUAUUUCAAGGACCUUGUUUUGUGAGAAUAGUACAAGUCAAGUCUCGCUUUUUUGAGUUUGAAUUUGAAAAAGAGUUUCUAAGACUUGAAUUUCCCACCAAAUGAAAAACUCAUCCAUUCCAAAUUGUAUCAAUACAAAAGCUUCAAGUUGGUGAUUAAAAAUUAUGUGGGACCGUGACCAAUUACAUGGAUGCCACAUCAUCACAUUUUACUAUUCAUGCAACAUAAUUAAGCUCAAAUUUUUGAUUUCUUAGUUUCUAAUCUUUAUAUCUUAGUUUCCCUUUGUUGAUUCUAUUACUAAUUAACAAACUAGUAAUUGUCUACUAGGUUGUAAGUUAGUUUUGGGUCCAUUUAUUUGUGUCUACAUUUCUUUCUUGAUUCAAGUCCGUACGUAUUUUCUUUGAGUUGUUUCAAAAAUGAAUCUAUUCCGAUCUCUAGCCCCAAUUGGUACCAAGCAAUCUCCUUGGAGUAUAAACGAGUUACCAAUACUUGUGAGUCUAAUUGAGAGACAUUUCAAAGUGUGAGAGCUUGUGAGGAUGUUUUCUUUUCUAACAUUAACUAGUUUGUUGUUUUUUGUAUUUUUCUUUUAGAAUUUCUCUUGUUAGGUACUAUGACAUCGGAAAAGGUGACCAUGAAUGAUUUGAUGGCUUCCAUAAUGGGUAUGAAACAUGACCUUAGUACUCGAAUGGACAGAAUGGAAAGAAUAAUAAACCGAGUGGAAGCAAAAAUUGAAGGAACGAAAAGCUCUCUUUGCAAGGAGUUGGGUAACUUGAUAGAGCAUCCAAUCCUUCCUAAUCAAUCUCCCAUGAAUGGACAUUCUCCAUAUGAGCUACAAGGUAGUCAAACUAACUCUUGAACUAUAGUGAAUGAAGCUAGUAGCCAACUAAGUGUGAAUGAUAGUUUGUCUUUAGGUGCGCCGAAUGUACCUCCAUUUGGUGAUGAUAAUGUACAACUUGAGAUUGUGGAAACACUAUUUGAUCAAUCUAGUGUUGAAGUCAUUGUGGCAAGUGAUUGUACAUUGUCUUAUGAAAGUCAUGAAGACCAACUUGUGUGUGAAAAUGGUGAUGUUGAACAUGUUGGUCGAUUGACUAUGGAUGACCCUCUAGUUGUUUUUGUUGUAGACCAUGCUAGUAUAGAGGGUAUAUAUGAUGGUACUAGUGGUAGUAUUCGGAAAAGGAAAUGCAUCCUAAACCUAAGUCCAUGGACACUCCACCCAUUUGAUCCCGGUGAUAAUUUGAAACGGAUGUCUUUUGGAAUGGCUUGAAUGUACAUGGAAUGUAUGACCUUCCUAUCUCGACUUUCAGACCUAUUUGUUGCUCCAAGAAAAGUCUAUAUUUUUCACUUGAUGAGCAUUUCUUGAUACUUGGUUCUUGUCACACUUAUGUGGAUACACUAACUGACUCUUUCUUGGGAGGGUAUUCGGGUAAGAGGGAUGUUUUGGUGUAUGUGAAGUUUGAGCCACCUUGGAAAGAUGCUAUGUUUGAUUACACUUCUCUUUUUUUUUGUCUUGUUUCUUGUCACACUUUAAUGGAUAGACAUACUUUUUUUUGUGCGUAUAAGGGUAUUCUAUUCCCUAAGGUCCCACGACAUGUGUAGAAUGUACACUCGUGGUUUGAUAAUUUUUUUUGUUGAUUGUGCUAACGUUAACCCUCAUGUCAUGAGGAAUAUGUGUUCUUUUGUUUCCUCUAUUAUUUUGCAAGGUUCGGAUUUGAGGUCGAAUUAUUUUCAAAAAGGGGAGGAUGAUACAAGUACAAUUGUGAUUAUGGACUAAUACGUAAAGGCUCAAGCUCAGGUGGCUAGCCAACUAAUGGAACAAGCUUUGAAGUGUAGAGAACAAGUCUCCAACACCCCAAAGCCAUCCAAUAUUCAUACUCCAAGGUCGCCACAAUCGUGAUUGUGGACCAAUAUGUAAAGGCUCGAGCUCGGGUGGCUGGCCAACCAACGGAACAAGCUUUAAAGUGUAUAGAACAAGUCUCCAACACUCCAAAGCCGUCCAAUAUGCACACUCCAAGGCCGCCCCUUUGUCUUGGUUCAUUAAGGGCAUUAUAGUCAUUUUGUAAUAAGUUAUAACCCAGACUAUAAAUAGAACAUAUUAGGUCUUUUGUUCAUAACUUUAAUGAUAUUUUGAGAGCUCUAGAGAGAGAGUCUUGCAAGGUGGAUUCCUUGUAAACAAGUGUGGAUAUCGCUUGUGUUGGUGUUAGUUUUGAAAUGUUGGUUGCUUGGGAAUCCCGUUCCCUUGAGGUCACCAUAGAGCUUGGUGUUACUUGUAUGAAUUCUUGGGGCUUUGUGUUUAAUAUACACUUAGGUUCAUAAUGUUUGUAUAUUUGUAUGUCAAUUUACCUAUCUAUCUAUUUAUUUCAUUCUUGUUGUUGUUCAUUCUCGGGUUUGGUGUCCCAAAACCGAGACUGUGUUUUUCUUAUUUGUGUGCUUGUGUUGUUAAUCUAGUUUGUUGGCUCGCUGAUUUUAGAGGUGUUGAACACCUUAAUAUCUUGUCGUUAUUGUGUUUUCGUUGUUGUUGUAGUGAAUCCGAGAGUGGUCAUCAAAGGGGUCCUCGGUUCUUCCAACUUGUGGACUAUUUUGGUGUUUGUUUUGUGUCUCCUUGUCGAUCUUGUAUCAGAAGUGAAUCCAAACAAAAUUAAAGUGAUUGAGGAAAUUAUCUCAAUGUAUCUGUUUUUUACACAGAUAGUACAACCAUGGAAAAAUACCUUACAUUGCAAUUACCGCAACAGGAAACACAAUGCAGUAAACAAAAGCAAACAACUUUACCUCGUCGAGGAUAGUUAUAAUUUCAAUUACCUCAGCAUAAUAUACAAUUACCUUAGAUUGCAAUUACCGCAAUAGAACACACAAUUACCUUAGAUUUGUUAUGUUUCCACUCAUGCUAUUUGCAUGCUUACACUUGCCUUAAACAACAUAUAUAUGGACAUUCCACAAGUGGUGUCUAGGAAUAAUAGUGUGUAUGUAGACCUUGCCCCUACCUCAUCGAGGUACAGGGGUUGCUUCCAUAACUCAAGUGUAGCAAAUAAAAAUUGAAAUUACCUUAAACAGGCCAUGAAUUUGCUUUCAAAACACAAGAAGUCCAUAGUUGUUGCUGAACAUCUUACUUUCUUUACAAAUUUUAUUUUCAACAAUUUGCCUAUUGCAAAGAUAUGAAACAUAAAGAUCUAACAUAUGAGAAUUGUCAUAUUCAAUACUGGAACAGCACGAUACAAUGCAAAAUAAUAAAUUUUAUCAGUCAUCAAGUCAUAAACAUGAAAUCACAAAGAAAUCAAUUUCAGAGAAAACCAUGCUAGAUUGAUACUUCAUCCUUUAGCAGCUUCUUGUAAGUUAUGUGUGUGGAUAGGAACUAUAAAUAUCAGAUUCUAAUGGCCUAUUCAAUCAAUAUUUUAAUAACCAUAUGAACUCAACAGGCUUCGGUUCUUUUAUACCGAGAAAUCUAUUUGGCGUCAACCUUUAGGACCAACUGCACCUUUUAAACUCGGAGAAGAUAAACCCAAGCAGAUAUUUAAAAUACAUGUUUAAUUUAUUAACAACUUCAUUCAAGGUCUUGAUGCAUCAUAAAUCCAAGCAGAUAAUCUCUCUGAAGUUUGGUAUCAUAACACAUUAGAAGGACUACCAAUUAGGUAGAACAACAUAGCUAGUUCAAUUUCACAAGGUGGGCUUGGGGAGGGUACUGAGGGUACUACAUAUACAGACCUUACAACCUUGGGAGGUAGAGUGACAACUUUUAUAAAAAAUUCCCACAACCAAAGGAACCAACAGAAAAAAAAGAGAACAGAAAAGUCUAAGAGAGAAACACGUUCGCAGGUACACACACGAGAUAUUUAUAAUAUGGGUAAACCUAUAGUAUUAAGUGAAAAAAUCUUCUUCAAAGAUUCAAAAAUGGGUAUGUUUAGCCUUACAAAUUUUUAGUAAAACAUUCUUUAUAGCUAUGCAAUGUACUAGUUUAUUAAUAUUAAGAAAUGAGUUUAUACCGGAGAGUUUUAAAUUCCAUGCUAUUCGUUGUUGUUGGACAAGAGUAUAUCCAGGUCUAGGUUUUCAUACAUAUAAGGACUAAGAGCGCGACUUUAAUCGCACAGAGAAGAAUACAAAAACUCAUACAAUUUCAUCCCAAAAGACAGAGCAGAAAUCACCGUAGAAGACCAAGAGGAGAUUCUAUAUUUACUGUCUUUGUGCGCAGAGGAACUAACCUUCAUUGAGACUCAACAAAUUAUCAGUCAUAAGAUUUACAUUAAAAUUUAUACUCGCAAGCAACUAACAGACACAUGUUUAGGAAGAAGAAUGUCUGGAGGUACACACACGAGAUAUUUGUAUUAUGGGCAGACCUAUAGUGUUAGGUGAAAAAAUCUUAUUCAAAGCUCCAAAACUAGGUAUAUUUAGCCUUACAACUUUUUAGUAAAACAUUCUUUAUAACUAUGCAGUGUACUAGUUUAUUAAUAUAUAAGAAAUGAGUAUAUAUCGAAGAGUUUUCAAUUCUGUGCUAUUCGUUGUUGUUGGACAAGAGUACAUCUAGUUCUAUGUUUUCAUGCAUAUAAGGACUAAGAGCACGACUUUAAUCACAGUGAGAAGAACACAAGAACUCAUACAAUUUCAUUCGAAACGGCAGAGCAAAAAUCUCUGUAGAAGACCAAGAGGAGAUUUAAUAUAUAUUGUCUUAAUGCGCAGAGGAACUAACCUCCGUUGUGACUCAACAAAUUAUCAUUUACAAGAUUUACAUUAAAAGUUAUACUCGCAAGCAACUAACAGACAUAUGUUUAGGCAGAAGCAUGUCCGCAGGUAGACACACGAAAUAUUUUAUUAUGGGCAGACCUAUAGUGUUAGGUGUAAAAAGCUUCUUCAAAGCUCCAAAACUGAAUAUAUUUAGCCCUACAACUUUUCAAUAAAACAUUCUUUAUAGCUAUGCAAUGUACUAGUUUAUUAAUAUUAAGAAAUGAGUAUAUACCAAAGAGUUUUCAAUUUCGUGCUAUUCGUUAUUGAACAAGAGUACAUCUAGGUUUAGGUUUUCAUGCAUAUAAGGACUAAGAGCGCGGCUUUAAUCAUAGUGAUAAGAAUACAAAAACUCAUAUAAUUUCAUCCUAAACGGAAGAGCAUAAAUUACCGUAGAAGACCAAGACGAGAUUCUAUAUAUACUAUCUUUGCGCGUAGAGGAACUAACCUCCGUUGUGACUCAACACAUUAUCAUUCAGAAGAUUUACAUUAAAAGUUAUACCCGCAAGCAACUAACAGACACAUGUUUAGGCAGAAGCACAUUCGCAGGUAUACACAAGAGAUAUUUGUAUUAUGGGCAGAAUUAUAGUAUGAUGACAAAGACAACAAUGGCAUCUUUAACCAGAAAGGUUAUUUUUACAUACAAACGCACUAUUAUGCACUAGUAAUUUCUAUUAACAUAUAUACAUCCAAAUAAAACUAAGACAUAUACACAGACACCUAAGACAAGGACAUUACUUAGACAGAUGAUAUUAUGAAAAUACAGUGGUUUUAAUUUAAAUGCAAAGUAAAUUCCAUCGAGGCUCAACUAUCGAGCAUUCUCUUAAGUUAAAUGCAUGCCAUUACUCGACAGAUGAUAUCAUUCUCGAGGCACAAAUUCGAGACCUUUAGUAAAGGCGGGAUCUCAAUCAUCCCACCAUUGGAGAUGAUCGAUAACAUUACAGUGACUAGAAUAGAAGAUGAAGAGAAAGACAGUGAAGACAAGAAGAAGGCUCAACUUACAUUAAUGCUCUUUGACUUGGCAUCAACAAAACUGUCAUCCUUUUUUUGGUGCAACUUCUUAAAUAUAUCCCAUGAAUUUUGUUCACGGCCCAUUUCUGUUGCCUGAAAAAAAUGUUCAACAUUAAAAUCAGAGAUAAAGUUUAAAAAAAAUUCAAUUAAAGUACAAAUUUAUCAUUUUUAUAGUGUGCUCCACUGUUGACCUGGAACCACCGGUAUGUUUGCUUGGAUCGGUGUUCUGACCACCAGUUUCACUACAUCGAUUUUGAGUUGCAAUAUGAGAUUUGUUCUUAAACUCAUCAGAAGCCCAAUAUAUCUUUCAGCUUUUCCCAACAUCAUCCGACACAAAAUUAAAUUUUUUUAUUUUUCUUCACCACUGAUAUAUUUUUUUGUAUAUAAGUUGGAUGUCAUCUUCUUUCAGGUGCGUUCGAUUAUGGAGUUCUCUGUAGGAUUCAACUGAUAUAAUUCCUAGAAAAAAUUUAGUUAGAGACAUAAACACAACAACAACAACAUUAUAAAUUUUUAAUAUAAAGCAAUAUUUAUAAGGAAUUCAUGCCAAUAGAAUUUACGAGUGGAUUCAGUAGCACCCCUCCAUGUGUAUCCAGUAGCAUGUUGUCGUUCCUUAAAAUUUUUUGUAAUUGUCUUUGAGAUAGAAUAACAUUGUCUUUGAUAUAGAAUAACCAUUAGGGACAAACCUGAAAUAUAUUAUAAGGAGUAAAUUAUACAUUUAAUGAAAUUUAUUUUUUUAAAAAGGUAAAUAACUUUUGUAAAAAUAUCUGCUCUUACUUUUCCCCGACAACUGAUAUGACCAACCGUCUAGUUGUCGAUGAGCUGCUACUAGACCCAAUAGGGAUAUCUAUGGAACCAGGAGUAUCAGGAGAAUCAAAAACUAAUGAUGGAGUAUCACUCAUAUUCUAAAAUGACAAUUAUUCUAUAACUACAAAAUAAAGUUCUUGAAAAAAGAAACUUUUAGCCUUCAUAACUCAAGUUUUAUAUUUUACAUGACUUAAGAAAGAUACAUUAGUGAAGACUCCACCGAAUCUAAAUAAUCAAAAACUUUCAAUGAUCAGGUUGGAUCAUUGAUAAAUAUGAUCGGAUAUUUAUGACCAAAAGUUCCACAAUAAAUAAAAAAAGUUUAUAUGUUGCGCAAUACUAUGACGCAUUAAUAAUUUUUAUAUCAAAAUAAAUUAAUCUCCUAACAAGUGAUUCAUAACGAUCAAAUUUAUAGAAUAGUACAUUCAAAAUCAUAUUCAUCAAGAAAUACAAAUAUUCAAAAAUUAGAUUCUUUUUCUUUUCUUUUUAUGAAACUCACAUUCCUCCUCAUUUUUCUCCCCUUCCCUCCCCCUUCCCUCCUCCCCAUCAUCAUCAUGAUCAUGAUCAUCAUAGUUGUCCUUAUCCUCAUCUUCAUUAUCGUCUUCGUCCUCAUCCUGUUCUCAUCCUUCUCUCUCCUAUCCCCCUCUUUCUUAGUGUCCUCCUCCAUGUCAUUAAGCGUACGAUCUGGAUCAUUCAAUGUAUUAAGUAUUCUAUUUUUAUCAAUAUCAAUCUCAUGUAUUUGACUAUCAUCCUCUUGAAAAGCUGGAUCAUUCAAUAUAUGAGGUUGCUCUACUUUUUUGGAAAUAUCUACAAUAGAGUGUGCUUUUAUUGGGCAAACGGCUAACCAUUCACUCGUCUUUUUUACUGUAGGAUACAUUUUAAAAUACACUUGAGAUGCUUGCACAUCCAUCAUACAUGAUUCAUAUUUAUUAAAGACUCUUCUCUUGUUAACAUCAACAAGAUUAUACAGUGGAUGUACUCUUGUACUAUGCUUUGGCGUCAAAUCAAACCAUGAACACUUAAAUAACACGGUUCGCUUGAAUGUUAAUACAUUAUACUCUAGUUGUAAAAUCUCUAUCAAUCGACCAUAUUAAUCGAUAUUAUCUGCACUAUGGCUAGAGAUCCUGAUGCAUACACCACUAUUCAUCGUAGAUUUAUUUGAACCGUAUUUUUCAGUGUGAAAAUUGUAACCAUUUACGACAUAUCCAUUAAAGGGCUGAACCAUAUGUAAUGGUCCUUCUUCAAGAUCUUUCAUAAUUUGAUUGGUAAUGUUGGAAGAAGGAUCUCGUGCCUAUUGACAUUAUAAAUAAUUUGACAUCGAUUAAGAUUGCAUUUUAUGAAUAAUAACAAAUAAUUAAGAAUAAUUUUGUAACGCCAUGGAUUUUGAACUCCGGACGCUACAUGGUGCUUAUGAUCCUGAAAGACCACAACCUAACCCAUGACUGAUAUAUGUAACUGAGCACUAAAUAAUAUACUAUAAAAUGAGGAAAGUUAACAGAAAAUUUACCAUAAGUUUCAAUACUGAAAUAAAACUGAAUAAAAUAUAACAAUACCAAAACUAAAACAAUUGUCUGAAAGUACUCUAGUCUGAAAAAACCUCUAAACUGUCUGAAUAAAAAGUUGAUUAGAAAAUCCCCCAAUGAACUCCAUCUACUGAAAUGUUAAAUCUAAUGAAAUAAUAAAAUAAGAAACAUUCUCGAAUGAUGAGGACUCACUGCUAAGUCGACUACUGCUGGCUGAAUCUGAACUGCUAAGAGUGCUCGGGAUCCCGUGCUUUUGGACCUAUGGUAUAAGACACCAUAGCGCAAGAUAAAAGUAUGUGUCUGUAUGUGAGAAUGUAUUGGUAUGCUAGAUGAGGUAAGGCUGAAUGCAAGGGUUCAUAUGCAUGAACUGUAACUGACUACGCAACGUGAACAUGACUGAGUGAGAAUGCAGGCAUAAGUGCAUAAACUAUAACUGAAAUUAUAGUAUCACUGAAUACUGAAUUCUAAUAACUGGAUUUCUGAUAACUGAGUCUACUGAUACUAAUAUCUGAUUGACCGAAGUUGAGAUCAGGUUUAUCUAGCAGGUAAUCUCUGAAUCUACUGAUAAUGAAAAUAAUUGACUGAAUCUGAGAUCAAGCCUAUCUAGCGGGUGAUCUCUGAGUCUAUAGAACUAUCUAAGUUCUUUACUAAGCUGAGUGACUGUGUCUAAUAGUCCUGAUUUCCGUAAUACUGAUCUGAGUUCUAUUCUGAAGACUAAGACUGAAACUGUGAUAGGUAGCCAUCUCAUCGACAUGCCCCUUUCUGAACUAAUUGGGGUCCAACCUGUAACUCCAGUUAGAAGGGUGUCAGUACUGUACUACGGGUAAAUACAACUGCUAUGAAGUUAAUCCUAAUCUAACGGGUGACCCCUUAGAUCAGUCCUAAACUAGCGGGUGAUCUCUGAGUAUGUCAGUCCUAUCUAAUGGGUGACAUCUCAUACCUACGUUGGCUACGUAGUUCUGGAACUUAGAGAUUUAUUCUAGGGAUCCAGUCCUCACUAACGGGUGUACCCCCAUCCCUAGGCUCGCUCAGUGUUGAAUCCUACUCAUAACGAAAAGACAAUGUACUGAUUUCCUAGUUCAUACUAGGCCUGACUGAGCUGUUACUGAUCGUACUAUUUAACUGAACUGAACUGAGUUACUGAGUUUCAUUGACUGAUGGAAUACUACUGAAUUCUGUUAACUGACUGAAUGAUACUGAGUUCUAAAUUAAUUUACUGAGCUGAACUGGACUGAUACUGAGGUUAUUGAGUUAUCCUAAGUUCGUAACUGACUGAGUUCUAUUGAUUAUGGCAUGACUGAGAUUGUCUUGAAACUGACACUGGCUCUAGGCACACAGCUAAAUUAUCGGGUAUUAAAUACCCCCAGGACUUGAUAGCAUUGAUAAUAUGAAGCAUGACAAUUCUUGAAUAACAUUACAAUAGUCUAUCAUUCACAAUACAAUCAAUGAGGCAUUUCAUCUAGCACUUGAAAGUCAUAAACUUGUAAAUGUAUAGAGAAGCAUAUUAAUGUCUCAUGAUUCAUUCAAUAAGGUUUUUCAUCAAAUACUUGGCAUGCAUUAGCUUAUACAUAAUUGGGAAUUUCUUGUCAGCAUGCUAUAAUGACUCUAUCUCAUUCACAUAGGCCUUUUAUAAAACAUAUGGGGAGCAUGCUUUAGUCAUACAACUAUCAAUACAUCUAAAUCAUCAUGGCUACAUCAACUCACUUGCAAAUUUAAGGGUUUAUUAUGAAUAUUAUGUAAGUCAUCAUAUACUAGGAGCAAAUCAUGAAACUUGUAAUCUAAGACAUGAAUCAACACCCAACAACAACAUGAUUAUGAAUAUCAACUCACAUAAUUCAUGAAAACUCAUAAAUAUAUAAUCUUUGAAUUUAGAAAAAGGAUUCUUGAACUUCAUGGGUGGAAGGGACCCAUGAAUCAACAUUUAAUAUACCUUAAUACUUGACUUUAAGAAGAUUGACAGUGAAAUUCUUGAGUUUUGAGUCUUGAACUAAGAACCCUAAUGCUUGUUCUUGAGAGAAUUUGGGAGAAAGCAAGCGUACUUUGGUGAAAAUGCCUGAAUCUCGUGUUUUAGAGAUAUAUAGGAGUGGAAAAAAGACUGAAAUAACCCUGGGGUCGCGACUAUUUUAAUGACUGAUAACUGGAUACCGACGCGCUGGUUGACGCACCGUGUCAUUGGCAUCGACGAGAUAGCCAAUGCACCGUGUCGACAUCGCGUUGGCUCACUGAAUAUUGCCUUGAGCUGAGGAACAUUUUAUCUGUCGAUACGAUGGAUGACGUGACGUGCCAACAUCACGUCAACUCACUAUUCUGGACACUAAAACUUAUUCUAAAUGAGGUUUGAAAAAUUUGAAACUCGUCUGGGAAUCAUCCUUGAUCAUGAAUUAACUAAGAUAUAGACAUUUAAAGGACUUUAAGGUCGUGAAAUGAGAUUGCCAACUUUCGAAGGCUAAAAAUAAACUAAGUCUGAAAAUUUAGCUAGAAUUUUCUAAGUCUGGGACACCUUGGCAAGCAUUAAUGGACUGGACUAAGCUUAGGAUUUUGCAGGGUCUUACAAAUAUAGACUUAUUAAUACUUACAUAUUUUUCAAAUCAAGAUGCAAACUCUGUUUCAAGUUUAACAUCAAUCUCGUUAUCUUGAAUACAUGGUUGUAUUUGUCUUAAGAUGUCUUCAUAAAUUCUGAAGAAAAAAAAAAGCUAAUUUAAUUUCAAUAUCAAAUUUUUUUCAUAAAUAUUUAUAGAUAAUUCAUAAUUAACUUAAUUAAUAUAUGGUUUUACUUCAUCACAAUUCAACAAAAUAUAUGUACGAGCUACGUGAUAUUCUUGAUCAUCUAACCUCCUCUCCUCUUUUUCAGCUUACCGAAUCGUCGAUCAGCUUGCUUAAAAACAGAAAGCAUUUCAGGAUGGUCCUGUUCAACUCCACCAUCAUCUAAAUUUCGUGGCACUUUUCUGUGUCGUGUCGGAAUGUGUGACUUAAAGUAGUGCGCACAAAAUAAAGAUGUUUCUUCAAUUAAAUAUGUGUUGCUUAUAGAUGCUUCAACCUUAUUCUUAUUUUUUGACAUUAUUCUUGUAUCUACGAAAAUUCCUUCAAACAUUAAAGUAUGUCAAUAUGGUAUAAUUGAUAUAUUUAUUUACAUAUAUUAUAACAUAUAAUUAACUUUAUCUACCUCUCAGUCGGACACAUUCAUCGUCCUUGAACCGGGCUCGCUAAACGUGCUUCAUAAGCUAAAUGAAUAGAAACAUAUUCCGUAGAAUCCUAGAAGCUUGGAGGAAAAAUGCGCUCAAGCUUACUCAAGAUGAGAGAAAUAUUUUCUUCUAAUUAUCUCAUGUGUUCCUCUGUGAUUAUUGUAGAGGUGAGAUCUUUAAAGAAAAGACUCAACUCCAACAAUGAUUGUCACAUAAUACGUGAAAGCAAUUCUCGAAAUACAAUAGGUAUUAACCGUAGCAUAAACACAUGACAAUCAUGACUCUUCAUAUCAACAAGUUUAAGCUUAUUCGUGUCAACACAUCUUCCCAGAUUAGACACAUAACCAUGAGGAAAUCUCAACUCUUGCAACCAUUUACAAAGCACUUCUUUAGCAUUAUCAUCUAGCAUACAACAAGCCUUUGGAUAUUUUUUGGUACUUUCAUUCUGAUGUAACUCUGGACGAUGGUAAAGUAGUUUUAAAUCUUCUCUAGAUUUUACAUUUGCCUUUAUUUUUUCCUUGACAUUCAUCAAGUAUUGAAGAUAUUAUAAAAAAAAAAUUGAUAUGCAUCGGAUCAAGGUUAUGCCUAAUAGAAUUUGUUUUCCAGUAAGACAAGUCCCAAAAAAUACUUCUUUUCUUUCGACCACAUGCGCUAUUCUUUAAAAUUUUGACAUUUAUCGCAUCAGAAUCAAGUUCUGUCACUUUCAUGAGUCCCAAGUCCUCAAACUCCUUAAGUAUUUGUACACCCGAUUAUUUAGUAAAUGCAAUCUUCUGUACUAUUUCACUUCUCUUGAACCACUUUUUAUUUCUUAGUCAUGAAUGAUUUGGUGGUAAGAACUUUAUAUGAUUAUCAAACCAUGAGAUCUUUCUAUCAUUGGGUAGUGAAAAAGCAUCAGAAUCUUUCAUGCAAUAAGGACAAGCUAAUUUUCCUGAUGUACUCCAACCCGAUAACAUUGAAUAUGCAGGAAAAUCACUUAUUGUCCACAUCAAUGCAAAUUUUAUUUGAAAAUUAUUUUUACUUGAAACAUCAUAUGUUUAAAUUCCCUCAUCAUAUAAUUCAUUUAACUCUUGAAUGGGAGGCUGCAAAAAGACAUCGAUUUUUUGUUUUGAAUUUUUGGAAUUAGGUAUAAUCACAGACAAAAACAUGUAUUCAUCCCUCAUGCACAUCCAAGGUGGCAAAUUAUAUGGUGUAAGUAUCAUAGGCCAAGAAGAAUAUUGUGGGCCAAAUUAACCAAAUGGUUGAAAACCAUCAAUUGACAAACCCAAUCUAACAUUUCUCACUUCAAAUGCAAAAGAAGGGUGUGCCUGAUCAAACUAUUUCCAAGCAGGAGAGUCAGAGGAAUGACGCAUCACACCAUCUCUUUCAUGCUCAGAAUACCAUCUCAUAUGUUUUUCUGUAGCAUCGGAUGCAUAUAAUCUUUAUAAAUGCGAAGCUAAAGGAAAAUGUACAUCUUCUUAUAAGAAAUAUUAGUUUUUUUCUUAAAAUAUUGAUGUUUUGAUCUCUUAAAUCGAGAGUAAGAACAAAACUUGUAAUUGACAAGUUCCUUAUCCUCCCGCCAUAAAGCAUACAAUCGUAUUUGCAACAAUCAAUAUUUACAAUCGGUAAGCCCAAUCCUCUCAUUAGCUUUUUGGUACUAUAAAAGCUAUCUAUCAUUACGUUAUCAGUUGGCAUCAGUUCUGAUAUAAAUUAACACAACUCAUCAUACAAUCUUUCAGAAAAAUAAUGUUCCGCUUUAGAUUCAACAAACGAGCAACGAUAGAUAAUUGUGUGUGUCCAUGUGAAUUUUUGACCAAAUUUCUUGUUCCGAUGCUUUGAGCAAAUUAUAAAGAUUUUGUGUUGUGGGAUUUGAAUCCUCCUCUAUUUUAUCAUCAUAAGAAGGCCCGACAACAUCAAAAAUCAUAGCUCAAAAUUUAUUAUGAGUCUGAGAAUUUCACGGUUUCACCUGAAGCUGAAGCUUCUUCUUGAUGAUUACCAAGCACGCUUGAAUUUGGAAUGUAAGAGCUUUAUGAUGAUGCUAACGAUAAUAAUUCGGUACAAAGUCAUUAUUUUCAAGAUGUGUCAUAACUGUAAACUCAUCCAAAAUAUUUUUAUUUCGACACUUACGAUGAUUUCACCGUCCAUAUAUUCUGAAUGACUGUAGAAAAUUCAAAAGAGCUCUCAACCCCAUUAAUAAAUCUGAAAUGUAUGAAUCCAUCCGCCAACAAUCUAUCAUGCAUUCAUUCACGGUCAAAAUUAUUCAUAUCGUGCACUCUGAAAUCGAAUAAAUAUGUUAAAACUUACGUGUUGACAAGUUAUUUUCAUAUAACAGUAUAACAUAUAUAUAAAUUUGAGCCUACAAAUAAUGAUACCAUAGAAAUGAUGAAAUUUUAGGAAGUGUUCUAAUUUCUAGUCUUACAUAGUUUGUUUCUUUGGGAAAUUUGAUUACACAUUAUUUGUAUUGUGUAUAAUUCAAACUCAACAGGAAAACUGUACAUACAGGGCAAAUUGUCAAACUCUAAAUCCAUAUUCAUAGAUUUAAAAACAUAACCAAUAACAUCAACAAACUAAAAGAUGAAUAUCCAUCAAUCCAAAUCUGUAAAUUAACCACCCAAACCACAUCCAUCUUGAACAGGAAAGCUUGACAAUUCCAAAAAAAAUCAUCAUGAAGCAUCUUAUAGUGUCGUUUUGCUACUCAUAAACAAACUAUCAACACAAAAAUGAAAAACUAACAAGCAAAUCAAAACUGAAAAUGCAUAAAAAUUGAAAGAUCUACAACCAGAUCAGAAAUGAAACAAACAGUUCAAAAAUAACCAUUUUAAAACAUAUCUAACUACAACAACAACACAAGACAAUAGUUCAAAAAUCACAAAAAUAAUUCAUUGACAAAUGCUCUAGUCCUUUCUUCAUACCAGUUCAGCACAUAGAAACAUGUAAAGUCAAAUACAUAAAGUUCUUGGAUCAUAAAUUUUACACAAAAUGAAACGAUUCUUUAAAGUUAUAACGAAAACAAUCAAAUCGAAGCAAAGGGUUAUUGCUCUCAAAAUCUUUUGAGGAUUAUUGCUCUCAUAACCGAAGCUUAUGCAAAGGAUUAUUGCUCUCCUAAACAAGAAGAAGAAUAGAACGUACCUCAAAUAAAGAUUUCUGUCAAAAUAGGAGAGGAAUCGAGAACUGAAACAAAGGAUUAUUGCUCUCCAAUACCUUUCUGCCUCAAAGUUUCUAUGUUUUGAGGGAACUGAAAAGAUGUAAAGAAAAAUUGAGGGAAAAUGAAAAUAGAGAAAAAUUUUAAGGAAACAAUGCGACAAAUUCUGCUGAGGAAACAAAUCGAUCAAAGAUAUAUAUAUUUUUUAAUUUUAUUGUGACGGAAUAAAUCCAUCACAAAUUUUUAUUAUAUUAGCUUGUAAAAAAAAAAUUAUUGUGAUGGAAUGCUCAAUCUGUCACAAAUUUAGUAACAGAUUUGUGACAGAAAGUUAUUAUUUUUUCUCAUCAAUUUUAAUUUGUGACAAUAAAAUAUCUGUCACAAAAAUUAUAUUUAAAUCUGUCAAAAAUUUAUCAUAAAUCUGGUACUCUUUGAAUUUUUAUGUGAAAAUAAAAAAAAAUUAUAUUUAUACAAAAAUAAUCCAUCAGAAAUUCAUCAAAAUUCUGUCACAAAUUAUGACAGAAGUGUUCCGUCUCAAAUAUUCCGUUACAAUUUUAUCAUUUUCUUGUAGCUAUUUGAUAAUCGAGUCUAGCUCCUCUCCAUUUUCACCAAACACUUGCUUGGAUUGAAAACACGUAAUAAAUUAAAAUUAAUGAUUGAAAUUUAAUUUGUUCAAAUAAAGUCUUAAUCGUGAUUAAAAUACUUAUUACUUCCACAAUUUGCUUCCAAAAUAUUUUUACAAUCACAUAAAAACAAAUUUAUCUAUUGCCAGAACUUUUUACCAAGCAAUAAAAUAUUUUUACUUCAUUCCUUUCUUUUUUUAAAUUCAUAUUUUAAGUGAGUUUUAUUUUUUCUACUUAGUAUUCGAAAGGUCAGUCACGGCGUCUAUAAAGAAAAAAUCCACCUUGAAUACGAUUUUCCUCUUAAAAUAACAAAUAUGUCAAGCCACAUUUUUCAAUAUUUUUUUUUUUUGUAAAAGUCUUUAAUUUUUGCCAUCAUUGAUUGGAGUUUACUCUAAUUGAUGGGUAACCCCAAAAAAAUGUCAAAAAAAUAAAAAAUCAAUGCACUACAAAUAUUUAUUCAAGACAAUAAAGAAAACUUUAUAUUUAGAAUAGAUAUAAUAUAAAUUUGAAAUUAUUAGUGUCAAUUCAAGCAAAAACUCCAGUUCAAGCAAGAACUAGGGGAAAAAGAAGAGCAGCCAAGUCCUUGAGAACCUUCUUACGUUUGGUUUUACUUGUAAUAUAUUAAUAAUUUUUUCUUUCUCUAUUACUCGUGCAGUAUAUUAAACAAUUUUUUCUUUUUUUUUUACUUUUCCAAUAUAUUAAACAAUUUUUUCCUUUGCUAUCUAUUUUAGCAAAUUAAGAUAGAAAUUACUUUGGCUUUUUAAGAAUCAAUUUCACCCUUAUGAUUUAAGUAACAAGUUUUCAUAAUUAUGAGAAUGACAAUAGUCAAUUUUAUACGCCCCAAAAAUAAUAAAUAAGAUUUAGUUAUUAAAAUAAUCUCUUAAUUAAUAUUCUGUUAGGAGAAAUGUAAAAUAUAAUCGGAACAAGUAAUUAAAAAGGGAACUGGAGUAUGCUACCUCCAUUUCUUUUUAUUUGCUUUAUUUUAUGCUGUGUUUAUAUUCCUAUAUAUUUUCUUCUUUAAUCGUUUAACAAUAGUUUGAACAAAAUCUUCUUAUUAUGUCCUUAUUCAAUAAAUAUAUCAUUAUUUAUUUGAAAUGAGGUAUAAAUUUAAUUAGGAUAUAUUGAUAAAAUUAUUUUUAAUUUUAUAGGAGUAAGUGAUUAAAAAGAGUGUGUUUAAUUCAAAUAGAGCAAACUAAAAGAAUUGGAGGGAGUAUAUUUCCUCUAAAUGUAUCUUUUAGCAGAUACUUUGGCAUGGGAAAACAUAAUGAAGGACGAAACUGAAUGUUGGAAAGACGAUGCUUCAUGGUUUUGACAACGUGAGUUCAAAAUACCAAAUUUUAAAUUCACGUGAAAGCAGAGGAAAAAAAUGUCAAAUUCAUCUGGUGAGUGACAAUGACUUAAAAGACAGUCCUAAGCUGGAUCUACCAAAUCACCACCUCCUUCUCUAAUAAUUGAAGCAAUAGAAUAUUAAAUAUAAUUAAUAAACUCGAAAUAUAGUACGUGUUCCAUGCCCGUGUCAACUUAAAAACUUAAAACAUAUAGAUUACUUCACUGCAUCCUAUUAGCUUCCUCUAUAUGAAAGCUAAGGCCCCCUAUAUAUACCACUCAUUGCAUCUCAUAAAUUAUACUACAAUUCUCUACCAACUCUCCUAUAAAUUAAAGCUCUUCUUUCAUCAAUAUUUGUCUCUUCUUCUAAUUAAGUUAACCAACAAUUUAAAACUCACAACCCCAAAAAAAGUCUUCACUUGUAAUAUAGAGAGUACUUAUAUAGGAAAAUGAAUCAAAAAUUGCCCGUUAUGGCAAAAAGAUUCUGGAAGGUAGUUCGGGUGGCUUACUUCAUGCUGAAAAAAGGGUUAUCUUCAAAGAGAAAACUAAUGUUUGAACUCAACUUAUUAGUGAAACGUGGCAAGAUUGCUGGCAAAACCGCCAUCCAAAAUCUCAUGUUCCACGACCAUAAUAAUAAUAAUACACAAGGCCAUCACUCAUCGUCCAAAGAGUUUUACGAGUUCAGCUGCAGUAACAGCCCAGCUUUUCACCUCCCAUUCCACCUCAACAAACGCAACAAUAAGCAUAGUUACCAUGCAGUACCUGCUAUUGAACACGAUGACGUUAUAAUGAUCAACGCUGCUGUUUUUAAGGCAUUGGAGAUGCUUCAGUGUGAAACAGCGUCACCUGCUUUGCCUGGAUUCGGGAGGACACCUACUGUGAGGCAAUUAAGGAUCACUGACUCUCCUUUCCCUUUAAGAGAUGGAGCAGAUGAGGGUGACAUGAUGAGCCACGUAGACGAGAAAGCUGAUGAAUUCAUUUCUCGAUUCUACAGAGAUUUGAGAAGAGAGGCC